rnacentral:lncRNA from 1 species
ACCAUCCUCUUUCAAAGCAGACAUGUGCAGUUGCAAAAGACCAUCGUGCAUGUUUAUGGGAAAAAACAAAACCUCUAGCCCACUUGGCUAAAAAUUAUUGUAUGUAUGUCAUUUACCUUCUUUUUUUUUUUUUUUCCUGCAUGUCAUCUACUAUUUUACGUGAUAUGUGCAUCUGUGAGAAUGAUAGCUCUCAAACGCUAGGCACCACGAGUGAUAAAUUAUUUUGAUUAUAGAAUUUAUAGUUAAAUGAUUUUAACUAUGUGGAAUUUUUUAGACCAAAACUCGAUUUAUUCAAAUUAUAAUAGUUAAGUUUAACAACUUUUGUGCAAUUAGAACCAGAGAGAGAAUGGAUUUCUUGAGUUUUUGUAUCAUCAUGCUAAACCUUUUCUUUGUGUUGUUGUUCUCAAUUAUUCAAGCUCUGCAAAGCAAAGCCAAUCCCAAAAGGCAUCUUCUCCCACCUGGACCAAAGCCAUUUCCCUUUAUUGGCAAUCUUCUAGAGCUUGGCAACAAACCCCAUCUGUCUCUCACCAAGCUUUCUCAAAUCGGCCAAUAUUCAUAUUGGGGAUUCCCCAUCCCCACCUUCAAUGGGGAAUGGGUUCCCCAUCUAGCCCCACCUUUUGAGAUUGGCCUUGCUUUGCAGAGCUUGAAUAAUUGAGAACAACAACGCAAAGAAAGAUGACACUAGGUAUGUCAGAGGUCGUAUACUCAAGAAAGAUGGCACCAGGUAUGAUUUUACGUAUUUCAGAUUGUGUGAAAGAUUUUGAACAUGUAUGUUAAAGAAAUCUAACAGUUGGUAUUAGAGCCAGGUUGUUUGCACAAACUAAAAUCGUUUUUCAAGCAUGCCUAUUACGAUUUCUUAUAUGUUUAUGCCAUGAUGAGUUUUUGGUGAUGUUCAAAAUUUGAAGAUGGAUUAAACAUAUUUUCUAAAUAUCAAGAAUAUUAAAGAAUCUGGAAAAGCAUGUUUUAAUUUGAUUUUCAUAUCUUCAAAACUUUAAACCCAUUUUUGACCUACCCGAUGACCUUAAAACCCCAAAAAUGACCAUAUGUAAUAGCACAGCUGUGAGUUGUGUUAAUUAGGUCAUUCCCUAUUCAGAAAGGUAUUUUGUGUAAGAUCCCACAUCAACCAACGGAGAGGGGGUGAUGUGCCUUAUAUGUGCACACCCGCAUCCAUCUAGCACGAGACCUUUUGGGAGCUCACUGGCUUCAGAGUCGCAGGAACUCCGAAGUUAAGCGAGUUAGGAGAUAGAGUAAUUCCAUGAUGGGUGACCCACUGAGAAGUUGCUCGUGAGCUCCCAGAAACAAAACCGUGCCGGCAGAGAGGGGGGCCCAAAGCUGACAAUAUCGUGCUACGGCGGAGCCGAUCCCGGGAUGUGACAAUUUGGUAUCAGAGCCACUCUGCCGUGUGGUACGAGUGUGCCAACAAGGACGUCGGGCCCUUAAAGGGGGUGGAUUGUAAGAUCCCACAUCAACCAACAGAGAGGGGGUGAUGUGCCUUAUAUGUGCACACCCGCAUCCCUCUAGCACGAGGCCUUUUGGGAGCUCACUGGCUUCGGAGUCGUAGGAACUCCGAAGUUAAGCGAGUUGGGGGCUAGAGCAAUUCCAGGAUGGGUGACCCACUGGGAAGUUACUCGUGAGCUCCCAGAAACAAAACCGUGCGAGCAGAGAGGGGGGCCCAAAGCGGACAAUAUCGUGCUACGGCGGAGCCGAUCCCGGAAUGUGACAGAAACAAAUCCUUAGCACAUGAGUUUGUUGUAUUAUUAGAUACUAAUCAUCCGGCACACAUACUAUGCAUGAGUAGAGAAUAAAUAUCCCUCAUUACAUUAACUUUUUAGUUGUGGGUCAAAUCCAGAUCUUCCGUUUUCUUCUCUACUCUAUAUAUAUAUAUAUUUUUUUUUUUUGCCAAAAUUAGGAAGGAGAAAAUGUUUGCUCACACACACACUACAUAUCAAGGUGGUACGGAAAAUAUAACCUGAGACCACUAUUCUACACAUCAUUGCCCAUUUUCAUUGGGCUAAACUUCAUUGAUCAUUGUCCUAUGGAGCAACUUCAACUGGUAGUGCAGGGGCAAUUUGGUCCAUAAAUAAUAAUAAAAACCAGUAAUUUUAUUUUUAUUUUUAAAAGUUUAACUUUCAAAAUACAAAUAUAAUUUUUUUAAUCCUUUUAAAAGUAAACAAUACAAUUUAUAUACAUACAUAUAUAUAUAUAUAUAUAAUCAUUCCUUUCUCACUCUUGUCUUUCACAAAGUCCCAGAUUCAUCUUCAAGUUGGAAUCUAGGCAAGCACUUCGUCGUUAACCAUCACCACCACUUCUAGGUAUUCGUGCUACAACAACCAUCACAGUCACUUCAUCAGCUGCGGUCUUACCUUUUGAAGGCCCUAGGUCUUACAGCAAAGGUGGAAUAGGUUGAUAGUACUGAUGUUCUUGAGGGCAUGCUUGUUAGAGAAAACAUAUUCAAAUGUAAAGAAUUGUAAUGAAAAGGAGGCUCUUUUUGUGAUUGUUGGCUUGUUGAGUUGAGUUGGAAAUUCAAGUGAAGGGAUUUUAUAGGACAAAAAAUGGGAUAUUUAGGCCCCGUUCGGUUAAGUUUUAAGGGGUUGUUUUCAUUUUCAGAGAACAAAAAUGAGGUAAGAACAUGUUCGAUGGCCCAAAAGCAGAAAACACUGAGAAUGUUUUCAUAAAAUGAAAACAAGUUCACGUGUACUUGUAGAAAACAGAAAAAAGAUGUUUUUAUUCUCACGGGAAACGCUCAAAAUAGGGGGAAGAGAGAGAGAGAGAGAGAGAGAGAGGGUUGCGACCUUCAACUGCAUCAAUUAAGAUAAGGGGAAGAUAGAGGGAGGAGAGGGCUAUCUUUUUCAAGUGGUGGCGCAGCUUAAGGUGACCGGAAUUGGCACUGACGAUGGUGACAGCUACUGGGCAGUUUUCCAGUCAAAAUCUAGCACUAUCUUGAGCCUCGAUUGAUGGGUGGGUUAGGUAGAGGAGGAAGAGAGGAGGAGUUUAAUGGUGAUGGCACCAGUUGACGUGACUGGACGACGAAGAAUCGCCGGUCUGAAAGUGAGAUAGAGCGCAGGGAGAGAGAGAGAGAGAGAGAGAGAGAGAGAGAGAGAGAGAGAGUUAGGGUGAGGGAGGGAAGAGGAAGAAAGAAAGGAGGAGGAGAAAACAGAAAAAGAAAGGGAAAAAAUUGAAAAAAUAAAAAAUAAAAGAAAUAAAUAUAGUUUUUAUUUAAAAAUAAUAAUAUAAUGUUAAAUUAUACAUUUAAAAAAAAUCUUUUUAGAACAUAAAUUAGCAAAAAUACACUUGAAAAAUAACUCAUAUGUUAUUAUUUUCAAAUUGUACUACAAGACACAUUUUCAUUAUUUUUAUUUUCUGAAGAUGUUUUCUAAUUAAUCUACCAUACGCAUUUUCAAUUCCUGAAAAUGCAAAUUCGUUUUCUUAUUUUCAUCCUCUAAAAAUAUUUUGUCAAAACAUUCUCCAAAAAUGUUAUCGAAUGGGCCCUAGCUUCCACUUCAAGCUGUUUGAGUAGAUAUACUAAAGUUGAUGCUUAAAAUAUUAGGCUUUCCCCAAACUUUUGAAACCUGGUCAAUGUUCGGAUGAGAGGCAAGCUUCUGAAGCAAUUUUCAAAAGGAAUUUAGGUAUUUUAUUUAUGACAAAAAGUCAAUUUUUUUGAUUCCUAUGGUUUAUUAUUUUUACUAUUAAGGUCCUUAUUUUUAAAAUUUGAUAAUUUUUGUUCUUGUGGUUUCAAUUUGAAGCAAUUUAAGGACAAUCCUCAAUUUGUGUCAAAUUUUUUUUUUUUAAAAAAAAAAAACUUCAACUAGUUUGGGAACGUUGGGAAAUGAGGUUUGGUUACUCAUGUUUGGUUACUGCAGUAAUUAGGAAUGAAAAGUUAUCAAGGUAUGAAAUUCCCCAUACAUUGGAAGUCCAUAUCCAUGAGUCCAUAAUUACAUUCCCAAGUAUCACUACUACGUUUUAAUAUUUGUGCAACGAACAAGAAUUCGUCGUGCAAAAUGCACUACGGCGACGGAAAAAAUUAGGGAGAUUCACUAUUAUACCCAAUACAUGGGCCCAAAUUAUAAAAAUACCAUAUAUGAAAUGGACUUUAGAAACACACCCAAAGCCUGUUUACAACAUAACAAAGAGGCUUUAACUUCUUAUAAAUUGCAAAACUGCCAUCAAUUUCUUAAAACAAGCCCAACCCGAAAAUCUCAUAAAAAUACCCAAAAUACUCAAUAGGGCAUCAAAGUAAUUUAAUAAUUAAUAUUAAAUUCAAUAAGGCCAGCUGUCAUUUUUUGGGUUUGUUUAUAGAAAUUCAAUAGUGUAGGGUUUAUUUAUAAUAUUAGUGCUAAGAAUGGGUAUAUCACUAAAUAUCUCAAAAAAUUAAUCGUCAUGUAAACCACUGAAAACUGGAGCGUCCAAAAUUUCCGUCGCGCAAAAAGUCUUAGUGCAACAGAAAACUUAUGCGUCGCUCAAAGUGAGGAAGAAAAACGCGCAAAAGAAACUUAGCCCGACGACAUGAUUUAUCGUUGCAUAAGAAAAAAGUGGGAUUUUUUUUUGGCCCAAAAAUACUUGUAUGGGAUUUUUUUUAGCGCCAAACCCUUGCGCGACGGAAAUAUAGUUUGUCACGUAAAGUUUAAUGUCGGUACAUUCUUGUGUGACAGAAAUUGGCUUUCACGUGACGGCGGUUUGCUUUUGGGCGAUGAAAGUUUGUGCGAUGAAUCAAAUUUUGCGUCGCGCAAAAGUGUGAUGUCGACACGUGCUUGAGCGGCGAAUAAGUUAUUUUGUGCGACGAAAAAGUGAUUUUGUGCGACGGAAUUUUUUUUUUUUUGCAAAUGCAGUUUGCGCAACGAAAUCAUGGGUCCGUCGUGCAAAGUCCUUCUUCUUUAUAUCUGUAUUCUACCAUUGCAGAGGCAUAAUGCAAAAAAAAAAAAAAAACAUUUUGCCUCUCUCUGCCGCUGCCUCUGCUGGGAAUUCAGUACGUUCAUUGGGUAAGUAAUUUUUGUCGUUAGUUUAAAAGUAUUAAUGUAAAUUCAUACUAACACUAUUAAUUUUGUUCUCGUUAGGGAUAUUUGUAAUUAGCGUUUGGUAGAGAACGAUUGAGAAGAUAUUUUAUUCGUUUUAUAUAUUUAAAAUGUUAAAUUAAUUACAUUAUAUUAAACUUACUUUGUGAAGUUAUAUUUAUAUUAUGGUAUUAAAUUGUGAGUGACGUAGCACAAUGUGUUGUGAUGUACGAAGUUAAUUGAAAUGAACUUCGUACUUUUAUUUUUAUUUUUAGUAACACUUAGUUUCCCGUUUGAUAUUAGUUGGAUUUCGUGCAUGGAUGCGUAAAGCAUGACUGCGGUCCAAUUAAUUCUUGAAUUGUCCCAUUAUUUGGAUAGUUUGGGAAUGCAUAGUUAUGUCACGUAAUGUACGGCUACAUGAUUAAAUUUUGAUUGUGGAGAUUUUGGUGUUAUCUCUGUACGUUCUUCAAGUGGUACAUAGGUAUUUAUACCUACAGUACACCUCAAGAACUGUAUCGAGAUGCUGUCGAAAUUCAUCCGCGUCGAAAUCUAAUCUCAUGUAGUCGUACAUUACGUGACAUGACUAUGCAUUCCUGAAUGGGAUAGGGCCCUUACCGGAGGCAUAAGGUGACAAUAUGGCUUCGUAUGAAGUUGUUGUGAUUGUUGUGUUGUGAUUGUGGUUUCAGGAAUUGUGAGCAGGAGGUGGAUACAUAACCCGAAUAGAUACACAGACGAAUACUUGGAUGAAAUUGAGGAUUUUAUUGAGUUUGCACGUACACACAACCCGGGUGCAACUAGAAUCCGUUAUCAUUGUAGGAGGAGUAAUAACACGUUGUGGGAGACAAUUGAAAAUGUUGGAUUUCAUUUAGUAAGGAGUGGAAUGAUUGAGACAUAUAACAUUUGGAACCUUCACGGGGAACAAUUAGACCAUGCUUCGUUUUCAAAUGCCACAAGAGUGGACCAUGUUGAACCUAUUAUGGAUCCUAAUGAAGAAGUCAUGGAUCUUAUACACGAUGCUUUUCCAUUUGCAUCGACCAACAUCAAUUAGGAAGGGGAAGAUGACGUGCCUACACCAAUGGACAAUGCAGAGUUUGAACAAUAUAAAAAAUUGUUAAAAAAUGCCAAAAGAGUUAUACUCGGGGUGCGAGAGCUUUUCCGUUCUCACGGCCAUUGUGGAGCUAAUGCAUGAAAAAAUAAAGUAUCGUAUGUCGAACUUGUGUUUCGAUUACUUUUUGGGGGUUUUCAAGAGAAUGCUUCUGACGGACAAUUGUUUGCUGAAAAACCAUAAACACGCACAUAAGGUAUUGAAUGGUCUUGGAUUGGGUUAUGAAAAAAUUCACACUUGCAAAAACAAUUGCAUGUUAUUCUACAAAGAGCAUGAAACAUUGGAUACAUGCCCUAUAUGCAAUGAGUCGAGGUUCAAAAUGACAUCUUAGAAUAGAACGACUAAGAUCCCACAAAAAGUCAUGCGUUAUCUGCCCCUGAAACCUAAGUUCAGCGAUUGUAUAUGUUGACGUAUACUGCCACAAACAUGAGAUGGCAUAAGGAAAAACGGGUAGACGACGAUGUGAUGCGGCAUCCUACAGAUGGGGAGGCAUGGAAAGAGUUCGAUUGAACGUUUCCCGAGUUUGCUGCUGAUCCUGAAAUGUUAGAUUGAGACUUGCCACUGACGGAUUCAAUCCGUAUGGGGUUCUAAACCAACACCACAGCACUUGGCCGAUUUUCGUAGUCACAUAUAAUUUGCCGCCUUGGAAAUGCAUGAAAAAAGAAUACAUGAUGAUGACUGUUUUGAUAACUGAGGAUCUUGGCAAGUCAAUCAAUGUUUACUUAAGGCCACUGGUUGAUGAGUUGAAUGAUUUAUGGACAAACGGUGUGCGCACGUACGAUAAAUCAAGUGGGAUGAUGUUCACUUUGCGGGCAGCAGUUAUGUGGACUGUGAAUGAUUUUCCCGCAUAUGUAAUGGUUUCUGGGUGGAGCAAAAAUGGUUAUAUGGCAUGUCUUGUAUGCACGGAAGAUGUAACUUCUGGUUGGCACGCUGGAAAGGUUUGUUACCUUGGUCAUCGGAGAUGGUUGCCAUGGGACCACGAGUGGCUGAAAAAAGAUAAAGAGUUUGACGGGAACACAUAGCGUCGCCUCAGACCUAGAGAAUUGUUCGGUGAUGAGAUCAUGGAACAGCUUAACAGUUUGGAUUUUGCUCCAUUCGAGAAAACAGUUAGUCGGACCAGACUAUGUUUUUUGAGCUUCCAUAUUGGUCGAAACUAAGAUUGAGGCACAAUCUAGAUGUGAUGCAUGUUGAGAAAAAUGUAUUUGACACAUUGGUGGGUACGAUUCUAGAUAUUGAGGGCAAGACAAAGGACACGAUCAAAGCUCGUCUUGAUUUGGAAAGAAUGGGCAUAUGAAGGGGUUUAUGGAUGAAUAGGGACAGUGAUAAAGGUUGAAGGGAUCUUGCAUUUUUUCUAGGAAACCUAAUGAUAAAAAGAGUUUCUAAAGUUUGUAUCAUCUGUAAAGUUUCUCGAUGGGUUGUAAUAUCGCACGUUGCGUGAGUGUUGACGGGGGUAAAUUUGCUGGACUAAAGAGCCAUGACUGCCAUGUGUUUAUGCAACGCCUACUUCCAGUGGGUAUUCGACACCUAUUGUCGAAAGAUGUAGUGAAGCCAAUCAUGUUGUUUUCCAAAUUUUUUUUCACAACUGACUGCAAAAACGUUGCGAAAGACAGACAUUUAUCAAUUGCACCAUGACAUUGUCCAAGUCCUAUGCAAGUUUGAGAUGAUAUUCCCUCCAGCUUUCUUCACAAGUAUGAUCCACAUAAUGGUUUACUUGCCAGAAGAGGCAUUGCUUGCUGGUCCUGUCAACUAUCGCUGGACGUAUCCAAUAGAAAGGUAUAUAAUCCUUAUCAUUUGUGUAUUCAUCAUUAUCACAUGCUUGCUAAUUUGUAUCAUAUCGUUUUAUUUUGGCAGGCUUCUAGGAGAGAUGAAAAAAAUGUACGCAACAAGGCGUAGCCCGAAUGAUCAAUUAUAGAGGCUUGGGUUCUAUAUGAGUCACUUACUUUCUGUGGAAUGUAUUUAAAAGACGUGGAGAUGGCUUUCAAUCGUCCCCAGCGCAAUAUUGACGGAGGUAUGAGAAAUGAAAAACUUUCUGUUUUUGCCCAAAGCACACGAAACUUUGGAGAUCCUUGAUGAGGAGAGUCAUUUUUCAAAAAUGACAUGGAGGUAUCGUAUUGGUUCAUACUGAACAAUUGUGAUGAGAUAAUGGCAUACUUAGAUGGGCAUGAAGAGAUGAUGAAGCGAGAACAUCCAUCACAUUUGUAUGCUCAAAAACACCAUGAAUUGUUUCCACAAUGGUUUUUGGAUUUUGUAAGUUAUAAGUGUUUUGUAUUUGACAAAUAUAUAUUGUAGUAUUUAAUUUUGUCAAACUAACAUGUGAAUGGUUUUGUAUAAUAUUAGGUGAAUAAGUUGAAAUCAUCGAAUUCCCCCACUUACAGUGAUGAGUUAUAUAACUUGGCGUUGGGCCCGAUUCGUGCUGAAUUGUUCUCGGGUUGUCAUGUUAACGACUUCAAGUUUUUGGGGAUUACAUGAGAUGACAAGUUGUGUACGUAAAACAGCGAUGUCCAUGUCCCAGGUGGAGGCGAAAGUACAGACACUGAUUUCUAUGGCAAACUCACAACUGUCGUGCAAUUGCUUUACAAAGACUGAUACCAAACGAUCAUGUUUAAGUAUCGAUGGUUUGAUACCAAUCCAAAUAGGCCGGGAAGUGUUAAAAUAGACAAUGGCUUACUAUUUGUGAACAUUAACAUAACAUGGUAUGAUGACGACCUUUACAUUUUGGCAAACAUGGCAAUACAGAUUGUGUAUCUAGAUGACCCUAAAGCCGGGAGUGGUUGGAAAGUUUUUCAGAAGAUGGAUCAUAGGAACAUGUAUGCUAUACCAGAACUAGCCUCAACUGACAACGACGUCGACAAUGUGGCUGACCAACAUUUAGAAUCUUCAAUGAAAAAUGAUGCGGAAAUACUUCGAGAUACAAAUGUUAUACAAGAACCGUUUUAGAUACAAUGGGUGUCUUGAAUCGAAAUACCGAUUCUGUCAAUUACAAUUGACCUCGGGGAUUUUCCGCGAUACGAUGUUGUAGUGGGCCCGAACAAUGACGAUCAUGUAAUUAUAGAGGAGGAGGAUUGAGAGACCGAAAGUGAUGAUAGCAACGAUAACGAAAGUUAUUAUAGUUCAAAUGAUGAAUAAUGAAUUUUUUUGUAAUUUUAUUAUGUUAGUGUACAAAUUUUGGCAAACCUAAUAUAUGUGGAGAAAUGAAACAUUGUUAAAUAAAUUGAGCUAUACAAGAAAAUGAGAAAUGAAAAUAAAUUUAGUUAUAAAACAUUGGUAAAUAAAUAUAUCCAAAACCUUUUCAUAAUAAUGUUGAAAAUUAUUUUUACAAAACAUUUUUAAAAAAAAAUGAAAAUGAGAUACAAUUUGACAUAAAUGUGUAUUAGGAGCCAAAACCUUGCGCGACGAAAUCUGCCAUGUCGCGCAUUGUUUGAGCGACGAAAAAUCACUCGUUGUGACUAUGUACCUUGCGCGACCAAAAGAUUUUUUUCGUCGCGUCAAGUUGCAAUUCCGUGCGACAACUUAAUCUUUCGUCAUGUAAAGACAUUUUGCGCCACGCUUUCAGUACUGAUCGCGCCAAUAUAUUUAUUUUAAUGUAAUAUAAUAUAUAUAUUUGAAAUUGAUGAUCGAAUUGAUUCAUUGUAUUCAUAUAGGGUCAAGGAGUGUAGCUGUAAAAAAUCAUCAAAAUCGGAGUUAAAAUAACUGAUAAAUCGUGAAUUUUCAUUUAUAACCGUCGAAAAGUUUUGUCCCGUCACUUGAUCUUUGAAUGUUUGUUUUUUCCGAUUUUUGGCGUAUAUGAUCUCGAAGUAUAAACAAACAAGUUUGAUGGUUGGAUCAUUGAAACUAGUUUUGUGGAAUGCAUAUGCCAUGAAAAUAAUAUAGUCACCAACAAUUAAGAGUUUAUUUAUACUUUCGUCAAAUAUAACGUAAGAUGUUGUGGCAUCCACUAGUGUAAAGAUCUUAAAUUAAAGAUCAAAUUCAGCCAUUGUAUUAAUAUAGGGUCAAGGAGUGUAGCUGCAAAAAAUCAUCAAAAUCGGAGUUAAAAUAAUCGUUAAAUCGUGAAUUUUCAUUUAUAACCGUCGAAAAGUUUUGUCCCAUUACUUAAUCUCUGAAUGUUUUUUUUUUUCGAUUUUUGGCGUAUAUGAUCUCGAAGUAUAAACAAACAAGUUUGACGGUUAGAUUAUUGAAACUAGAUACCAAUUAGAUACAUUUAUACAGAUACAGAAUAAACGGUUCCCGUAAAUAAAUAAACUUUGCGCAAUGAAAAAAAAAUUGGUCCCGAAAAACUUUGAGGGAUGGAAUCUUACGUCACGCAAAAGAUCUUUGAGCGAUGCAAAGACAGUGGGCGUCGCCAACAAACCUUUGAGCGACAACUGGGCAUCGUACGUCGCGUAGUGUUAAGAUUGUCGAGGGUUUAGGGUUCAGGGUUUAGGGUUUAGGGCUUAGGGUUGAUGAUUGCGCGACGAAUAAGAUGUUCAUGCGUUGCGUAAAAUGGGUCACACCUUUCACUUUUUCUCUCUGCCGCAAAGCUCUAAACCCCAAAUUUUGGUGAAUCACAACCUUGCUCGACGGAAGAACAGCCACUUUGUUGCGCAAAGUCUAUAAAAGAAAACCUUGCGCGACGCUUUUGUUUGUUCGUCGCUUAAUAUCGGCCAGGCCCUUCACCUUCUCUCUCUCCCGCUAAACCCUAAAUCCCCAAUUUUGGGGGAAUAACAACCUUGCACGAUGGAAUCUCAGCUAAUUCGUCACGCAAAGUCUAUAAAAGACAACUUUGCGGGACGCUACUGUGCUUUCGUCGAGAAAUAUCGGUUAGACCUUUCACUUUCUCUCACUCGCACUAAACCCUAAAUCCCAAAUUUUGGCAGAAUCACAACCUUGCACGAUGGAAUCUCAGCUAAUUUGUUGCGCAAAAUGGUCAGGCCCUAAACCCUAAACCCCAAAUUUUGAUGGCCACACAACCUUGCGAGACAGUUGCGUUUAUUCGUCGUGCAAUGUAUUGAAAAUUCUGGCGGAAAACAUACCUUGCGCGAUGCCUCAUGGUUUUUUUCGUCGCGCAAGUUCAAUUAAAAAUAUCUUGGGCUACACUUUCCUUUGUUCAUCACGCAAGAUCGAAUAAAUUUUCAGAAACAACACGACUGCCCAGACCCUUCUUCCUUAUUCCUAUUGUUUUGCCCUAACGCUUCUCUCCCUUCGCCGUCCACCGCCUCGCUGUCAGCCACUACUCCGCCGGAAAAAGGACUGGGCUGCCAUCACCUUCGAAGCCCACACCUUCCCUGCCGUCACCGCUACGUCUGCCAACGAUUUUCGCAGAUUAUUCUCCGGCCUUGUUCUCUCUCCUCCAGCCACCAAUUCCGACACCAAAGGUAUGAUUUCUAGACUAUUUUUCCUGCUUUAGCUUAUGGUUGGAUAGGAUUUGGUUAAUUGUUUAUUUUUGGUAUCUCUAAUUUAAACCCUAAGUUUGGCCGGUUUUUGAAUUUAAAUUCCGGCCACUUCCGAUCAUUUUUCGGGUUAGGUUCGAACAAAAGUGGCUCCAAUUGAAGUUUUGAACCUAGGGAGGAACCUUGGCCCUUAGUUUUUAGAAUUUUUCGGCGAUUGUUAUCGCUUUAGACACCCAUGCGCUGCCGGCGCGUGUGGUGCCGUGUGGGAUAACUGUAGCAGUGGGGCAUUGGGUCCCAGUGCAAUCCCCUAGUUGUUACGAGCGCGUAGGUGUGCUUGGAUUUGAAUUUGGUUACCAUUUGAGUCUCGAACGGAUUUCGCCUAUUGUGCAAUUUUUGAGUUUGAUAUGUUCGGACCGUUGGAUCGAACUCAAACUCACAUAUGUUGUACCUUGUAUUUCUAGGAUCGUGUAUGAGUCGACAGAUCAUGGAUCAGAGUCCCGGAUACUUCGAAAUCGCAAACACUAUGUCAUCUAUGCUUUUAAUUAAUUAGUUAAAAUGCUUAAUGAAAUUGUAUGUGCUUAUAAUUAAAUAUUCGUAAAUUUGAUUAAUUUGUAUGUGUAUUAAUGAAAUUUUGCAAAUGUCAAACCUGAUUAGAAGUCGUAAGGCAGAGACGAUUGCACAGAGUUCACCUGCCUCAGCUCAGUCGUCAUCUGCUGCCACUGCUCCAGCACUGAUGGACCACUUGCCAGUUGGUCCCGGGGGGUCCCAGGCCCCUACUUCGUCGGAUUCAUCAGUGGCACAGCCUGUUAGCGCCAAGUGGCGUCACCAGCCAGCUAGCACCACCGACACCACAUUGACCGACGCUACUAGUGCAUCGGGGUCAGCCAAGUAUAGAUUUCCUUCAACUACAGUUCUUUGUGUGUGUGUGUGUGUGUGUGUGUGUGUGUAUUUUAUAGUUAAAUUUGUUAUUUAUUUGACAUUAAUGUCAUAUUUCUUUGCAGCUAAGAAGAGCACCGGAGGGCCGUGUCGGCAGUUGAAGACGACGAAGGUCACUCGGGUGACCAACAGUCGUAUCAACAUCGGAUAUGACGAGCGACAUCGGGCUGCACCGACGGCGGAGUUGCAUAGCUCCUUGGCCCACGACAUUGGUCACGUCGUUCGGACCCAUUGCUCAAUGCAAUGGAAGUCUUAGAAGGCCAUGCCUGACGAGAUCAAGAUAGAGGUGCGUGGCCAGUUGUCGGUAUGUAGCCUACCUUUUAAUUCUUUUCCUUUCAAACUUUAUAUAUUUCUAUUACUUAAUAUAUGUUAUUAAUUUAUUGCAGACAAACUACAACUUAGAGGACCUCGACGACGAGUCGUUGGCGUAUGUCAACAGACUCUUCCCUGAGAGGUACAAGCAGUGGAAGAGCGACUUGCACCACCAUUUUGAGGCAUUUGAUGAUCCGCAAGUCGCUCUUCAGGAGGGUUGUCCGAAGGAGUUUGAGGGGCGGGAGGAUAGUUGGGCGUGGCUCUGUGCUCAUUUUCAAGCGCUCGAUUUUGUGGUAUUUUUUAAUAUUAAUUUCAAAAUUAUUACAUAUUUCUUACUAAUGUUUAUUUAAUUUUUUAUAUUUCAUUUCAAUUUCAACUAAUACGUUUUAUUUUUUGUAUAACAGAAUAAAGCCAAAGUCAAUAAGGGCGAUAGGAAAAAGAAGAGUCUUCUCCACCAUUCAGGUUCUAGGCCAUUCUCAUAUAGGAUGGAUGCAUGGCAGUGGGUAAUAAAAAAAUAGUUUAUAUUUAAUUUUUAAUAUGUCAUUAUUAUUAAUUUAUUUUUUUCGUACUAUUAUUUUUCUUCUCUUGUAAAAUUUCGGGAGGAGGUCCAAAUUCCCAGAGAUCGAUGUCUUUGGUGACGUUUAUGUUUGACCUGGGAAUGAGUUGGCCGAGUCCCUUCAUGUAAGUAUUAUUUAACUUUAAUUCUUAUGUUAUGCAUUCAAGUUUCAGGGUUAUUAUAUGAAUGUUUUAAUUUAUAUUUUAUGUUAUGUUAAACAGAUGACGAUGGUGGAGAGGAGCCAGUUGGUUCUUCAGGAAUCCUCCGCCCAACUUCCUCCCGAUACUCCGAUCGAGUUUAUGGAUCCUCCACGAGAUGCUGGGUUUCAGAUCUUGACGGAGACGUUGGAUCAGACUCUCAGGAGGAGGCCGGGGACAUAAUGUCGAGGGAUGGGGAAUGCCCGACGGAGGGAACCUAGACCCCGUUCAUCAAUGCAGUCAAACAUUCAGGUGACUGCUUUGACAGCAAAGGUGGCCGAGCUUCAGGGUCAGAUGUCAGUGAUUCUGUAGUCCCCCGCGUGGUCCGGCAUUCCAGUACAGCAAUUUGAUACGUCGACCUCCGAGCCCGUCCACCCCGAGCAUGCCCACUAGACCACUGCUCUUGUAGACCCGCAGACCUCCGAGCUGCAUAUGCCUGACGACCAAGUAGAUUUUGGAACAUUAUUUGAUUAGUUUUUUAUUUUCACAAUUAUAUUUUAAACCUUUCUCUUGUAGUAUACAUCUAUUUUAUUUUAUAUAAUUUUUUGUUCUCUUCAAUUCAUUUUUGUAUUGCAAUUUCAUUUUAUGACCAAAAAAAAAAAAACCAAAUUUAUUUUUUUACAAAAUUAAAAAAAACAUAAUAUUAAAUUUAAAUAAUAUAUAUAUUAAUUUUGCGCGACGAAAUAUUUUUCGUUGCGCAAAUUCACAUUUUAUAAAAUAAAAAAACGUAAAACUUCAUUUUAAAUACAUUUAGUUUAUUCUUGCGUGACGAAGUCAUUCAUCUUGCAAAAAGGAUAUGCGCUAUGACGAAAAUUUCAUCGCGCAAUAUUGUUCGUCGCGCAAAUGUUGGAGACACGAGUUGGGCGACGAAGGAAAGAUCGUCGCGCAACUGUUUGCGACUUGAAUCGCGCGACGAAUAUUUUCCUUCGCACAGUAUAUUCGCGACGAACAUGCUUUUGUCGGCCAAAGGUUUGUGCGACGAACAAUUGUGUUAUCCCUAAACAUUUUGUGCAAUAAAGGUUAACCGUCGCUCAGUUUUGUGCGACCAAUGCAAAAACUUGGUCACACAAAGUCUUUCCUCACUCUCUUUGCGCGACGGAUUGUGCGCGACGAAUUUUCUGUCGCACUGAAAAUUGUGCGACUAAAAGUAACUUUGCGCGACGAAAUCCUCUUCGCCGUGCAAAUCGUAAAAUGUAGUAGUGUAUGCAUUUAACAACAAAUGCAAUUUGAAACGAGUGUUGCUAAAUGAACUCUAAAAUUAACUGAGUAUACCCUAUGUACAUCCUAAUAUUUAAAUCAAACUGUAAAAUUAACUAAGUAUACCCUAUUUAGCUACCAAAAAUAUCAUUAGCAAACCCUUAUACACUCUAAAGCAUUAGUCGCCUCCUCCUUAAGCAUCCUUACAGGGAAAGCUCAACCGAAUUGAUGCACAAUCAACUGGGAACAAUGCAUGCUUGCCACCAACUCAUCUAAUUUCGGAUUCACACCAAGGUUUUGUUGCCACCCGAAUAAAUAGUCCGCGAGGUCCAGGGCCAUCCACUUAUGACUCAUGCUUAUCUAUUUUGGAAGCUGAAGACACCUGUCAUGCAUUUCCUUUUCAAAAGUCUAAAUGGUUGAAUAUUCUAUUGUAUUACCAACGUCAAAUAGUACCAUAUAUAUAUACAGCAAUAACCUUCUAUCAACCCUACUGUUAAGGCUUUGAAGACGUGAUCCAAUAUUAGUGGGAUUUGACCUACACUAAUUUGGGCAAGUAAAGAUAUUACAAAUAUUUACAAAGAUAUUUCCUAAUACUCCCCCUCAAGUUGGAGAGUGAAUAUCAUGAAGUCCCAACUUGUCGCGCAAUGUCACAAAUUGAUCCUUCCCCAAGGCCUUCGUAAAAAUAUCUGCCAUCUGGAAGCGUGUAGGUACAUACGAAGGACUAAUUAUUCCAGCUUGUAGUUUUUCUCGAACUAUGUGACAGGAUUAGCGGCAAUAUACAAAGCUGACUGAUUAUCACAAAACAAUGGUGCAGGAGCUAUCUGUGGGACUUUUAAAUCCUGUAGUAUAAAGCGUAACCAAGUUAGCUCCAAACAUGUGUUGGCCAUAGCUCGAUAUUCAGCUUCUGCUGAUGAUCUUGAAACAUUGGUUUGUUUCUUGGAUUUCCAUGAGAUGAGUGAAUUGCCAAGAAAAACACAGUAUCCUGUAACUGAUCUCCUUGUCGCACGACAACCUCCCCCAGUCUGAAUCACAAAAAGCUUUUAAUGUAAGAUUGUUGGUGGCAGAAAAUAACAAACGCUGACCUGGAGUCCCCUUGAGGUAUUUAAGGACCCGUAUGGCAGCAUCCUAAUGAGGUCUGCGAGGCUGAUGCAUGAAUUGACUUAGUGUUCAAACAAGAUAGACUAUAUCAGGCCUUGUGACAGUAAGGUAGAUCAAUCGGCCAACCAGUCUCCUGUAUUAUCAGUAAUUCUCAAUCUGUGGGAGUGAGUUUCAAAUUCUGUUCCAUUGGGAACUUGUCUAGGUGUGCGCCUAAAAGUCCUGAAUCCUGCAAAAUAUCAAGUGCGUACUUUCUUUGAGACAUGAAAAUACCUUUCUUGGAACGAGAGAAUUCAAUGCCUAGAAAAUAUUUUAAAUCUCCAAGAUCUUUGAUACGGAAGCGAUUGAGAAGGAACUUUUUGAGACGUUCCAUUUCUUGAAGAUUAUUUCCUGUGAGAAGCAUGUCAUCAACAUAGAUAAGAACUGCAGUAAAUGAAGUGCCUUCAGCUUUGGUAAAAAGAGAAUAAUUAGCUUUAGAUUGUUGAUAACCAGCCUUUUGAAUGGUAUCUGAAAAGGUGGAAAAUCAGUUUCUAGAAGUCUGUUUGAGACCAUAAAGAGACUUGUUGAGCCGACAUACAGCGUUCUCCCCCUGUUGGCGAAGACCAAGAGGAGGCUCCAUGUACACCACCUCAUGUAAAUCGCCAUGGAGAAAAGCAUUUUGAACGUCUAAUUGGUGGAUGAACUAAUGGCGGGCAGCAGCAACAGUAAGAAGACAACAGAGGGUAGUGAGUUUGGCUGUAGGGGAGAAAGUCUCCUGAUAAUCGAUGCCUUGAAUUUGAGUGUAGCCUUUAGCAACAAGCCGAGCCUUGUAGCACUCAAUGGUGCCAUCGGACUUGUAUUUGAUUUUGUAGGCCCAUUUGCAGCCGAUCAGUUUAUGACCAACAGACAGCGGAACCAAACUCCAAGUGUUAUUGUGCUAUAAAGCCUCUAGUUCUGCAAUCAUGGCUUGGCACCAAUGUGGAUCAAGAAUAGCCUGAGCAUAGGAUGUGGGUUCUGUGUGACCUGUAAUCUUAGCAAGAAAAGCACAAUGGGCAGAGGAUAAAUGAGAGUAGGUAAGGAAGUGGGAAAGGGGAUACCGAGUACCUAAUGCAGAACGAGGUGCUGAGGUUGAGUGAUUGACGUGGUUGGACAUGUGGUAGUCUGUAUGCCAUGCCGGAGGAUGUUUAUAGCGAGUGGACUAUCGAGGAGAGGGAAUGAGAGGAAUGGGAUUAUCUGUAUGUGGAGGGGUAGGGUCGACGGAUGGGGACAAAGGUGGGAUGGGAGAGGUGGGGUUGUCAAGCUAGUCAUAUGCGUCACAGAGGAUAGAGUGGUUAGGCACUUGUGGUGGGUUGGUUGGAGGGUUGGAGGAUUGACUAGUAGGUUGGGCGGAUCAAUUGGUGGGGUCCAACUGUUAAGAAAAUCAGAGGAAAGGUAGGGCUGAGGAGUAGGUGGGGUAAGGGAGGCCGAAAAUUGAGAGAAAGGGAAGGUAUUUUCACAGAAUCGGACAUCACGGCUUACAAAGAAUUUGUUUGUCUCCAAAUUGUAGAGUUUGUAACCCUUUUGGCCAAUAGGAUAUCCAACAGAGACACAACGUGUGGCACGGGGAUGAAAUUUAUGAAUAGGAUAGACAAUAGUUGCAUAACAGAGACAACCAAAGACUUUCAAGUGGUCGAGUGAUAGGGGACGGUUGUAUAACAAUUCAAAAGGUGAUUUACUGGAAAGUAAUGGUGAGGGUAAUCGGUUAAUAAGAUAGACAGUGGUUAAGACACAUUCACCCCAGAAAAUAAUGGGUAAGUGAGACUGAAAAAGUAAUGCAUAUGCGACAGUGAGAAUGUGGCGAUGCUUGCGUUCGACGACUCCAUUUUGUUGUGGAGUGUAAACACAAGUGCGCUGAUAUUCAAUGCCAUUAUUUUGAAAAAAAUCCCUCAUGGAGAAAAAUUCAGACUCGUUAUCUACCUGAAUGGUUUUAAUGUGGGCAUGGAAUUGAGAGUGGGCAAAAGAGACAAAAGAUUUGAGAAGGUUUUGGGUUUCAGAUUUAUGCUGCAUCAAAAAUAUCCAUGUGCACCUAGUAAAGUCAUCCACAAUGGUAAGAAAGAAACAUGCCCCUGAAUGUGUGGUAACUUUGUGUGGACCCCAAAUAUCACAAUGUAACAAAUCAAAAGGAGCUUUAAUUGAUAUUGAACUUAGAGGAAAUGGAAGUCUUGUUUGUUUGGCCAUGGGACAAACACUACAAUUAUUAUCAAAAGAAAUAGUAUUGGAAGGCAAUAAUGAAGAAGCUAAUCGAAGAAGAGCAGGGGAUGGGUGUCCAAGUUGCAUGUGCCAUAAAUCGGAUGAGAGUGAAACUUGAUAUGAGACAGGUGUCUUUUGCAAUGGAGACAUGUAAUAGAGACCACCACGCUGUUUACCCAAGCCAAUCAUCUUCCUCGUAGCCAAGUCCUGCAAGGCACAGAAGGUAGGAAACAAAAUGGCACAACAGUUUAGAGAAGUAGUGAGUUUGCUGGCAGACAUAAGAUUUAAGCGAAAAGAUGGAACACACAAAACUUUGUCUAAUGUGAUAUUUGAAUUGAAUGGUAUAGUGCCAGUGGAAGUGAUUGGGGCAUGAGAACCAGUAGGUAAAUUAACAAUGGGCAUUUGUGAUUAUUCAGUUUUAGUGAAAAGUCUGGGAUCAUAAGUGAUGUGAUCAGUAGCUCCACUAUCUAAAAUCCAAGGUUUAGUGAACACAGAAUUUAUGGAAGGAAUGGAAAAAGAAGCCAGACCUGCAGCAUUUGCAUAAGCAUUGCUAUUACCAGAGGAAUGAGUUGAACUCAUCAUAGAAACAGCAUGUGCUAGUUCUUGGAGUUGCUCUGCAGAAAACCCAUGUAAAGGGUUGGAUUGAGAGGCUGGCUGGGUUGGUGCACUGAAACCAUAUGAUUGGGCCUCAUGCGAUGGAGCUGUGUCUGCGGCGUGGGCAGUAGGAAAGGACCCACGUGAAUUGAUGUGCCCUCUAGACCCUUGACGUUGUUGCUUAGAUUGAUUAUGCCUAUUGCCUUGAAUUCCUGUGUCAUUGGGAACCCAUGCCCCAUUUUUAAAUUUACAUCUAUCCUCAGUGUGGCCUCUCCUAUCACAAUACUUGCAAUGGAAUUUAAGGGUCCGACAUUCUUCGAUUGUAUGACAGUUUCUAUCAGAGUGCUCACAGUGUUUGUUCGUCGAAUUAUUCGACAUAUUGUUUGAUCGGCUGUGAAUCGCAACGGCAAUGGAAAAAUUCUCUGUUGGUCCUGAUGUUAUUUGUUGCUGUGUUUCGUCUUGAACGACAAGUGAAUAGGCUUGGCGGACAUUAGGCAAUGGCGACAUCAUGAGGAUAUUCCCGCGAACACCGUUGUAGGUGUCGUUGAGGCCCAUAAGGAAUUGCAUCAUCCGAUCUUCUUCCUUUUGUGUAUUGUGUGCUUUCAUCUCGUUACAUGUGAGAGGUGUUUGAUAUGUUUCUAAUUCGUCCCAGAGAUCUUUGAGUUUCUUGUAAUAGUCUGAAACUGUCAUGGUGCCUUGUGAGAGAGAGGCGAUGGAUUUCUGUAUCUGAUAUAUGGUUGGGGCAUUCUUUUGUGAGAAUUGAUCUUUGAAAUCUUGCCACACUUGAUGGACAGUCUUGGCAUGAACAACUGCUUUGGCUAGAUCAGGUUCCACCGAAUGAGCAAGCCAUGAUAAAAUCAUACUGUUGCAUUGAUUCCAGAGAGCAUAUUCGGUUGGUUGUUUUGUUUCUACAGGAGGUUGAACGGAUCCGUUGACAAAGCCAACUUUGUUCUUGGCCGUGAGAGCAUGGAGCAUGGAUUUACUCCAAGAUGGGUAAUUGGUGCCAUUCAACUUUAUGGGAACGAGCAUGAGACCGGGGUGAUCUGAUUGAUGAACAAAAUAUGGGUGUGAUGAAUCCAUACCAGGAUUUUUGGUGUUGGUGCUUGAAUUUUUGGAAGUAUUGUCUUUGGUUUCUAGUGGUGUUUGAUCUGACAUGAUGUUUGAAGGUGGGUAGGAAGUAGAAGGGGUCAAGUACCAGGAUGAAGCUCUGAUACCAUCUAAAGAAAGUAAAUGGUUGAAUAUUCUGUUGUAUUACCAAUGUCAAAUAGUACAAUACAUAUAUACAACAAUAGCCUUCUAUCAACCCUACUGUUAAGGCUUUGAAGACGUGAUCCAAUAUUAGUGGGAUUUGACCUACACUAAUUUGGGCAAGUAAAGAUAUUACAAAUAUUUACAAAGAUAUUUCCUAAUAUCCUCGUCGGGAAAAGAUGUUCUGGGACUUGGUGGAAGUUGUAGUGGAGGUUUCAGACAGAAUGCUGCUUCCAAAGUAUUCAAGUUCCCUAAUGCAGCCAAGGUUUGCUGAAUUCUAUACAUAAUGAAUAUGUUGCUUAAAUCUGGAUUCAUAUUUCAAAAUCAAUUGGCUUAAUCAAUUGGAUUCAUACAAUAUAGAUAUGUUUUUUACCUUUUGAAAAACGUAGAUAUUUUUCACAUACGUUUGAUUGGGAAAUGGUGAGUAGGGUGUACUUGUUAAAAUUACAUUUGUUUUACAAUUCAACAUAUCUUUUUUGGUCAUUUUAUAUUAGGUUAAAUUAGUAAUUUAAUAAACAGUUUGGUAAUAAGGUGUACUUAGUUAAUUUUAGGGUUCGUUUAACAGCAUUCUUUGAAACCCAUUCUCAAGCUUCUAAACCUUGAACCAUGUGUGUGCCAUGGAUUUAAUUUAUUUUUCUCAUUCUAUCUAAGAUCAACUUUGAUAAUAUUUUUCUUUGUUUACUGAUGAACAAAAGUUAUACUUUGCAAGUGCACUAAUCGAUAUGAUAGUAUAGCAAGCAAACACGAGAGUUGUUCCCACAGAGAUUUGUAAAGUUUAUCAAUUAAUUUCAAAUAUGAUUACCUUAAGAAAAGUGAAAAAUAAAAACGAAAUAUUAAAAGUACUAAAGUAGCCGAAAAUAAGAUUACUCAAUUUUAAUCUAAGUGUUGAAAAUCAAGAAAAUAAAAUAACAAAGGUUGAAAAUUGGUUUUGAAAAUCAAUGGAUGAAAACUAGGAUUCCGACUUCACCGUAACAAUCCCAUUCUAUGUAUUGAGUCAAUUUUGAGAAUAAAGUUCCAAUUCAAUUCUAAGGGUUUGUUCUCUCUUUAAUAUGAUGAUUCGUUCGGCCCCGGUGUCACCAAAUAUCCUCAAUUAAACCCAACUAAUGAACCCUAUAGUCAAAUUUAAUCGAGAACCCAUUAAGUUUACGAAGGACAGUCAAGAACCAAGAAGUGUCUUAGCUUGAACCCCGUCUUUAACAACAACUCAUUCAUUCAUAGUGCAUAUAAGAUUAGGGAUGAACCCCUCACCCAAUCCUAUCUUAGACAAUCCAAAAUACUUAUAAUGGUCAAUUACAAGUGUCAAGAUCACAAUUACAAUAAUGAAUGAAACAAGGAAUGUGAAUUGAUUAAAAAUAAGAUGUUAACUCAAUAAUAUGGAAUCAUCAUGUUAGGUUACAUCGGAUCCCUAGCAAAGAAUUUAGUUACCCAUAGCCAUCUUAGGAACAAACAAUAUACUAAUGAAAAUAGAAUACAAAGUUUGAAUUAAGAUAGAAAAAUAUUUAGAUGAAUCCACUGCAGUUAAACUCUUCCUUUGGCAAAUCUUGAAGGCUAUGAACGGCCAAGAAAGUGAGUAUGUGAAUUGGGUGAUUGAGAUAUUGAACAAUAUGCUAGCGUUCUCCUAAAAAAUCUAGUCUAAAAGAUGUAUUUAUAGGCCCUAGGACUUUUCUCUAAUCAUACAAGGAUUAGGAAACUUUAAAAUCCCAAAAAUCAUAGGAAAACUAGCCAAAAAUGCCAAAAAUUAUGCGCUAGAUUUGCGCCGUCCGCUCGAGUGCCAAAACGUAGUUACAUAGUUCAUAGCUUGAACCACUCGUAUGAAAACUGAUGUAACUUCCUCUAGAAGACUCGAAAUCACGAACUGUAACUUCUCUAGAAACUAGACUUCCAGAGCUUUCCAACGAAAAUUGGCAAGUUAUCUAAUUCUUCCCGAGCACGUACAGGUAAAUCCUUAAAAUUGACCUAUGUGCACAAGCAGUUUCUUGACUUGCAAGUUGCUAAUUCCAAAUUUCUAUCUUCUUUACUCAUUUUCGCUAUAUUUUGCUUCUUUUAGUGCCAACUCAAGCCUAGGGACAAUUUCCUACAAAACUCACACUAAACACAUCAAAACAACCAAUUUUAUAGAAGAAACUAAUGCAAAUCAUAGGAACAAGGCAUGAGAAAAAAGCACAAAUAUGGAGUCCACAAUUAUAUUCCUAAGUAUGCAGUUACCAAACAUAGGAAUGCAAUUUGAAACCCAAUCUCAAGCUCCUAAACCUUGAACCAUGUGUGUGACAUGGAUUUAAUUUGGUUUUCUCAUUCUAUCUAAGAUCAAUUUUGAUACUAUUUUUCUUUGUUUACUCUUCCAAUAUUUUUACAUUGAUAGAAUUUGGGUUAUACUUACUUAAGAUACCAAAUUUGUAAUAUUGAAAUUUAAUAAUUAUAAUAAAUUCUCAAGUAUAUCAUAGAGUUAUUUAAAGUUGGCACUCCUUAAUAGAAUUCUCAAAUAUAUCAAAAAGUUAUUUAAAGUUCACACUCUUUAAUAGAAUUCCUAUCUCCACUGUUGACAAGAAACUUGGAGUCCACUGGAUUCAAGACCUCGAGCCUGUCUCGAGAAUAAGUUUUACACGCCCAUGUGUACCUAAAAGUCCAAUACCUUCGUGUUGGCCAAGUUGUGGGCCAAAUUCAAGUCACCAUACUCUUCUUUCUGAAAAGUUCUAAAGGGAGUUUAGGGUAUUUUUGAUAUAAAAAAAAUAAAAAGAAAAGGAGUUUUAUCGACAAGCAGUAUUGGAUCUAGUACGGAGCCAGUGAAGGCACUAGCCCCACUCAGUUUUGUCUACACCUAUGAAGUGUCAAAUUUACAUGAUAUUUUCUAUUGAAUGGGGACAAAUUAUUUAAUAAAAAUGCCUCAAAGAAGGCUAAAGCGAGGCAAUAAGAGCAUGUGCAGCACUUCGGUUUGGCCUGGGCAAAAGGCCCCCCUGCUAGCCUAAAGCAACUCCAGCGCUUCAGUUCUUGCAUUUUCAAUUUCAUUUUUUUUAAUAAAUUAAUUAAGGAAAAAUAAAAAAGAGGAAAAUCAUUACAUAUAGCUUCUUAAGUGAAUAAUGUUCGCAGUCGGUUCCAGUGAUGCGUUCCGUGUCUGAAAUAAUGGCACUAUUAUGUCCUCCGAAGGAAUAUACUCCCCCACAUCGUGAUCUGGUGGAACCGCCUCUGUCAAUGAUUGAGUCGUUCUUGUACUCCAUUGUGUCGGACUAUGAGGAUCGAGAAUAUUUUAAUUGUAUGAUGAGUGAGUAGGUAUUUCAAUUGUAUGAUGAGUGAGAUGUGAAUUUUAUAAUAAAUAUGGACACGUGGCAACCAAAAAUUUUAUCCGAAAAAUGUUAUCUGAAAUUUUAAGUGAGAAUUUUAUAAUAAAUAGUGACAAGUAACAACCGAAAAUAUUAUCUAAAAAGCUUAUCAAAAUUAAUGAUUUAAGUAUAAAAAAAUAGAAAAUAAAGUAAAAUAAAUAGUAUUUUCCCUUGCCCUUUGAAGUGGAACUAAAAAAGACAAGACUAACACUUUUCACAUAAAUAGUGUAUGUUCUUGCCUUACCUUUGCCUCGUCCUUGCCUUUUGAUAUGGAGGUGCUCUAAAGUGGCAAGUGAAUGGCUGAGAAGAGCUGCAUUAGGCCAAACUUUACAGGUUGUUGGUAGGCUCCAUUAGCCACUGCAUGCUAGGCCAUACUUUAGGACAAUUUCUGGAUCCACUAGUGCCUCCUAAACUGUACACCAAAACCAUUCUUUAUUAUAAAAUAGUUGACCUUUGCUCAGACGCCCAUACUAACAUGGCAGAAGUAAAACAAUUGAACUUGAACACUAGAGGUGCUUGUUUGAAUAUGAAUAGCCACCUGGCGGCUGUGGAGCUCUUUUACAAUUUUCGUCUUAUCUCUCUUCUAAUUAAACAUUAAAUUACUUGCUUUCGACCGAAAAAGGAAAAAAGAGAUUAUGUUGUAAUGAAAGUAAUGAAUCCCACGUAAAGGAAAAGAAGGAAGCUUAGUCAAAAGUUUAAUGAUGAUGUUAGAAGCUUAAUGAUAAUGUUGGGUAAUGAAGCCAUCCAAUUUGCCUAUAGACUUGCUCAUUCAAUUGUAGAACACACCAAAGGAGAAGAGAAGAGAAAGAAGAGAAAGUGAGAGGAAAGAAGAGAGAGUGAGAAAUCUGAGUGUCUUAAGUUCUGUAUGAGAAGAAAUUCUGUCAGUGUAAACACUAUAAAGAGCAAAUAUAAUUCUACUCCCAAUAUUCAAUAGUACUUCCUAUACUUUGCUUAUUUUAUUUUUAUAACACGUUAUCAGCAUGAUAGUUUCUCCUUUUUAUUUCUAAAUCUUUCCCAACUGAACACUAUGUGAUUAUUUCUCUGUCUCAUCUCUGUCAUAUGUCUCUUCUCACUUUACUACUACGACGACAUGCAAACUUUCUUUUUUGUGUUCUCACAAUUUUUAUGUUGUUUCAUCCAUGCUUGUUUAAUUUACUUCUUUGUAACGUAAUUUGGAAUGGUGUGGUUUUAUACCCCAUCCAGUUAUUUUAUGGUGGUGUAAUUUUUAUUAUCCAUCGCGUUGUAACACAAAUUAUCAUAAGAAAAUGAUGGUGUGAUCUUAAAACCCAUCUAUUAUAUCUUGAACGGUGGCAUAGUUAUAUUGCCCACAAUAUAUAAUAUGUUAUAUAUUUCAUAUGUAUUAGGUGGUGAUUUUAUCCCCACAUUUAUUUUAUUUACGGGUAUGGAGUAGGUUUACCCAUACGACAAUAUUUAUUUAAAAGUGUGGCACAGGUUUAUUGUCCACACAACUGUAUUUACUUUUCAUUUAAAAGUAUGGAGUAGAAUUAGUGCCCAUACCAGCACGUUUACUUUAUCGCACAUUUACUUUUACUUAAAGUAUGAUGUGGAAUUAACCCUCAUACUUUAUGAAUUUACUUUUCCUCACAUUUACUUCUAUUUAAAGUAUGAUGCUGAAUUAACGUCCUUACAACAACAAUUUACUUUAUGAAUUUACUUUACCGCACAUUUACUUUUAUUUAAAGUAUGGUGCAGAAUUAAUGUCCAUACAAUAAGCAAUUUACUUUACCGCACAUUUACUUUUAUUUAAAGUAUGGUGCGGAAUUAACGUCUAUACAAAGCAAUUUACUUUUAUUUAAAGUAUGGUGCAGAAUUAACGUUCAUACAACAAGGAAUUUACUUUAUGAAUUUACUUUACCGCACAUUUACUUUUAUUUAAAGUAUGGUACGGGUUUAUCGUCCAUACCUGCAAAUUUAUAGCACUUUAUUUUUAUUAUUAAUUAAUAUACAUGAAUAAAGAGGGCCUGAAGUUCCACAAAAAAAAUAUAGGGCCUGAAGUUUCUAUUAAUAAAUGGCUUAAUAUCCUAGAUCCCGAGCCUAAAGUUUUGGGUAAAAUAUGCAAGAUAUUUUUGGCCAGAAGUUCAAAAAUAUAUUAAGCCUGAAGUCCCGAAAUAUGUGCAGGAAAUUAUAAAAAUGUCCAUACUGUGAGAAUAUGUGAUUUUGGCUUGAAGUUCAAAGUCUAACAGUAUUGAGAACCUGAAGUUCCAACAAUCAAAUGGACAACCCUUAAGGCAUUAUUGCAAAUUGUGUUGCCCAUUCAUAUGGCUUGGGUCCAAGGGGCAAUCCAUCCACGAGUGGCAAAAAUGCAUCCUGGAAUAAGGGGAAAGCACAGACAAGCUAUAUGCCUAGAAAUGUUGAAGGCGCUUGUCAUAGAUAUGGUGCAAAGUAUAUUGGGCACGUACAUGCUGUACGCCGAAUCAUUUGGUGGAUCUUUAUCAAUCGUCACUUAAGAACAGGAAAGUGAAGACAAAUUACAUUGAUCAAGUUAUACCAGAUCUGCAAGCCACAGAUGACCCAUCGGAGUGUUUAUCAAUCUUCACUCAGACAUGACGCAUCUGAAUGUUUCCGAUUUUGCAAUUGAAAGAUGGAAUGAAGUUUAUGGGUCCGAAUUAGAUUAAAUUUCUUAAUGUGCCAUUUGUAUUAUCUGAAGUGUUGUUUUUUAAAUUUCCAUUUCAAUCCAAUAAAAGUGACAAUGUUUUCUAUACAUUGAAUAGAAUAAUUGUUUAUUGAUUCAGCUUAUUUUAUUUAUUUGAAGGGAUGGAUGUAAAUUAUGGAUGCCCUCAAAACGAAAGUUAUGGCAAAAAUAUUUGUCUUGCAGACAGCGCGACUACUCAUACGAUCCUUCGAGAUCAAAAGUAUUUCUCAAACUUGAUGCUUACAAAAGCAAAUGUAACAACUACAUCAGGUCCUACAGAUCUGAUUGAAGGCUCAGGAACGGCCCAAGUCAUGUUACCAAAUGGAACAACACUGUCCAUUCAAGAUGUUUUGUAUUAAUCUAACUCCAGAAGAAAUCUAUUGAGUUCCAAAGAUAUACAUUUGAAUGGCUACCAUGUUGAAACAAAGAAUGAGAAAAACAUGGAAUAUCUUUGCAUUACCUCCAGUGAUACCCAGAAGUGUCACUACUACAAAAAGUGAAAAAGACGACCAGAAAACAACGACGGUCUAAGUGAAAACCGUCGUGGUUUAUAAAAAGACGACGGUUCUAAAAACACCGUCGUGUAAUACAACCUUAGACAACUAAAAAAUGGAGUUUCAAAUGGCUGUUCAAAAACAACGACGUACAUAAUUAAACAACCGACGUCUAUUUGAAACAGAUUUCCUCAGUGUAAAAUCAAUGCCAACAAAGAACGGCAGAAGUUAUGAAUCGACCGACGUAGAAAGUAAAGACGACGAUUUCAAUAAAAACUGCCGUUUUUACUCAUAAAAUAACACGACGAGGUUUUCGUAUAAGACGCCGUAUAAUUACAAACAAAUCCACGGCUUUAAAAUACAAAAUAUCGCCGUAUUAAAUUAAUUUACAACGACGGAAAAUAUAAAUAUAUCGACGUCAUUCUCGUAUAGUUCUACUACGUUAUCUUUAAAUCGUACAAUAAAAUUUAUCGUCGUAUUUAUUCAUUUUAUACGUCGUACCUUUAAUUUUAACGGUCGUCUUAAUAAGAAUUUUUGUUAACAAUUUUUUUCUUUGAUUUUCUUAUCCUACGUCGGUAGAUCUACUUAAUGACAAGAAUUGAAAUAACCACGACGGUUUAUAUAGAACACCGCCGACAUAAUCAGUUUUGUCUGAGAUCCCAAGGGUUACGAAAUCUUACCAGAUGGAACUCUGUUCCACAUCAUAAUCUUAACAGAUGACACAGAUUUGCAAAUAUUGCGUCGUGUUAGUUUACAAAUUCUAGAACAUUAAUUUCCCUCAUUUUAAAUUUCCUCGGGAAAGAAAAAUCUAUUUAUCACGCUUUGGAAUUGAAAACUAAAACUGAAAGAAUACGGGAAAAAAAACUCCAUUUAUAAUUUAAAAUUAAAAUCCACGUCGGUUGUAGUACACUUAACGACGUUUAACAAAAUAAUCUACGUCGGUAAUUAUAAAUCUACCGCCAUCGUAACUUAAUAUAGACGACGAGAAAAGACGACGGUAGAACAGAAAACCGCCGUUGUUUCAGUUUCUUUAACAUAUCUUUCUGCAGGACUUGUGUAGUUCAAAGCAUUGACAAUGUCUUCAUCAUAUCUCCCAGAAACUACUGAUUCAAUUGCUCAUGCUUUAGAGGCCAUCUGAAGCCAUUUCUAUUCUUUAUCGCAUUCUUGAAACCCAUCUUCUUCUUCUGAAGCUCUACGGAUAAAGGAAGAGGCUAUCACAAUAAAUCCGACGGAUCUUCUUAGGCAAGAAAAUCAAGCAGAGGAUCAGGCACAUCUGAUCUUCAGAUUUCCCUGAGAAGCGAACUUUCCUUCGACAGCGAGUGGAGGCCAGGCUUGCAUCUCUUUUGAUGGAAAGCAAGGAGUAUUCAGAAGCACUAAGUGUCCUAUCAGGCUUGAUCAAGGAAGUGAGAAGGCUAGUUGACAAGCUUCUUCUUGUGGACAUAUAUUUGAUGCGAGUAAGCUCAAUUUCUCUUUGAGAAAACAUCCAAAUUAUUAUCUUUGAGACAUGAGAGACUGAGAGAGGAAGAACUUGGAACCUUAAAUGUAAACCGAAAAUGAAUGAAAGCGACAAAUUUAUAGAAUAAAUUUUUAAAACCAACGGCGGUCCUUACAAACAAACCGCCGUUUAAAUUGUAAAAUCAACGUCGGUAUGAUCGACGUAUAUUACAGAAAUCCACGUCGGUAAAUUAAUAAAAACGACGUGUUAAAUAAUAUACCAUGACGCGAGUUAUUACUUAUGUACUUUAAUUUUUGAGUUUACUACGACGGUACCUACAAACUACUGUCGUAUUUAUUUACCACGUCCGAAGUUAAAUGUACCGUCGUAUUUUGUAAUUUAUACGUCGUAGUUAUAUGUAACCGCCAUAUUAUUUUUUUGAAAUGGUUUUAUAUGUAAGCAACUUUUCGUCUACUUGACUUACACAUUUGUUGUUUUUAUAUUCUUAUUUUAUUUAAAUCUGUCAUCCAAAAAAGAAACUUUACAUAUUGCAGAAUAUUAAUUUCCUUCGUUUUAAAUUUCCUCCGGAAAAAAAACUCUAUUUAUAACGCACUGUAAUUGAAAAAUAAACUGAAAGGUCACGGGAAAAAAAAUUCUAUUCAUAAUUUAAAAAUUAAAAUCCACGUCGGUUAUAUUAAACCUAACGACGUUAAAUGAAAUGAUUCCACGUCGAAUGAAAAAUAUUGCGUCGUUUUAGUUAAAAACGACGUAGUUAAAUGUAACCGCCGUAUUAUUUUUUUGAAAUGGUUUUAUAUGUAAGCAACUUUUCGACUUACACAUGCACUGUUUCCAAACCCGAUUAAAAAUUUCAAUCUCCCAGAGAAACCUUUUCGUCUUUUUUCCUUGUCAGAGCAUUGUCAGAGUUUCUCAUCGUCUUCCUCUCGUCUUCUUCGUCGUCUCUGAACUUAAACAUCGAUCAUCUUCCUCUUGCUUUCAUUGCACGCAAAAGGUAAGCUUUCAUUUUCACUAUUUUGGUUACUGUUUUGCAUGCUCAUACGUUUUUUGUUUGAAAAAUCUUUUUACCUUUUUUCUGGCCAAAAUCAUUUUACUUCUUUCCAAGUUUGAUAAAAUAUACAGACAAAGAGAGAAAGUUUCCAACUUUGAAGACAACUACAUCAACUAAAUAAGACGACGGUAGACCACGACGGUUCGUCAGUUGUUCUAGCGUCGUCUGAAAAUUGACAAAGUUGUUUUUAAAAUAAUAGUCUUUUUUUAUAUGCUUGUUUAAUUGCAGGUUUGAUUUCGCUGAACAAUGGUUUUUGUUUUUCCCUUAUUUGAUAAAAUAUAAAGAAAAAGAAACUAGGGUUGGUAUCUAAUAUAGACGAUAAAAUAUAAAUAAUAGUUUACCACGACGGUGUAUUACUAUUGACGUCGUGUGAACAUAUAUACCACGACGUUAUAUAAAUAAUGGUUUUAAACAUUUAUUACGUCUGAGAUUAUUUCAUUGCGUCGUCUAAAAUCAUAUCAUACGUCGUAUUUUUUUAAUACCGUCGUUUGUGUUCUUAAUGUUUUCCUGAAAUAUUUUCACUUGCAGUUUUGUCUGUUAAAAUGGUUUCUCAACAACAAACUAAGGAUUCUGGCUCCAAGAAGCUUGGAAUGGUAGCUCCUCAAGAUAAGUCUUCGAAGGAGAUGAAGUCUUCGAAGAAGAUGAAGUUUGCUUCAUCAUCUGCUGAGACAGAACAAACCAGCCAGACAACAAUCUCAGAUGAUUCAAAGACUGGUCGAGGUAUGAGCACAAUGCCUCGUGUUGUGAAGAGAAAGCUUCAGAAACUGAGGCCAAUUGUUGAGUACAAUAAAAGGGGGAAAGGUGUUGGCCAAGCACAUAUUGAGAUGCAGUCGUAUAUUGGUGUGUUGGCACGCUCCAGGAUCCCACUUGUGGACAAGAAAUGGUCCCAAAUCCCCAAGGAUAUAAAGGAGCAGAUUUGGGAAGCAGUUGACAUGGCUUUUGUCGUAGGCCAAGGGGGCAAGACCUCUGUUUUAGCUUCUGCUUCCAAGAAAUGGAAGGAUUUCAAGUCUACACUAACGAGGCAUUAUAUCCUUCCAUACACCAAUGACAGGGAGAAAUUAAGCCAACCCCCUGAAACAUAUAAAUUCAUAGAGAAAGCACAAUGGGAUGCCUUUGUAGCUUCAAGGCUAUCCAAAGAUUUUGAGUCUGUGCAUUCUCAACAUGCACAGAUUAGGGAGAAACUCGAGUACAAUCAUCGAUUGUCUCGAAAAGGAUAUGCUGGAUUGGAGGAUCAAUUGGAGGAAACCAUGCCUGGGGUAGAAAUUGAUCGAUCUACCUUAUGGAAGAGAGCUAGACAGGACAAACAUGGUAACAUCCCUGAUCCAAAGGUGGCAGAGAAGGCAAAAUUAAUUGUAAGCCUACUCACUCUGUUUUAAAUUUUUAUUAAACUGUGAAUUAUUCUUAUUAUGUCGUAUGUUAUAUUUUUCGUCGUGUGAAUGAUAUUACCACGUCGAAAAGUUUUUAAAAACGUCGUUAAAGGUCUAAAUAGGAAUCACUACUAUGUUUUCUGUAAUUACAGCAUAAGACGUCGGUGGUUCAUUUUCGCGUCGUGUGAAUGAUAUUACCACGUCGAAAUUUUUUUAAAAACGUCGUUAACGGUCUAAAUAGGAAUCACUACUCUGUUAUCUUUAAUUAUAGCAUAAGACGUCGGUUGUUUAUUCAUUUCGUCGUUUUAAAUAAAUAACCACGUCGGUAUAACUACCGUCGUGAUAAGUUAUAAUAACGUCGGUUUAUACGUUAUUGCGUCGUGUGAAAUUAUAUAAUACGUCGUUUGUACAUAAAUAACCGUCGUGUGUUUUUUUGUUUAUCUUUGUUUUAGGAUGAAUUGCAGAAACAAGUCUCGGAAGGCAAAGUCAGAGUAGAUGGCAGCAAUGAUGUGCUGACCAUGGCUUUGGGCCCCGAGCAUCCAGGCAGGGUGAGGGGAGUUGGUGCUGGUGUUUCCCCAAGGCAAUAUUUCAAUUUGCCCAAACCACAGAGGGUGAGCUUUGACGACCGUUUGAAGGAGAGUUUAAGAGUUCUCCUUCAAGAAGAGACUAAAAAGAUGGAGGCUAAGGCAAGGGAAGAGGCCUUAAGGAUGGAGGCUAGGACAAAACAAUUGGUAGAGGCUGAGAGGGAGCAUUUCCUGAGUCAGCUUUCCCAAUUAAUUCCCAAUUUUGAUCCAAGCAUGCUUAAACCAAGAAUUAGCCAAAGCCCCAAAAAUCCAAUGUCUGACAAAGCUAGCUGCUCUGGAGGUGAUGUGAGAUCCCUACAUUUGGAGGAUGAUACUGCCAAAAUGGGGAAACAUCAGCCAGAUGAAGAGAAGGAAGAAGAAAAAAGAGAUGAAGAGAAGGAAGAAGAAAAGGAGAAAGAAGAUGAAGAAAAGCAUGACGACAAGGUAUGUUCACAUAACUUUGCCUUUUUUAUUUGUUUUUCAAAAUUUCAGACGUCGAUAUUUUUAUUUAAUCCGUCGUUUGUUUAAAACUUAGACGGCGGAAUUUUUUUAAGACGUAAUAAAAUAUUUAAACGACGGUUUUUGCACCGUCGUUUAAAUGGUUUCAGACGACGCUUUAUUCAUAAAACCGUCGUCUUUAUUGAAUUACCACGACAGUUUUUUCACCGUCGUUUAAAUACUUUUAAGACGACGUUUUAUUACUUAAACCGUCGUCUUUAUUGAAUUACCACGUCAUUUUUUUUAUUUCUUUAAACAGGUUAUUGAAGUUGGUGCUUAUUCAAAAAUGGAGGCGCCAUCUUCUUUAAAAACCCUUUGUCGUUUUGUGGAAACGACACUCCUGCCUGAGGAUAAGACAGUCCAAUUUACAAUUGAUAAGGAGGUGUUUGGUGGUGAGCGCGAUACCUUCCUCCUGCCUGAAGAUAUUACACAAUUUGCAGGCAUGGAAGAAAUUGGAGCUACUGUAUUGGCUGUAUAUAUGAGGUUUGUACUUCUAAAAUAAUAACUCGUUGGUUUAUAUAUUGCGUCGUCUUAACUAACUAACCACGUCGUCUUAACUAACAACCGUCGUGAUAAAUAUAUUAUAACGUCCUCAUCUAUUUCAGUACGUCGUGUGAAAUAUUAUAAUACGUCGUUUUUUUAUACAUAACCGUCGUGUUUUGUGUGCUGACUUGUUUAUAUUAUUUUAUUUGUUUAGGUACUUACACGAUGUUUUGAAAAAAGCCAAUAUGUGCAGUAUGGUUGGCUUUAUCGACCCUGCUACAGUUAGUGCCAACUCUGGCACAAUAACUGAAAGAUCACGACUCGUAGCAGCUCGACUUCAGAAGACAGACGGUGAACAGAUUUUCAUGAUGCCUUACAAUCCAGGGUUAGUCUCCUUAGGAUUUUGUUUUUAUGAUUUUCAAUAAAUGACAGCUUAUAAACUAACCACGUCGGUGUUUUAUUUUAUUUAGUCGUUUGAAACUACUAACCACGUCGGUAUUUAUUUAUCGUCGUGAUAAAUAUAUAAUGUCGUCGUUAGCUACUUUACUUCGUCGUGUGAAAUACUAUAAUACGUCGUUUUUGUAAAUAACCGUCGUUUUUAUAUUAAUUUUGUGCAGCCGUCAUUGGAUUUUGCUGAUUGUAAGAGCAAAGAGAGAAACCGUCUAUUUUCUGGAUCCUCUGCCAGGAAAUCGUGUGGUCGAUGAAGAGGCCAAAAACAUCGUGAACAGUGCUUUAAAAAUAUAUAAUACCCACAUAGCCCGAGCAGGACGUAAAAAUGUAAUUUGGAAAACUCUCUCAGGCACACCAAAGCAACCCAGCAAUGUCGAAUGCGGGUAUUAUGUAAUGCGCUUCAUGAGGGACAUCAUCAUGGAUCCUUCCUUGGGGUUUGAGAAUAAGGUAAGAAGAAAUUACCUUCAUACAUUUCACGUCGUUUUUUGUAUUAUCAACGACGGUCGUGUAAAAUUAACGUCGUUGAAUGGAUAUACUACGUCGGUUAUGAAAAAUAUCGUCGUCUGUGAUUGAAUUUCUUUUUAUUUAUAAACCCUAAUAGUCAUUGUUUAUGCAGUAUGCCAAGGGAAACCAGGAAGCUUCAUACCCCCAAGAAGCCAUUGAUGAAGUCCGGAAUGAAUGGGCAGAGUUUGUUUUCCAAAUUAUUAAACAGGGCAAUUAUUGAACACUUGAUAUUUAUGUAUAAUGUACCAAUUUUCUCUAUAAUAUGUAAUGUAAAAAUUUGUUGAGGUUUUCUUAAAUUAAAAAAAAAACAAACAUACAAAUUGCUUAACCGACGUGUAAUACUUUUCCAACGACCUAAUAAAGUCAAUAACCGUCGUAUUUUGUUGUUGCGUGUUUUAAACAAAUACGACGUAAAAAAAUAGUUAGACGACGUUCUUUGAACAAUUGAGUCGUUAAUGGUUUACAAUAUCUUCAAUUUCUUAAGGGUUCAGGGUAUAAUCGACGACGUUUAUGUAACGACUACGGUUAAGUCGUGGAAUAUAUAUUUUACGUCGUAUAGUUAAAUAGCCGCCAUGGUUUCUCAUUUUAACGACGUCAUUUUAACGACUUAGUAGUCUAUUACAAUUUACAACGUCUACAAUUUAUUUAACACCGACGUGGUUUGUUGUAUGGUAAGAAUAUUUUAUUAUUUUUAUAUCAAAAUAUUCAAAAUAAAUAUAAAAUAAAUCAGAAAAUUGAAAAGUCAACUCCUAUGAAGUCAUUGAUAUAUUUUCUUCCACAUAAACCUUGAAAAAAUUCAUUUUGAAUAACAAAAAUUUAAAAUGACCAUCCAAAACAAAAUUGUUUUGAUGAGUCAUAAAAUCACUUCUAGUUUUAUGGUUUAGGGUUUAGAGUCUAGGGUUUAGAGAUUAGGGUUGUUAUUUAUUGGGGUUUAUUUUUAAAGUAUAAUUUUUGGGUAGUCUAUGUUAUAUGUUAGGCUUUAAAACCAUAAAACCUUUUAUAAACUUAAUUUUUUAAAUUGUAUAAUUUAAUUUUAUGGGUUUAGUGUAUUAAUUUUUAACGACGGUGGUUGGGUCGUGGAAUACAUAUUUUACGUCAUACAGUAAAACAUACGACAUGGUUUACGCUUUAAACGACGUUAUUUUAAUAUGUAAGUCGGUUUAUAUAAUUUACAACGUCUUUAAUUUCUUAACACCGACGUGGUUUUUCAGUCGUCGUUAUAUAAAAAAUUCAAAAUAAAUUUAAAAUUAAUCCGAAAAAUGAACGGCCUUACGUUCUUAAUCCGAAAAAUGAAGUUUCCGUCGUGGAAUAUUAAAUUUACGUCGGUACUUGUAGAACUUUCGCCUUGGUUUUUCUUUCGACGUUUUAUAACGCGCGCGCUCUAAAAAUUUUCGCGCGACCUAAAUUUUUUUAGAUUUGGCUCUUAGCCUUAUACUUUGAUCCCUGAAACCUAAAAUUUCAGAUUUCACGCGACAUAACAUUUCGCUCUCUCACUUCUGCUCUAAUUAAAAGUUGCACUCUCCAGGCUCGUCGAAUCUGUGAGCUCGUCCAACCUGUAAGUACAAACCCUAUCUUCCCCUUGUAAAUUCAUUGAAUGAUAUUAGGUUGUUUUGUUAAAGGGUUUUAGGUAUAUGCUUUGCGAUCUGUUAAUAAUGUGCUUAUAGGUAUGGGUUCAUGGAUUUUCUGUUUAAUGGGUUCAUGACAAGAUCAAAUAAAGGUGUACUUUUGCUGUUUAAUGGGUUCAUGGAUUACAUUAUCUGUUAUGUUGAAUUGGGAAUGGAUUUAAUUUUGUCGUAUCUUUUAAUCACCCUAUGUUAUGUUGAAUUGGGAAUGGAUUUAUUGUUUUCAUGCUUGGUUUCAUGUAUAUGUUGGUUUCUUGCUUGGUUUCAUAUAUAUGUUGUGUUCUUAAUGGGUUUUGUGUUCUUGAAAAUAAACUGAGACACGACGAAUUUUAAGGCGUACGACGACGAUUACACGACGGUGUUUUUAAACUACCGUCGUUGUAUUACUUAUACACGACGGUUUUUUCAUAAACCGUCGUUUGUAUUACGUAUAAUAGACGACGUCUGUUGAAAAUCCGUCGUCUAUAUAUGCCAAAUACGUCUGUUUUUGAUUAAAACCCGUCGUCUCUGUUGUUUAUUACUUGCGAUUAGAUCAUUGUAUAAUCUGCUAUAGUGAUGGUCAUUGCCUGUAUUUUCACUUUAUUAUAGAUAAUAGGUUAUAGUGUCGGAGAUGGAUAAGUCAUGGAUGCACUCGGAUAGAAGAUCGAAGGCAUAUGAGUUUGGGGUGGAAGCAUUUUUGAACUUUGCUGUAGAAAAUCUUCUAACUACAACACAUAUCCGUUGUCCAUGUGUUAAAUGUGUUAAUUUGAAGUUGUUUGGGGUUGGAAUUAUAAGGGAUCACUUAUACUUUAAUGGAAUUGACCAAAGCUAUAAGAAUUGGACAUUUCACGGAGAACCUUGGGAAGCAACUACUAAUGCUAGCAGAAAUGUUGAAGAAGAUGAUGGCCAUAGUAGGUACAGUUUUGUGUCUGAAGAAAUUGAUAUGGAUGAUAAUGAUUUUGGUGAUUUUGGUUCGGAUCCGUAUGAGUUUGCCAAUGUGAUUGGGGAUGGAGAUCAACCAGUGUACCCUGGUUGUAGAAAGUACACGAAGUUAUCGGCAUUAGUGAAGUUGUAUAAUUUGAAGGCAAAACAUGGGAUGAGUGAUGUCUGUUUUACAUAAUUAUUGAUACUUCAAGGCGAUUUGCUUCCAGAAGGAAAUACAAUACCAACCUCCAUGUAUGAGGCUAAAAAGACUUUGUGUGCAUUGGGGCUGAGUUAUGAGAAAAUGCACGCAUGCCCCAAUGAUUGCAUCUUGUAUAGGAAGGAGUAUGAGGAUUCAACUAAUUGUCCUACUUGUGGUAUCUCAAGGUGGAAGGAAGGCAAAGAUGCAAUCUUGAAAGAGGGUGUGCCAGCGAAGGUGGUGUGGUAUUUUCCCCCAAUUCCAAGGUUUAAAAGGAUGUUUCAAUCACAUGAGACAGCUAAGAGUUUGACUUGGUGGCAUGUUGCUAGAAAAUCAAUUGACGGUCAGAUGUCUCAUCCGGCGGAUUCCCCGUCUUGGAAACUUCUUGAUGAUAAAUGGCCUGAGUUUGGUAAUGAGCCGAGAAACUUGAGAUUGGCUCUUUCAUCUGAUGGAUUCAAUCCCCACAGUUCUCUAAGUAGCAGAUAUAGUUGUUGGCCGGUUAUCUUAGUUACAUAUAAUCUCCCUCCAUGGCUGUGCAUGAAACGAAAGUUCAUGAUGUUAACCUUAUUGAUUUCCGGUCCUAAACAACCCGGAAAUGAUAUAGACGUCUACUUGGAGCCUUUGAUUGAUGAUUUAAAAUCCUUGUGGGUUGGGAUUAGAGGAGUGUAUGAUGCACAUAAUGGAGAAUACUUUACACUCAGAGCUGCAUUAAUGUGGACAAUUAAUGAUUUCCCCGCCUAUGGAAACUUAUCUGGUUGUGUUGUUAAAGGAUAUAAAGCUUGUCCAAUAUGCGGCGAUGAUACACCUAGUCACAGGUUGAAAAAUGGCCACAAAAUUUGUUACAUUGGGCAUAGAAAAUGGUUACCAAUCAAUCAUCCAUAUAGGAGGCAACGUGCAGCUUUUAAUGGGAAACCUGAAUAUGGCAUACCUCCAGAGCCAUUAACCGGAGAAGAAGUGCUGCAUAUGGUUGAAAAUGGUGACAGAGUUUGUUGGAAGAAGAAAUCAAUAUUCUUUGAUCUCGAGUAUUGGAAAUACCUUCCUGUGAGGCAUGCCCUAGAUGUUAUGCACAUUGAGAAGAAUGUUUGCGAUAGUAUCAUUGGUACAUUGCUGGAGAUCCCUGGAAAAAAUAAAGAUGGGAUUGCUGCUCGAUUAGAUUUAUUGAACAUGGGGGUCAAAACUGAUUUGCAACCCGAGUAUGGAGAAAGACGUACUCGUUUGCCUCCUGGGCCUUGGAAUUUGUCAAGAGCAGAGAAGAGAGAGGUUUGCAAUUCUUUCUAUGGUAUGAAGGUCCCUGAAGGUUAUUCUUCCAAUAUUAAAAAUCUUGUAUCUGUACAAGAUUCAAGACUUCUUGGCCUUAAAUCACAUGAUUGUCAUACCUUAAUGCAACAAUUGCUCCCUGUGGCAAUUCGUUCUGUUUUGGAGAAGCCUGCAAGGUAUGCAAUAACUCGUUUGUGCUUCUUCUUCAAUGCUAUAUGUGCAAAGACUGUUGAUGUUUCCAAGCUAGAUAAGUUGGAAGAAGAUGUAGUAGUUACUCUGUGUUUGCUUGAGAAGUACUUUCCCCCUUCAUUCUUUGAUAUCAUGGUUCAUCUAGUAGUACAUCUUGUCAGAGAAGUUCGUCUAUGUGGGCCAGUAUAUUUUAGGUGGAUGUAUCCGUUUGAAAGAUAUAUGAAAGUGCUGAAGGGGUAUGUUCAGAAUCGUACUCGUCCCGAAGGUUGCAUUGCUGAGCGGUAUAUAGCUGAAGAAGCGGUAGAGUUUUGUACUCAGCAUUUAUCUGAUGUUAGUACAGUUGGAGUGCCUUCAAGCCAAAAGAUGGGAGUUUCAAAGCCAUUAUCAGGUUGCACAGUGAGCGUAGUUGAUCAGGACCUGUUGAAUCAAGCACAUCUAUAUGUCUUGGAGAAUACGGAGGAAGUCCUACCUUAUAUCGAGUACGUAUGAGUUUUAUUCUUUAAGUUUCCAUUUAAAAUUAUUUCUUAUGUUUAUCUUAUAUAUUUGGGACCGUAAUGCUUGAAUUUUUCGUGUCAUGUAGGCAACAUAUGAUCCACAUCAAGACUGCUUAUCCAAAAUUUAGAAAGAGAACAAAGUGGCUGCAGGAUAAGCACAAUAGCACUUUCAUUCAAUGGCUACGCUUCAAGGUAUAUGUUGUUGAAUAACGUAUUUCUCUUUUAAUUUUCUUCUUAUUUAUAUGUUAGGAUGAAUUAAGAUAUGAUUAAUUUGCAGGUUCAAAGUGAAGUUGAGGAAGACAAUCAUGGCGUAUCAGAAAAUUUAAGGUGGCUAGCAGCUGGUCCAAACAUGUCAGUGCCAUUAUAUAGGAGCUAUCUUAUUAAAGGUAUUAAAUUCAAUAUCAAGGCACAAGAUGAUGUGCGGACAACUCAAAAUAGUGGAGUUUAUUUACUUGCACAUACCAUGCAAGUUGCUAGUGCCAAGGAUAAAAACCCAAUUCUCUCAAAUAUGGGUUUCUAUGGUGUCAUUCAAGAAAUUUGGGACCUUGACUACCAAAAGUUUACAAUCCCAGUCUUUAGGUGUGAUUGGAUAGAUAGUUCUGGUCUUGUAGUCGACGAACUUGGAUUUACCCUUGUAGAUUUGAGUAAAAUUGGACAUAGGAAUGACCAAUUUGUUUUGGCUUCUCAAGUCAAACAAAUAUUUUUUGUUGACGACCCGAUGCAUCGUGGUUGGUCGGUAGUGUUAUCAAUGCCUAGUAGAGAAUAUAAUGAUGUUAUUGGUGAUGAAGUAUUAGGUGAUGUGAUAAUUGAGUGUGAGCCAUUUACUAGAGGGAUGCCAAAUGUUGACACAUUUGAUGAACUGGUAGGUGAGUUAGGCGGUCAAAAUGUNNNNNNNNNNNNNNNNNNNNNNNNNNNNNNNNNNNNNNNNNNNNNNNNNNNNNNNNNNNNNNNNNNNNNNNNNNNNNNNNNNNNNNNNNNNNNNNNNNNNNNNNNNNNNNNNNNNNNNNNNNNNNNNNNNNNNNNNNNNNNNNNNNNNNNNNNNNNNNNNNNNNNNNNNNNNNNNNNNNNNNNNNNNNNNNNNNUAUUGUGAAGCAAUUAUUCAGGAUAUCACGUCGGUGAAGGAUAAAGAACCGCCAUGUAAUUCAAAAUAACACGACUCCAAUCCCAUAAUACCGACGUCUAAAAAACGAGAUAUGUAAUCUGAACGUUAAAAAAUACGACGUCAUCAUACAUUUUCCACGUCGCAAGUUCUUUUAUAAACGAAGAGGAACGAAAUUAAUUCCGACGGAAAUUCAUUAUAACCGCCGUCUAAUAACAAUUAAACGACGUUAUUUGUAAUACGGCUCCCAUCAUAAUCUACGCCGUCUAUAUGUUCUGUAAUACGGCUCUCAUUUAUUUGGAACCGACGUUGUUUAGACGUUCAACGUCGUCUAUAUUAUUAAGUGCGUCGUGAGUAAUGAAUACAUAUAAAUACAACGUCGACUAUAUAAAUGUAUACGUCGUAAAUAAUGACACUGACAACUAUUUCCACGUCAUCUUUUUUAGAUAAAAUCGAAGUGGAAAAUUUAUUUCACGACGGUUUUUUGUAAAUAAGAGACGUUGUAGAACUUUAGCAGACUAAACACGUCUGUUUUUAUUGUUUUCCGACGUUGUUGUAUUUAACAACGUCUAAUAUUUAUGGUCGUUGUUUGUUUCUGAAAAUAGGACGUAUAAAUUUUUUAAUACGACUCUCAUAUAUUUGUAACUGACGUUGUUUAGUUUUUCAACGUCUACUAUAGAAACACAUACGUCGUAAAUAAUGACACUGACAACUAUUUCCACGUCAUCUUUUAUCAAAAAAUCGAAGUGGAAAAUUAAUUGUACGACGGUUGUGUUUAUAUGUGCGACGUAGUAGGUAUCAAUAACGUCGUCUUCUAAUGUAUUUAAAGACGUCAUAUUUUUUAUUGUCGUGAAAAUUAUAUUUAACGUCGGCGUAUUUUUAUUGUCGUCGUUGUAUGUCUAUCUUGCGGCCUUGUUCUCUUAAUAUGUGUCAUAUUUUCCCUUUUUAACGACGGUCUUUUUAGAGAAUUGGUCGUCUAUUAUCAUCAUCGAUUGCUUUUUUUAGAUCUUUUGCAGUACAAAGACGUCGUUUUGUAUUUUUUGAUGACGUUGUAUUGUUUAACAACGACGGUUAUUUAGCGUCGUGGUUUAUGAGGGAAAAGAUGACGGUGGAUUCCACGACCAUUGAAAAACCAAAUACACGACGGUGAUUUACCGUCGUCUUUUUGCUUUUUUGUAGUAGUGUGUAUACUGGAGAAGUUUUGUGCGCUCUCAUUAGGAUUGCACUAUACAACCAUACGGACAAUUGAGGCACAUAGUGUCAUGGACCAAGAGUUCAUUGACUCAAAUGAUUUUAAGCUUUGGUAUGACUGGGUGGGUCAUCCUGGAUCCACCAUGAUGCGUAGGAUCAUCACCAACUCUAAAGGACAUCCCUUAUUGACAAAACACAUUAUGGCAUCAAGUGACAGCUUUUGCCAAGCUUGUUCACAAGGGAAGUUGGUGAUCAGACCAUCACGACCAAAGGUUGAUGUUGAGUCCCCAUCAUUUUUGCAAAGAAUCCAAGAGGACAUUUAUGGGCCUAUUCAUCCUCCCUGUGGACUAUUUCGGUACUUUAUGGUCUUAGUGGAUGCAUCUACCCGAUGGUCGCAUAUUUGCCUUUUGUCCACUCGGAAUAUGGCAUUUGCUAGGCUCUUGACUAAGAUAAUUAAAUUACGAGUCCAAUUCCCAGAUUAUCCCAUUAAGUCAAUCAGACUCGAUAAUGCUGGUUAAUUUACAUCUCAGACUUUUGAUGACUACUGCAUGUCAUAGUCAUUGACAUUGAACAUCCUGUUCCCCAUGUUCAUACUCAAAAUGGUUGGCAGAAGCUUUAAUUAAGCGUCUUCAAUUGAUAGCAUGCACUUUGUUAAUGAAAAUAAAGUUGCCAGUUUCUGCUUGGGGAUAUGACAUUUUACAUGCAGCAUCACUGGCGCAGUUAAGGCCCGUAACCAACAAUCAAUAUUCUCCAAUACAACUCGUGUUGGGUAAUCAACCAAACAUUUCCCAUUUAAGAGUUUUUGGGUGUGCGGUAUAUGUGCCAAUUGCACCACCGCAACGUACUAAGAUGGGCCCUCAACGCAGAUUGAGAAUUUAUGUUGGUUUUGAUUCCCCAUCUAUCAUCAGAUAUUUGGAGCCCCUGACGGGUGAUAUCUUUACCGCACGAUUUGCAGAUUGUCAUUUUGAUGAGACAAUCUUCCUACCAUUAGGGAGAGAAAAAUCUGUUCCUAAAGAACAACAAGGCAAACUCGUUCAUGAAGAACGACAUGAAUUAUCGUGGGACGUACCCGCUUUGUCUCAUCUCGAUCCUCGUAUCGCUCAAUGCGAAAACGAAGUAAGAAGGAUCGUUCACCUCCAAAGUAUUGCAAAUCAGAUGCCAGAUGCAUUUAAUGAUGCAGCAAAGGUGACGAAAUCACAUAUCCAAAUUUGUUACAACUUUCUUAUCACCUUAUUAAAAAAUUACAUAAGAAAAAAUAUUAGUUUUUUUUUUUCCUUUUUUGAAAGACUCCAACAAAUAAGACUUACCUAAUUAAUGGUUUAGAAGAAAAAAAAUCAAUAAUCAAACUUACCGAAUUAAUGGUUUGAAAAUGCAAUCAAUGAACUUCCUUUUAAAACAGACUUCCUUAGCAAGACGUCUUUUGUCUGUAUAAAAAAAAAAAAAAAGGAUAUAUCUUUUGUGGAUAUUUUUAAGGUCAUUAUUGUGUUUUUUUUUUAAAAAAAAAAGUUUUUCCUCUAAAAAAAUAGACAUUUUCUUUUUUUUUUAAACAGAAUUUUUUAUUUUUUAUAAAUAUUUUUUACAUAUGGUAAGAGAGUUGUAAAAAAAAUUUGAUAAAUUGAAGGACAAUACAUUUAAUAAGGGUAAACUUGGAAAACAAAAUGUGGUUUGUUUGAUGUAUUAGUGUCAUUAUUUUAAGUGUAUGAGAAAUGACACAUGUCAUGAGGAAAAGAAAGAAGGUCCAAAAGAGAAGGUUGGAGAGAAGGUUACUAGCAUUCCGUAUCAUUUAAUGAAACAAACUCUAACAGUUAGUUCUUUCUCAUGUGAAAUUUUUUACAUUUCUCACUUCUUCACAUGCACACUGCCUUUUCUCAACUGGUCUGUCAAUUUUCUAUUGUAUGAACUUAUUGAUGUGUAUGAGUUCCUAUCGUGUAUUGAGGGAACAAACAAAAAAGAAGACAGAUUAGUCAAUGAAAUAAUGUAUGGAAUUUGCAUUAUUUCUUUAUGUAAUUUUCAUAUUAAAUGACGAAGAAAAUUCUAGAGGAAGACAGAUUAGUCAAUGAAAUCAUGUAUGGAAUUUUCGUUCUUUCUUUAUGUGAUUUUCAUAUUAAACGACGAAGAAAAUUCUAGAUGAAGACAGAUUAGUCAAUGAAAUAAAGUAUGGAAUUUUCCGCUAUUUCUUUAUAUAAUUUUCAUAUUAAAUGACGAAGAAAAUUCUAGAGGAAGACAGAUUAGUCAAUGAAAUAAUGAUGGAAUUUUUGCUAUAGGAAGGCAGAUUAGUCAAUGAAAUAAUGUAUGAAAUUUCCACUAUUUCUUUAUGUAAUUUUCAUAUUAAAUGACGAAAAAAAUUCUAAAGGUAGACUUAUCAGAAAAGGAUAUACAUGUGCUCAUAAAUGAAAAAGUAAAAUACAUGUCCUCCUCCUUUGUUCUGAGGAGUGGGACAAAAGUGGGUGUUUAUAAGACUUUGAGGAAGGCUUUUUUUUUUUUUCAAAAAAAAAAAAGUUUUUCCUCUAAAAAAAUAGACAAUUUCUUUUGAAAAAAACAGAAUUUUUUAAUUUUUUAAAUAUUUUUUACAUAUGGUAAGAGAGUUGUAAAAAAAUUUGAUAAAUUGAAGGACAAUACAUUUAAUAUGGGUAAUUUUGAAAAACAAAAUGUGGUUUGUUUGAUGUAUUAGUGUUAUUAGUUUAAGUAUAUGAGAAGUGACACAUAUCAUGAGGAAAAGGAAGAAGGUCCAAAAGAGAAGGUUGGAGAGAAGGUUAGUAGCAUUCCGCAUCAUUCAAUGAAACAAACUCUAACAGUUAGUUCUUUCUCAUGUGAAAUUUUUUACAUUUCUCACUUCUUCACAUGCAUACUGCCUUUGCUCAACUGGUCUGUCAAUUUUCUAUUAUGUAUGAACUUAUUGAUGUGUAUGAGUUCCUAUCGUGUAUUGGGGGAACAAACAAAAAAGAAGACAGAUUAGUCAAUGAAAUAAUGUAUGGAAUUUCCAUUAUUUCUUUAUGUAAUUUUCAUAUUAAAUGACGAAGAAAAUUCUAGAGGAAGACAGAUUAGUCAAUGAAAUCAUGUAUGAAAUUUCCGUUCUUUCUUUAUGUGAUUUUCAUAUUAAAUGACAAAGAAAAUUCUAGAUGAAGACAGAUUAGUCAAUGAAAUAAAGUAUGGAAUUUCCGCUAUUUCUUUAUAUAAUUUUCAUAUUAAAUGACGAAGACAAAAUUAUAGAGACAGACAGAUUAGUCAAUGAAAUAAUGUAUGAAAUUUUUGCUCUAGGAAGACAGAUUAAUCAAUGAAAUAAUGUAUGAAAUUUCCUCUAUUUCUUUAUGUAAUUUUCAUAUUAAAUGACGAAAAAAAUUCUAAAGGUCGACUUAUUAGAAAAGGAUAUACAUGUGCUCAUAAAUGAAAAAGUAAAAUACACGUCCUCCUCCUUUGUUAUGAAGAGUGGGACAAAAGUGGGUGUUUAUAAGACUUUGAGGAAGGCUUUUCCCAAUCAAUCAAUGAAGAUUAGAGGAAGAGUUUUACCAAUCAAUCAAUGAAGGCUAGAGGAAGAGUUAAAUAGCAACAAAUGGCCCCCUUUUUGGUUGGGGGAACGUGUGUGUGGGUGUUAAAAUUCAUUGGAGAAAGACAAGAGGACUAUACCACAUCAUGUGUGGUAGAUAAUGUGUCAAUUUGGAAAUAGCUUUAGUAGCAAGUGGACUAUACUAGCCACCUACAGCUUUAAGCCUGAUCAUUCAGAUAAUGCUUGUAUCCUUUGUUUUACCGCGGCUACUAACAUAAAGAAAGCCGAUACUUUCGUUGCCUCUUCUACCUCCACGCGGCAUUGCUCUGUCGGGCUUUCUCCUAUUGCGGAUAAUUCCCCAUUAUUGCCUUCGGUAGGAAUAUGGGCUGUGUCUCAAUUAGUGUGGUUGAUCUUCCGAAUUGCCUUAGUUAGCUUUGCCUUACCAACUACCUAAUUAGACACAAGGCCCCUCCUCGGAGAAAAGUUACUAGCAGAACUAUAUAAGACUUUUAACAGUUGUCACAUAUGAUUAUGUGUGUUAAACCUCUUUCAACCUUAACCCUAGAAUUACACAGAGUAACAAGUAUUAUUUAUUGAAUUAUCGAAACAGUACAAUAUUCUCAACAACUCAUUCUUGAUACAAUAAUUCCCUAAUAGAGUUGUAAGCUCUAAUUAACCAAUUAUGUUAUAAACUAAUUUCUUAACUAAUCAAUUAAUAAACUGACUAUGCCGGCUCAUCACUAAUCCAGCUCAGCAAUGAUGAAGGUUCCUAAUAAUGUGAUCAGUCGAUGUGACGUAGUGUUAUUGAUUAAAAUAUAGCCAUCCCUACCACCUCAUGUAAAUCCCACAAGACUCCUAUUCACGGAGGGGAAGAAAGUAGGGGGAAUGCUAGCAACCUUUUCUCUAACCUUCUCUUUUGGACCUUCUGUUAGUAUGAAAAUAGUGUUGUCAUUUCCUAGACUCUAGCAUAGGUUGAAAAUUAGUGUGUGAAGAAUUGUUACUGGACGUUUUGGCACAACUCAUUCAACCCCAUACAUCCGAGGCAUGACUUGACCGAUAUGAGAAACUUGAUUUCAGGUAAAUCAUGGCAUAAUCAUGCAUUCAUUAUAGGAUUCCUAGUUUGAGUUUUCUUUUUCAAUCAAGUAUUUUUAUGUUAAUCUUAUUUUUAAUAGGAUUAGACUUUAUCUCUUAAGAUUACUUUUCUAGUUGAACUCUAUCUUGAUUUAAGUUAAAAUAUUAUCUUUUCCUAAGUGACAUGCACAAUGCUUAUUUUCCAAUUACCUUGCUUUAGGAGUCAAUUGGUUCUUCAUAAAAGUGGACGGUUGGUAACAUCAUUAAGAGUCCUUAAUGAAUCAGACUUUGUAUUUUUAUUGAAUCAGAAUUUAUAUUGUUAAUCGGAUAACUGUUUGGCCCUUAUGUGGCGUCUCAUUUAGGAGAUCAUAUUGCACCAGGUUUAAAAGAGUCUUAGCUGAAUUGGUCUUAGAGUUAUAAUUGUUUUGGAAGUGUAGUCUCGCAAGUUUCUCUCCUGUGAGAGAAACUUGCUUUGAAUAAAAGGAUGUCUGUUUCUUUUCAUUGUAGCUUUUGAACGUAUAAAAUUGUUGGGGUAUAUUGAAUCUAUGUUGGGAAAAGCUGCUGUACUUAGUUUACUCGGUAAGUCAUCAAGUGCUUAUGUUGCUUGGUGAUUGAUCAAAUUCAUUCAUCAUUCAUAUUGCAUUCAUUUGCAUUGUUCGGUGACUCAUACGGUUGAGGGCACCAAGACCGUGGUGACGGUUUUUUCUCCGGUGAGCUUGAAACAAUGAUGACCAGUAUUGCGUUUAACAUAAGGAGUGUCGAAGAUCAUCCCUUGACAGAAGUUGAAUUACGAAGAAGUUGGUAAACGUCAUCUAGAAUGUGUCUAGAAUAAGUGUGUGAGUACUUCUUGUAAUCAUCGUUCUAUAGUGGAUUUGUAUUGGACUGAGGAGUCCCAUGGAUUUUUUCCAGAGGAGGGGUUUUACCACGUAAAAUAAUUCUCUGUGUGUUUCUUUAUUUUAUGUUCAGCAUGUUUCAGGAUUGAUAAGCCAUAUCAAUCCUGCUACAUAAGUUUAUUUUUACUUAUUUGAUUAUAAUAUUAAAUUGGCCUAUUCUCCCCCCUUUAGGCAUUUUUAGUCAUCCUACAGGUAUUUUCACCUUCUUCCUUUUCUUUAUGACAUGUGGAUUUUUUUAAGGUCAUUAUUGUGUUUUUUUUUAUAACCAAAAAAAAAAAACGUUUUCCUCUGUAAAAAAAAAAAAAAAAGACAUUUUCUUCAAAAAUAUAUAUAUAUAUAAAUUUUAAAAUUUAAAUUUUUUUACAUAUGGUAAGAGAGUUGUAAGAAAAAAUUGGAUAAAUUGAAGGACAAUACAUUUAAUAAGGGUAAACUUGAAAAACAAAAGGUGGUUUGUUUGAUGUAUUAAUGUCAUUAUUUUAAGUUGUAUGAGAAGUGACACAUAUCAUGAGAAAAAAGAAGAAAAUCCAAAAGAGAAGAUUGGAGAGAAGGUUACUAGCAUUCCCUAUAUAUAUGUACGUUUUUUGGUGAGAAAAAUCCCUUCGAGUAGACAAGAAAUUGUACAGGAAAUUGUACAUUUUUUUGUCUUUUCGCAUUUUUCUUUUCAUGUUAAAGUAGUUUAGGACCGUCCUCUUUCAAAGCAGACAUGUGCAGUUGCAAAAGACCAUCGUGCAUGUUUAUGGGAAAAAACAAAACCUCUAGCCCACUUGGCUAUAAAUUAUUGUAUGUAUGCCAUUUACCUUCUUCUUCUUCCUUUUUUUUUUUUUUUUCCUGCAUGUCAUUUACUAUUUUACGUGAUAUGUGCAUCUGUGAGAAUGAUAGCUCCCAAACGUUCGGCACCAUGAGUGAUUAACUAUUUUGAUUAUAGAAUUUAAAGUUAAAUGAUUUUAAUUAUGUGGAAUUUUUUAGACCAGAACCUCGAUUUAUUCAAAUUAUAGAAGUUCAAUUUAACAACUUUUGUGCAAUUAGAACCAGAGAGAGAAUGGAUUUCUUGAGUUGUUGUAUCGUCCUGCUAAACCUUUUCUUUGUGUUGUUGUUCUCAAUUAUUCAAGCUCUGCAAAGCAAAGCCAAUCCCGAAAGGCAUCUUCUCCCACCUGGACCAAAGCCAUUUCCCUUCAUUGGCAAUCUUUUAGAGCUUGGCAACAAACCCCAUCUCUCUCUCACCAAGCUUUCUCAAAUCUAUGGCCCCAUUAUAACUUUGCAAUUCGGCCAAUAUUCAUAUUGGGGAUUCCCCAUCCCCACCUUUAAUGGGGAAUGGGUUCCCCGUCCAACCCCACCUUUUGGGAUUGGCCUUGCUUUGCAGAGCUUGAAUAAUUGAGAACAACAACACAAAGAAAGAUGGCACCAGGUAUGUCAGAGGUCGUAUACUCAAGUAAGAUGGCAACAGGUAUGUCUUUACGUAUUUCAAAUUGUGUGAAGAUUUUGAACAUGUAUAUUAAAGAAAUCUCACAGUUGGUAUCAGAGCCAGGUUGUUCGCACACACUAAAAUCGUUUUUCAAGCAUGCCAAUUACGAUUUCUUAUAUGUUUAUGCCAUGAUGAGUUUUUGGUGAUGUUCAAAAUUUGAAGAUGGAUUAAACAUGUUUUCUAAAUAUCGAGAAUAUUAAAGAAUCUGGAAAAGCAUGUUUUAAUUUGAUUUUCAUAUCUUCAAAACUUUAAACACGUUUUUGACCUACCUGAUGACCUGAAAACCCCAAAAAUGCCCAUAUGUAAUAGCAUAGUUGUGAGUUGUGUUAAUUAUGUCAUUCCCUAUUUAGAAAGGUAUUUUGCGUCAAAAACGAACACCAAAAACGUCUAAAACACUGUUCACUGCAGAAAUUACUAUUCACUGCAAUUUAGGGUUUUCUCUCUUGAACUGUAUUUGUUUCGUUAUUUUCUGAGCUAGAUAGGUGCUUAUUUUUGUUCUGAGAAUCAACAAAUUUUUCUUAACAAAACCAAACCUAAAUACUCAAAUCCUAAAGAAAUAACAAAAAUUGCAUCAUACCUAAAUUACUUGAUAAGUUUCUUCAACAAAUAGAAUCUGUCAUGUAAUUUAUUUAUGAUGGCACAAGAUAACACGUAAUUUGUGUAAGGUAUAAGUAAUCUCUUGCCACAAAGGUGUGAUACUUAAUUAAGGAAGCUUGCAUAUAUUAUUUGUUAGUUUAAUGAAUAAAGUGAAAUGGAAAAACUAUUUUCUCUUAACAAAUUGAGAAUUGGUGUCUUGGAAAGUAAUUAUGUUUUUUUUUUUUUGGUUGCAAAUCCUUACAGCUUUGAACGCUCUCUCAAUCAAUUUCUCACAAAUUGAAAGAUUCACUGGAACAAACUUCAAAACAUGGACGUAUGAUUUUGAAGUUAUUCUCGGAAUGAAUGAGAUCGUUUAUGAUCUCACUCAUGAUUAUAUUUAAUUCAAGCUAGCCAUUUCGCUUAUGUGUCUUGUAGUACAACUCCUAGAGCUUAGGAAAAAGGAAAAGCCUCUGGUGGUUAAUAGGAGCCACUCGUGCCAACUAAUCACAAAUGAAAUUCUAGUAAAGAAUACAAUGGAGCUAAUUAAGAAGCGGAACGAAGAUGAGCUGGAGCAAAAAAGGGUUAAGAUGCAGUGACGUCGUCGAUCUUAUGGAGGACCCAUAAGGAUAUACAUGGCUACAAAGGACGGUCUCAGAAGUCUCAGGAUCACUGUAAAGCUCGGUGUAUGCGCUUAUGGGAGAGGACGAAACAUCAAUAAGCUAAUUCGAUACAAAAAUCUCCUAGUGUAGUUUGUGAAACAUACGCCCCAACUUGAAUCACUUGUUGAGAUUUUUGAUACCUCCACUAAUAGGGAGAUAGUGGUACUUAACCCGUUCCUUGCUAGGGAGAACAACACUUUGGCAUCAUGUUGUGACAAGGAGGAUUAGAUAGCUACAUGUUGUUUUCAUUAAAUAUUAUUGGAAUAUUUAAUUUUAAGUUGGAUUUAGGAUUUAUUUUAAAGUUGGAUGAUGUAGUUUCAUUACCGUAAAUAAAGAGAAAUUUAAUUUCUAAUUCAAGAUUAUUAAGACUUGGUUUUAUUUUGGAUUCAAUAAAGAUGUUUUUGUAUCUCAGAAUUCAAAGACAAUAAAGAUGGAUUAUACUGUCUCAAUUACAAUAAAUCUUUUUGAUAUCAACAAACGGGUGUUCACCAUUAAACAGAAUGGUGCAGUCAUCCACAAAUACUACAGCCAACUGCAGCACAUCUUUCAAGAAAUUGAAUCGCAUGCACUGCGACGCCGAUGUGACUGAUUGCCAGAAAGAACUAGAUUGUCUUCGUGUUCACCUUUUUCUUGUCGGGCUCAACCCUGAGUUUGAUCAAGUUCGGGGGGAAAACCUAUGCAAAGAUCCUAAAUGAGACCAUGAUCAAAGCUUUGCAUAUGUACGUCGCGAAGCUCAACAACGACUGACCAUGGCCAGUGCUCCGGAAACCGUUGUGAUGGUCACUCAACGUCAACAAGGCCCUUAGAUCUCUACUGGUGGCUCUUCUCAUACUAAGGUCACAGACACUCAUCUGGAGCAUAAAUGCACUCACUGUGGUGGAAGUAAACAUACCCGUGCUGGUUGUUACGAAUUGAUUGGGUGCCCAGAUUGGUGGGACCACUCCAAAGCUCCCCCCAAGAAUAGGAGCAAAUCACCCAACACAUCUUCUGACUCAGAUCUUGUAAGUCCUGCUGUUUCAACUACAUCGGCUCUCGCCUCUGCAUCUGUAGCCAUAACAGGUAACCAAGGUUAUGUUUUACAUAGUUCUUCAAAGAAACAUACAUGAAUUAUUGACACCGGAGCCACUGAUCAUAUGACCUUUGAUCCUGGACAAAUUGCCUCUCAUACACCGUCUCCUCAAUCAGUGGUGUCUAAUGCCAAUGGUACCCUAUCCCCUAUAAUUAGGGAGGGUUCACUCUCUCUCUUUCUAAUUCUUUCAAUUUGGAUUCUGUGUUGAUUAUUCCAUCCUUACAUCAUAAUCUCUUGUUUGUUGCCCAAAUUACUAAGGCUUUGAAUUGCACUGUAACCUUUUGGCCUACUCAUUGUGGUUUUCAGGACAUUCUCAGUAACAAGACAAUUGGUUGUGGUACUAGGAGGGGCAAACUUUACUACUUGGACUUAGCAUCUGACAAUGAAACACACUACCGAAGUAUGGUUAUGGCAUCGGCGUCUUGGAUAUGCUUCGUUUGGAUAUUUACAGAAGCUAUUUCCUCCCUUAUUUUCCAAUUUAGAUAUUUUCAAUUUUAAGUGUGACAUUUGUGAAUUGGCCAAGAGCCAUCGUGUUCCUUUUCCCUUAAGUUCAAAUAAAAGUUUAGUUCCAUUUUCUCUUGUUCAUUCUGAUGUUUGGGGCCUUGCUAAAAUUACCACUCCAGGGGGAGCUCGAUGGUUUGUCAUGUUUAUAGAUGAUUGCACCCACAUGACCUGGGUUUCCCUUCUAUAAAAAAAAGAGGAAGUCAGUUCCAAGUUUCAAUAGUUCUAUCAAAUGGUGGAGACUCAGUUUCAUGCUAGAAUUCAGAUUCUUCGUUCUGACAAUGACAGAGAAUUUCUUGACCAUGAUCUUAACAAGUUCUAACAAGAUCAUGGCAUCAUACAUCAACGCUCAUGCCCCUACACUCCCCAACAAAAUGGAGUCCCUGAAAGAAAGAACAUACAUUUAUUGGAAGUAGUUCGUGCCUCUCUCUUUGGUGCCAAUAUGCCUUGAUCUUUUUGGAGAGAAGCCGUCGUCUCUACAGCAUACCUCAUCAAUCGGAUACCUUCCAGUAUCCUAAAUUUCCAAACACCACUUCAAACGCUUCACCAUCAUAUCCAAAUACCUCCUACCCCAAACCUAGAACCCUGUAUUUUUGGCUGUGUUAUAUUUGUCCAAUUACAUGAUCACCAACGAAGCAAAUUAGAUCCCCAAGCCGAGAAGUGUGUUUUCAUUGGCUAUGCACCUCAUCAGAAAGGAUACCGAUGUUAUCAUCCUCCUAGUCAGAAGGUCUACAAUUCCAUGGAUGUUGUGUUCCAGGAACAUGACUUAUAUUUUUCAGCAGUACAUAAGGAGAAUCAAGAAUCCACCACUCCUCAAAUUGUCGAUUUUUUCCCCAAGAUGUCACUCUGCUUCAAAACGACCGGUCGCCAAUGGAAAGCGACCGGUCGCCCCCCCUUAGGUCUUCAAACAUGGAGAACUUGCUUCCAAAUGACUGGUCGCCAGAAGACAACAAAUGGUCGCUAGAGGAAAAUUAUCAGUUGUCUCCACGCUAUCAAAAUCAGGAGGAGGAAAUUGAACCGUUUAUGAGAUUUUGCCCGCUUUAGUUCCAGUACCACACCAAUCACCUGCUAAGGAAGUCAUUCAGGUAACAUCUUUCCCUGAAACUGAUAACACUAAUGAAAUAUCCCAUGAUGAUUGAUUUCAGAAGGCAUAGAGGCUACAUGUCAGCUUCCAGAAAGGAAGAAUCGUGGCAAACCUCGAGUACAAUAUGAAGCAAAUCUUAAAGCCAAGGGAAAAUACCCCAUCAAUAAUUAUAUAUCUCUCAGUAGAUUAUCAGAGUCACAUGUGCACUAUGUGAAGUUGUUGGCUAACAUAUCUGUCCCCAACAGUGUGACUGAAGCAAUAGAAGACCCAAAAUGGAAAGAAGUCAUGAAUGAAGAAAUGCGAGCUCUGCAAAAGAAUGUCACAUGGGAACUCGUGCCCUUACCUCAUGGAAAGAAGACAGUAGGAUGCAGGUUUUUUUAUAUUGUGACACUCAAAGCAGAUAGAUCCAUUGAAAGAUAUAAAGCUAGAUUGGUGGCGAAGGGGUGCACACAGAGAUAUGUGAUAGACUACCAGGAGACCUUUGCCCCAGUAGCCAAGAUUAACACUAUUAGAGUCAUAUUUUCUCUAGCAGCAAAGCUCGAAUGGCCACUACAUCAGUUUGAUGUCGAAAAUGCAUUCUUACAUGGAGACUUGGAAGAAGAAGUAUAUAUGGACUUACCCCCAGGAUGUAAUUCAGCUCUUGACAAGAAGAAUCAAGUUUACGAGCUCAAAAAGUCAUUACAUGGGUUAAAGCAAUCUCCUAGGGCAUGGUUUGGCAGAUUUAUUAAAUCUAUGAAGAAUUUUGGAUAUAAACCGAAUAAUUCAUCACACCCUGUCCUUGAAGCGUGAUGAAGGAAAACUUAUUGCAUUGAUUGUUUAUGUAGAUGACAUAGUCGUACUGGAAACGACGCAUGAGAGCAACUGAAGUUGCAAAAGUAUUUGUCUUAGGAAUUUGAGAUGAAGAAUUUAGAUGAUCUGAAGUACUUUCUCGGAAUCGAAGUAGCAAGGUCAAAAACUGGUAUAUUUCUGUCUCAAAGGAAGUAUGUAAUGGAUCGACUCACUGACACAUGAAUGCUUGGAUGUAAGCCUGCUGACACACCCAUUGAUAUGAAUCACAAGUUGUGUGAAGAUAUGAACCAAGAACCAACCAAUAUGGAACAGUACCAACGCCUUGUUAGAAGGUUGAUAUACCUGGCAUACACAAGACUAGAUAUUGCAUAUGCUGUGAGUGUGGUUAGUCAGUUUAUGCAUUCACCCAGUGUUUCUCAUAGAAAUGCAGUUGAUCGGAUCUUAAGAUACUUAAAGUUAGCCCCUAGGAAAGGAUUAAUGUUCUAAAAAAAUGGAGAUCUUGAAGUUGUUGGAUAUACAGAUGCUGAUUGGGCUGGUUCCAGUACAGAUAGACGCUUUACUUCUGGUUACUUUACAUUUGUUAGAGGUAACCUAGUCACUUGGCAGAGUAAAAAAAUAAAAUGUGGUUUCUCAGUCUAGUGCAGAAGCAGAGUAUUGAGGAAUGACUCAAGGAGUCUGUGAAUUAUUGUGGAUCAGAAGACUCUUGACAGAAUUGAGCUUCAAGCUAGAAAAGCCAAUGGAGUUGCAUUGUGACAACAAGUCAGCUAUCGAUAUUGCCCAUAAUCCAAUUCAACAUGAUCGAACCAAAUAUGUUGAGGUGGAUAGACAUUUCAUCAAAGGAAAAAUUGAUAAUAAGAUCAUCUGCCUACCAUUCGUAAAAUCAGAAGAUCACCUGGCAGAUGUCUUAACAAAAGCUAUUUGUGAAAGAGUAUUUCAUGACUCACUUACCAAGUUGGGCAUUGGUGACAUAUAUACACCAACUUGAAGAGGAGUGUUGAAGUGAGUCUCCUAAUUAAUCAAGGAGAUGUAUUUCCUUGAUUAAUUAAGGGAUUUACUUUCUUGUUUUAUAUAGUUGACAAAUCAUUGUAUAAUUAGGAGAUACUAUCCUAAUUGAUUACUGUAUCUAUAUCCUUGUAAAGCACUUAUGUAAAUUCCUAUAUAUAUCUUCUUAUGGAGAAGAAUAAAACUUAACCUAAAGUAUUCAAACCAUAUUCAUAUUUUAGCAAGCUGUAGCCGCACCUUUCUUUUACCGCCCGUUAUUUUUGUGUCUCCGUUGCACCGUCUUCAUUGCAGACCGUCCUCUCCAUUGAGCUCUCUCGUGGCAAGCCACGGCAGCUCCAUUUAUCUCCCUGGGUAGUGAUGGCCAAAUUUCUGUUUCCUCACCGAGCCUCGUCACUACUCACCGAGCAUUCUCCUCACCAGCCUUUAUCUCUCUCAUGCCGUGUAACUCAAGUGGUUUUGAACUAGGGAUGGCAAUGGGUCGAAUCGGGGGUGGGUAUGCCUUUUCCAUCCCCAUCCCGUUUUUUUUCCAAUUCCCACCUUCAUUACUACAAUAUUCAUAUUGGGAAUUUCCCAUCCCAACCUUCAACUGGGAAUGGGUUCCCCUACUUGCCCCAUUACGUACGGAAGAAAAAUCAAUAUAAAACUACUUUUUUUGAAAGAAAAUAAACAGGACUAGAGCAAGACAAUGAGUACAUAUAAUAUAUUAUCUACGUACAAUGUUUACAUAUUGACUAGGAAGUUAACUAAAUAUAUAAGUAGUGUAGCGUAAGAUUUGUAUAAAUUUUAUAAAUAUAUAAUAUAAAACUUAGUCGGCACAAUCACUUUAAUAACAUAUUUAAAUAUACUAUAUUCUAAAUAGGGAGGGUUCGGGUCGGGGAUUAAAAUACCGUCCCUCCCCCUCCCCUAACACCAUAUCCAAAAAAUUGACAGUACCUGCCCUCAUACCCGUUUGUUAUCCUUCUUACCCGACCAUUAGGGUCGAAUCCAUGUGAAGACCCUUACCCGUGGGAAAAAUUGCCAUCCAUAUUUUGAACAGUUAUCUUCCUUGCACUCGAGAUUCUGUGUUUGAAUCUCACCCACCCAAUAUCGAUCGCUUUUAUUUUUAAAAAAAAAUAGAGACUAUCUCGUGUAUAUAUAAUAUAUCUCAAUCAUUCAUCAAGUUUGAAUCUCAAUAACAAUUGGUUGUUGUAAGAACGUCCAACAGAAUUAACUAUGAAGAUUUAUUGGGGUGCAUAGAGUAAUUGGACUGUCUUGGCUUUAUGGGGCUCCUAUCUAUUAUAGGGGGGAUUCUUAUCCUGGUGUAUGAUUUUUGUUUGUAAAAUCACCCCAGUUGCCCUUCAAUAUGAUGGUAGAUUGACCUUGCGAAGGCUAUAUCUAAAGGAAAAGCACAGAGCCAUGCCACUAGAAUACAGAUUUUUGUUUUGUAAAUUUUUUAUUAAGUUAUUCGGUGUUGAUUUUUCAAGUACUUAGCAUGAAAAAAAAUGAAAUAGAAUGAUUUUUUUCAUUAAAAAAACACUUUUGAAUGAAGCCAAUUUGGCCAUCUAAAAAGAUUCUGUUUUAGCGGAUAGCUAGUAACUUUCUUUCUGUCCAAACUAGACGCAUAACUAAGUCCAAACGAUAAGACUUGUCGGAUUGGGAGGCUCUCCCUCCCUCCUUCAACUUUUAUGUGUGUGUGUGCGUGCGAUUAGAACCAAAGAGAGAAUGGAUUUCUUUUGUUUUUGUAUGGUCCUGCUAAGCCUUUUCUCUGUGUUAUUGUUCUCAAUUACUCAAGCUCUGCAAAGCAAAGCCAAUCCCAAAAGGCAUCUUCUCCCACUUGGACCAAAGCCAUUUCCCUUCAUUGGCAAUCUUCUAGAACUUGGAAACAAACCCCAUCAAUCUCUCACCAAGCUUUCUCAAAUCUAUGACCCCAUUAUAACUCUGCAACUAGGCUAAGUAACAACGGUGAUUCUUUCUUCACCAAACACAGCCAAACAAGUCCUCCGAACCCACGACCAAUUCUUGUCCAACCGAACCAUCCCAGAUGCAUUUCAAGCCUAUGACUUUCGCCAGGACAGCCUGCCAUGCAUACCACCUUCGGCCAAAUGGAGAAGCCUUCGACAAAUAUGCAACUCUCAAUUGUUCGCCGCCAAAAUCCUCAAAGCCAACCAACCCAACCGCCGCAUAAAAGUGCAAGAGCUCAUAUCUCAGGUCAACGAAAGUACAGUCAAUAGUGAGGCGGUAGUUAUUGGAAGGGCCGCUUUCACUACGCUCAUUCUGCUGUCUCGUAUUGUUUUCUCAGUGGAUUUGGCUAACUCAAGUAGCGAGAUGGCCAGGGAGUUCAAGGAGACUGUGUGCGGUUUGAUGGAAGGGGUAGGGACCCCAAACGUGGGGGAAUUGUUUUCCUGUCUUUAGGAAAAUUGACCCCCAGGGCAUUAGGCAGAGCAUGAUCAAACAUUUCAAUUAGAUGGAACAACUCUUUGACUGCAUGAUUAGCCAAAGAUUGGCAUCAAGAAAAGCCCAUGAUUAUGUCAGAACCAAUGAUAUGCUGGAUACUCUUUUGAACAUCAGUGAAGCGAAUAGUGAGGACAUGGACAAGACCAAAAUUCGACAUAUGUUUCUGGUUAGUUAUUUUGUCUUUGCUCAUCAUUAUAGUUAAACUACUAUAUCAAUUAAUUUAAUUUACAGAGAGAAGGGAUUCAAACUUAAGUGCAAAGAGUUGGCGAACUGGCCUGGCCUGGCCUGACCGUCUACUCUCGUUAGGUGUUUUUUAUUUUGGUUUUUAAUCCCAUUUUGUUUUUCUGACUUGUUAUGUUAAAAAGGCUCUAUUUGCCGCGGGGACUGAUACAACUUCAGCCACAUUGGAAUGGGCCAUGGCUGAGCUGCAACGCGACCUUGAAAAGCUGUCAAAAACUCAACAAGAGCUGGAGCAAAUCAUUGGCAAAGGAAAACCAGUAGAAGAAGCAGACCAAAAUAAUGGUUUUUUGCUUGGCAUUGCAUGUCAAUUGGCAUGCUCGUGCUUGAAUUUUAUUAUUUUUUAAAUGGCUAUGAUUGAGUCAAAACGACGCUUGACGGGAUAACAUUUAGCAUGGGUUCAUAGAGCCAGUACAUUUUACGGGCUUGCUACGACCUUUUUACUUAGCGUGUUGCAUAUUUGCUUGGCGUGGCACGUAGAUUGCAACUCGCGUGAGAGUGUAUGAUGAACUUUCGCAUGCCCAAAUGGGGGUUUCUUUUUAGUAAGGUGUCGCACUGGGCCAGGAAUAUAUUUGGGCCCACUCUUAGAUUUUUUUGGGCCUCAACACACUCAAGAUUCUGUGUUUGAAUCUCACACACCCAAUAUCGAUCGCUUUUAUUAAAAUAAAAUAAAAUAAAAAAUAGAGACUAUGUCGUGUAUAUAUCUCAAUCAUUCAUUAAGUUUGAAUCUCAAUAACAAUUGGUUGUUGUAAGAACGUCCAGCAAAAUUAACUAUGAAGAUAGUUUUUUCUUUGAGGAAGGUUUAUUGGGGUGCAUAGAGUAAUUGGACUGCCUUGGCUUUAUGGGGCUCCUACCAUUGUUGACAAUGGGGCUACUAAUUAUAUUGGCCGUGUUUGUGUUUAAAUAGCUUGAGAAAAUUUGAAGUUUCUUGCCCACAAAGAGAAUUCUUACAAGAUUUGAUGACCUUAAACAUGGUGCAAGUUAAAAGAACAGUAGGGUUGGUAGGGUUGGUGGUCCUUUGAUUUCUACCCGGCAGCUGUCAAAUUUUUUUUUUUUUUUUUUCUGUUGUUUCAUCCUUGGUUAUAUUAGCCGCGGGCCUCGGCAGCUUCUUUCUUUUCUUUGUAAUUCCGUCUUAAUUUUGGUUAUGCAUGAUAAAAUUGACCUUAAAAUUUUUGUCGUGCAUGAUAAAAUUGACCUUAAAUGGCUUGACCUUUCAAUAAAAAAAACAGUUUAUUCGAUGCACGUUCUCAACACGUCUUUUUCCUUUGUCCAUAAGUAAGAAUUGAUGGGGCUCAUGAUAAGAAUUUAGAUGACUUCAUUUUCGUCAAUUCACACCAGGUGCCUUUCCCAAUCUGUCUUUGAUGAGAUUGGACAAAUAACUUUAAUGGACCAAUAUGAUUUUAUCUUGGUAUGACAAUAUUUAUAUGAUAUUUGGCACUGACCGUGUAUAGAAGGACAAAUUUGAUAAAAGCUUCCUUACCAAAAAUGGCUUGUAAUAGCUGCUUUGAAUUAUUUUGUGUGAUGCGGUUGCAUUAUUUGGUUAGUGCCUACCCAAAUUUUCUCAAAUGUCUUUACCUAAGCAAGUUGUUCUCAAAUGUCUUUACCUACGUUUGUCUCUUAGCUUUUAGGGGAUAUAUAUAAACAACUUAAAAGAGUUGGUCCUGAAAAUAUAUUUUCAUGCUUUCUCGAUAAGUCUCAACAAGAAUAUUUAUAUGAUAUUUGGCACCGACCGUGUAUAGAAGGACAAAUUUGAUAAAAGCUUCCUUACCAAAGAUGGCUUGUAAUAGCUGCUUUGAAUUAUUUUGUGUGAUGCGGUUGCCUUAUUUGGUUAGUGCCUACCCAAAUUGUAUUAUUUGAGUAAGGAAAAUUGGCAUAUAUAUCACCUGAAAUUUUAGGCAUGUGUAGAAUUACUAUUUUAAAUUUUAAUUUUAUUAACCACAUGAACUAUGUAAAGUGUUGAAAUUUACUACCUACGCCUAACUCCGUUAAAUUUUUUCGUCAAAUCAAGUCACAUAAUGCAAAUGUGAUUUUUAAGGGCAUUUAUGUCAAUCAAUAUACACAUAAAUUUAGAAAAUUUAAAAACUAACAGAAUUUAAUUUUAAAUGAAAAAAAAAAGUAGGAAAACUAACCUAAUAAUUUCACAAACUUCCCCACCUCCUUCCAACACCUAUUCUCCCCCACCAAAAUAAAGUGAACAUUUUCUCUGUGAAAUUGAGUUAUUCUUGGUCGAUGGUUGAGGCCAAUCUUCUUCUUUCUUCUUCUUUUUGUUUUUUCUGAAAAUUUUGGUGUUAGUUGCUUCACUAGGCUUAUAUCUCAUACGUCCUGCCUCUUAAAAUUGCUUGGCGCUUUCGAUAAAAAAACAGUUUAUUCGAUGCACGUUCUCAGCACGUCUUUUUCCUUUGUCCAUCAGUAAGGUUGCCGGUCUAGUUCUUUCGAUUGAUGGAGCUCAUGGUAAGAAUUUAGAUGACUUCAUUUUCGUCAAUUCACAUCAGUUGCCUUUCCCAAUCUGUCUUGAUGAGAUUGGACAAAUAACUUUAAUGGACCAAUGCGCGCAAGCCAUAUGAUUUUAUCUUGGUAUGACAAGAAUAUUUAUAUGAUUUUUGGCACCGACCAUGUAUAGAAGAACAAAUUUGAUAAAAGCUUCCUUACCAAAAAUGGCUGUUAGAGAUUGCUUGUAAUAGGUGUUUUGAAUUAUUUAGUGUUGAUUUUUCAAUUUAAAAAUUGUGUUUGGAAAUCUUGUUGGUUCAAUCACUUUUCUUUCUUUGUUUCUAAUCUUCUACAAAAAAAAUUUGGGGGAGAUGGUAAAUUAAUAUUUCAACAUUUUAAAUAGUUCAAGUGGGUUACUAGAAAAAAUUAAAAAUUCAUGAGGUAAUCCUGUACACACCUUAAAUUUCAAACGAUAUUUGUUCAAAUUUCCAUUUGGGGUAAAUAGAGAUGGCUUGUCAAAGCUUCCACCCGUGACAGCUAAGUCCAGACCCAAAUUGUUCUCAAAUGUCUUUACCCACGCAAGUUGCUCCGAAAUGUCUUUACCUAAGUUUGUCUCUUAGCUUUUAGGGGAUAUAUAUAAACAACUUAAAAGAGUUGGUCCUGAAAAUAUAUUUUCAUGCUUUCUCGAUAAGUUAGGCGAGAGAUGGAUUUCUUGAGUUGCAUGCUAAUAUGUCUUAUGGUUGGCUGGAUCUCAAUCCAUGCCCUCUAUUAUUCAUUUGCAAGAACAAGUCCCAAUAAGCUUCCGCCUGGACCAAAUCCACUUCCUUUCAUUGGAAAUCUUCUAGAGCUUGGAAACAAGCCCCACCUCUCCCUAACCAAGCUUUCACAACGCUAUGGGCCCAUUAUGACUUUACAUCUUGGCCAAAUCACGACCGUCGUGGUUUCUUCAUCCGCCAUAGCUAAACAAGUCCUCCAAACCCAUGACCAAUUGUUUUGCAACCGAACAGUAUUAGAUUCAGUCCAAGCCUGUAAACAUGGCGAGAACGGCAUGCCCUGGAUACCUGUUUCAGCUAAGUGGAGAAACCUUCGCAAAAUAUGCAACUCCCAAUUGUUCGCCACCAAAGUUCUCGACGCCAGCCAAGGCAACCGCCACCUAAAAGUGCAAGAGCUCAUAGCUGAUGUCCAUGAAAGCGUUGUAAAAGGUGAUGCAGUGGAGAUUGGAAGAGCUGCUUUCAAAACUACGCUCAAUUUGAUGUCGCGGACUGUCUUCUCUGUGGAUUUAGCGGACCAGAAUAGUGAGAGGGCUAGAGAGUUCAAGGAGCUGGUGCGGAGUAUUAUGGAAGAGAUUUCGAAACCAAACUUGGCUGACUAUUUUCCAGUGCUUAAAAAGAUUGACCCCGUGGGGAUACGGCGCCGUUUGACUCGUCACUUCCUGAAGAUGUUUGACCUCUUCGAUCGCUUGAUCAUCCAAAGAAUGGAAUCAAGAAAAGCACCUGACUAUAUCAUGACCAGUGAUAUGUUAGAUACCCUUAUAAACAGUAGUGAAGAGAAAAAUGAGGAUAUGGACAUGGUUGAAACUCAACAUUUGUUCCUGGUUAGUGGCUAUCUAUAUAUACUCUAGCUCUCUUGUUCUUUAAUCUUGAUAACUUUGUUUCAAUUGAUACUAAGUUACUAACUAGUGAAUAUAUGUAUAGAUUGCUUAGAUUUCAAAAUUAAUUAUGAAUACUAUACAUUUUCGCUUUUGUUUUUGUUUUGUUAAUUGCUAUUUGUACCAUCUAAACUGAUUAUUUCAUUUGCUACUGUCUCAAUCGGAGGUCAAGUUUACCACGAAAAUGGUAGAUCAGAUGUUGAAUUGAUAUGGUAUAAGUAAUUAUAUUCCUACUAAUUAAUCAAUUUGGUCAAUUAUUAUAGGAUCUAUUUGCUGCUGCCACAGAUACAACUUCAGCCACAUUAGAAUGGGCAAUGGCUGAGCUACUACGCAACCCCGAAAAACUGUCAAAAGCUCAAGAGGAGCUGAAGCACAUCAUUGGCAAAGGAAAACCAGUGGAGGAAUCAGACAUCACUCGGCUCCCUUACUUACAAGCCAUAAUCAAAGAGACCUUCCGCUUGCACCCAGCAGCUCCAUUGCUAAUUCCUCGCAAAGCCGGAGCAGAUGUAGAAAUAUGCGGGUACAUUGUACCAGAGGGUGCACAAGUUUUGGUCAAUGCAUGGGCCAUAGGCAGAGACCCCAGCAUCUGGGACAACCCAAACUCGUUUAUGCCGGAGAGGUUCUUGGGAUUGGACAUAGAUGUUACAGGGAGGAACUUUGAGCUUAUCCCAUUUGGUGGUGGACGGAGAAUUUGUCCUGGGUUACCAUUGGCAAUGAGAAUGCUGAACUUGAUGUUGGGGUCACUUCUUAACUGCUUUGAUAACUGGAAGCUUGAAGAUGGGGUUGCACCAGAGACCAUGAACAUGGAAGACAAGUUUGGCCUCACUUUAGAGAAGGCUCAGCCCCUAAUAGCUGUGCCCAUGACAUAGGAGAUCCUAGCUAGCUAUUGGUUUUUACGUACAUUAAUAAAAACCAUGCACUGUAUCCUCCUACUUAUCAAGUUUGAAACUCAAUAAUGAUCAAUUGUUGUGAAACUGUUACUGUCACCCAUUGGUUUAACUAUGAUUAAUUACUGCUACCCAUUGGUUUAAUAAACGCAAUUUUUUUUUUCUCCAAUUAUCUAUCUACUGUCUCCUACAGUAUUAAUAAUUUAUUAAUCCCACUAAAACUAAACUUUUGAAUUAACAACAGUGCUUUUAGUCGACAAAAAAAGACGUCUACGGCUUAAAACCAACAUGUAGUGGUGUAUAAUCAUCAAUCUCGCUCAUUUACGAAAAUCAUCAAUUUUGGCUUGAGCUCACGGCCCAAGUCUAUAUGAGCUUGGGCCGUACUCGUAUUGGGCCAUUAAAUAGGUCGAUAUGAGCAUACGCUAAAUUUGACUUAUGUAUUGUAUUUUUUUAUAAUUUUUUUUACAACUGAAUUUAAAUCUUUUUUUAUAAUUAUGUAUAUACUAAAGAUUUAGGAUUUGUUAAAAAAAAAAGGUCAAUAACUUUAUUUAAAGUACAUUUAAAUAGAAAAUUGCUAUAUUAUUGUUUGGGUUUUAAAAAUUGAAACUUGAAAAAUAAAAUUAUUAUUUUAUAUAUAAAGAAAACAUUAAUUUUUAAUAUAUACUAGCCUCUCCACACGCGCUUCCGCGCUUGCUAGAGGCUUUUUUUAAAAAAAAUUUAAAUUUAUUUUAGAAUUAAAAAAGAUAAUGGGUAGUUGUAUUCCAUAAAAAUAGAAUCCAUUAUCUUAUUUUUCUUUUAUUUUUCUUUUUUUUAAAUAUGAAAAAUUGUGAAUUUACUAUAUUAUCCUCAUUUAAUUAAUAAUUUCAAUUCUUAAUGUUUGCAUUAACCAAGUACAUUUUAUGGUAUUUUGAAUGUUUUACCAUUAUUAGCCUUUUGCUUUAUAUAUAUAUAUAUAUAUAUAGAUUAUUAGAGAAUAGAAAUAGUCUUGAAUUUAAGAUAUAUUUAAUAAUAUUAUAUAUUAUUUUUCUCUAAAAACAAGUAUAAUUUAAUAAAUGGGCUUUAAACAAGCAGGCCUAUUGGAUUUCGAGCUGGUACAGUCUGCGACAGGUUAGGAGCCCGCCCGGCCCAUUAGACCUAAUUACUUAGUCCCGACACGACCCAAAGAUAUGAACCAUGAUGUAUCAUGUCUAUCUUAAGCAGACUAUGUUCGUGCUAUGUCGGGUCGGCCCAGUUCAUAUGACACCUCUAUGAGAGAGUUUCGUGACACAAAUUGUUGACUUUCUAUAGCUACAAUUAAGAGCUGAACAUCAUGUCGAAUCAUAAUAUUUUAUUACUUUGUUUGAUUUGACUGACAUAUAUUAAUUCUCGUAUUUGUAUUUGUAUCUGUAUAAGAAGUGUAUAGCUUGUGUAUUAUAUUACUCAAAAGAAUAACAAUUUCUAAUUACUUUUCAUUUUCUAAAAAAUCAUUAAAAUAUUAUAUUAGCCAAUUUUACACCAUAUUGUUCCAACUCAACAGUAUUUCCAUUCCUGAAUCCAAAUCCAAGCUUUGUGUAAAUACAUAAGGCAAGGCCUUGCAAAUGUAAUUAUAAGUCCUUAACAGCAAGCAAGUAUUGAGCAAUUCCAUCCUUCCUUCUCACAAGCGAAUCCUUAAUAGAUCCUGAAAGAGAAUUUUUUUCGCCAGUUACUGAUCAGUAUUUUCAGUUAGGUAUAUGAUGAAGGCUAGGAAAAUCAAGAACAAAAAUAACUUAACCUUUGAAUCCAACAAUAGCAACAUUCUCUACAUCCAUAUUAUUUAUCUCUCACCUCAUAUCAUGUCUUCCUGCAUCAGACAAUAGCAAAGAAUAUAUCAAGACAAAACAUUGAAUUUAAAACUAAAUAUUAUUCUUCAUUUUCUCAGUCAUAUCAAACAAAAAAUAAAUCAUUUCCGAAACAAAAAAAUAGAUCUGAGAUACAUGUGAGUAAGAAAGUCUUAGAGAUUCAGAUCUAAGUUCAAUUGUGAGCCGAUAAAAGCCUCAGAAAAUCCAUGCAGGCCAUUCCAAAUCCAAAACCUAACAAUAAGAAGAAAGAAAAGACAUAAUGGUGACAAGCAAGCAAAACCAUUGACCAGCCACCCAUGACAAGACUCGACCCAAAUUCCGUUUUGGAAUCCGAGCCGGACCCUGUGCGUGUCCGACACCUGACGGAUGCCGGGCUCGAAUAGCCUAAUUGCCCUUCCCUACAAAGCACGAUAAAAUAACAAGGUUGACUUCUACCGAAAAUUCGGCAGAAUCUCCCUUGUAACUGGAUCAAUACCAAAACAUUUACACUUGCCAAACAAACAUAAAUACACAACCAACUGCCAAUAUAUGUAUACAUACAUUUCAACAGUUAAAUUCUAAUUCUAGGGCAAAUUAUAAGAGCGACUACUAAGAAUUUACAAAGGAGUCAAUCCUUUUACAAAAAAUAAAGUCCUACAUCAGAAAGGAAAGCGCGGAAGGUGGAAAAGGGCCCGGUGGUGGAUCACUGUGCACGCCUACUGCUUGGGGGCGCAAAACAUUAAAAAGGGUGAGUGGACUCAAAAAAACAAAGUUUGGAAAAAUACAUAUGAACAUACUAACCCCACUGUAAAAACACUUAUACAAACUAAAUUAUUCUCUUUAUUAUAUUCGUACUGAAAUCAAUGCACUUAUAUAAUUAUACAUAUAUAUACCAAUCAUACUCAUGGUCAACAUUAAUUUCUUAAAAGCAUUGAAAACAGUUUAAAACUACCACCUAAGUGUACCCCUUAUUUCCGUCAAUUCCUAAUAUCCGUCAAUUCCUCGCAUCACCAUGGAUGACACGUACUCAUAGGUCUCAGUGAUACAAGGUCAGUCUGAGCUGCAACUCGCAGGAUUCAGAGGACCGUAGUCAGCCUGAUUCGCAUUACUCGCUCCACACGAGUUCGGGUACCAUAGAACUCAUGGGGCAACUGUCAAGGAUGCUGACUAAACCGAAGGCAACCAAUAAAAUCCGAAGGCAACAUUUGAUCUGAAGGCAACUUAUUUACCAAAGGCAACAUCUGUAUAUCUGGCUACCUAAGGUGGUUUAGGAAAAUAUAAAGUUUCUGAAGAAAAUCUGCUAAAUAAGUGAAUUUCUGUAAACUCUAAAACUCUGCUGCCAUUUAUCUGAUAAUUAACUAGAAUUUCUUUUCCUAUAUCCUUUAAAGGAUAUUCCACUCGACAUCAUGCAAAACAAAAUAUUAAAAGCAUAUAACGGCUUAUAAAACACUAAUAUUUGAAUAAAACUUAUUCAAGAUCAAAUACUGUAACUGAACUGCUUAAAGUCAUUUAUAAAAACAAAGAGUCCACUCACUGAUGGUCCGUGCUCACUGGACCCCUUGAAGGUCCCUCAUACGGGUCAACUAGUGCCCGGGUGUCUGAUUCAAUGACCAUAAUAUUCUAUUAAUACAAUACUCAAUAUAGUAUUCAUUUAAAAACCCUGACCCCUGGCUCCAAGAAGUACGUGCGUCAGAUUAAAGUUGUUCCUAUGCCCAUAAAAGCUUUCCUUCCAAUUGGAAUAGUUUAGCAGUAUCUUGGGACUCAAAAAGUGCUAAAGUCCCAAAAAGUCAACCCGGGACCCCGCGGGUCCACGACCUCACAAUUAUGAUCCGGAAGCCUCUAGAAGUUCCAAUAUACCUAGGACACAUGUUCCGAGGGUUUGAUCUCAAUCGGACGGUCGGAUUGAUCACGAUCGUACAAUCGCACGAUUUCUAAACCCUAGCCCUAGGGUUCGCGAUUUCAGAGUAUCCGAAACUCUGAUUCACAAUCUGUCGUAUCCUAAACAAUCCUGCAAUUGUCUAGAUGAACAUAUCUGAAAAUGAUUACAAUCCAACGGCUCAACAGUAUUGAACCCGAAAAUCGCACAAUAUGCAAAAAUCUGUUCGAGGCUCAAACGGUAACCAAAUUGAGAUCCGUGAAUUCCUACGCGCUCGUGACAACACGAGGAUCAUUCUAGGAUUGAAAGUGUGCUCCAUAAACUGCCCACGCGCCGCCACACGCUCCGGCAGGGCGUGGGUGGCUUGAUAAUUUCUGGCGGUUGAAAAAUCUCCAAACCGCUGGCCCAAACUCCUGUCCUAAGUAAAACACCAUAUUUGAAACCACUUUUGUUCUUGGACUUACCCCAAAAACUGGCCGAAAGUGGCCGGAAUUUCAAACUCAAAACCGGUGAAACUUUGGAUCGUGAUUUGAUCUAUCUAGGCUAAAAAUCGUUCCAAUCCUACCCAACCAGCAGCUAAGUCAUGAAAAAGAGGUAAAGAUUCAUACCUUACUCGACUGAUUUGGUGGCCAGAGGAGAGAGCUCGAAAGCUUGGAAGUUUUCUCAAAAUCGGCUGGGUUUUGGACGUUUUCCGGCGAAAAUCGUGACAGUCAAGUGGCAGGGAAGGUCGGGCUUGGUGGCGGAGCUGACGUCAGUGUGAUUGGGUCUGGUCCAGCGGGUCGGGGCGAGGUGUAGCGGUGGCUGGGUGGUUAUGGAGGUUCAGCUGGGGAAAGGCGCACGGGAAGGAGGCUGCGGGGAGAGAGAAGAGAGACUAAGGGAAAAGGGAGAGAAGUGAGGUUUUUAAAAUCUGAAUUUUCAAAUUACCAUUUUGCCCCUCUACGUAUUUUGACCGUAUCUUCUUCGUUAAAGCUCCGAUUCGAGCCCACUUCUUGUCUACGAACUAGUUUCGUCAUACUCUACGCAACGGUUUGUGUGAAAUUGUCAAAUUCCUUCUCGGUCAAAAAGUCAACUUUUCUUUACUAAAUUAUUCCAAAGGCAAAAUUGUCUUUUCCUCUUGAUAAAUUAAUAAGUAAAUAUUAAUUAAGGUUUGGGUUAUUACAACCCAACUAUCACCAAAAUCAAUUUAGUGACUCAAAAAACUUGACUGUUGCCUUCUUUUUUUUUUGGUUGUUGUUGCUGUUGUUGUUGUAGUGAAAAUAAGAAAAAAAACAUUAUCAUUGUCUAGGUUCACCCUUUGACACAGCUCUCAGAGGGUGGGCCAUGUGUAAACUGAGGCCAAACUUGCCUUCCACACUCAUGGUCUUUGCUCUGGUACAACCUCAUCUUGAAGCUUCCAAUCAAAAGAGUCUAUAAGUGAACCCAACAUCAAGUGUAUCAUUCGCAUUGCAAAUGGCAAGCCAAGACAAAUUCUCCUCUAAUGUAGAACAAAUGGCUGAACGGAUUGAAGAAGAAUUGGUGCAAAGAAUGGAAAAAAGACGCAGCAGGAAUUUACAAAUUUGGCGUCCGAGCUCCAAUUGGGUCACAUAAUACCUUCUCGAAAAGGGAACGACUUCCAAUAGAGUGCAAACUUGGAACCAGCCCCAGAAGGAGAACCCGUAUGCUAAGACCAUGACAGAUAUUUGUUAUCGAUGCCAAAAACCAAGGCAUCGUUCCAACGUUUGUCUUGAGCAGAGGCAAGCUAAUUUUAUAAAAGAUGUUGGUGAUGAUGAAGAAAAUGAUGAAGUUGUAGACGAUGAUUAUGCAGGGACUGAGUUUGCAAUUGAGGAGGGAAUAGAAAGGCUUACUUUGGUUUAACAGCGAGUUCUUUUGGCAGCAAAAGAGGAAGGGCAGCGACAUAGCAUUUUCCGUUCUCUUUGUUCAAUCAAAAAGAAAAUCUGUGAUGUGAUCGUAGCACUAGUAAAAAAAACCCUUUGCGCGACCAAAUUUUGCGCGACGAAAAACUAUUCGUCGCUCAAAGUCACUUUGCGCGACGAAACUCAAAACUUCGUCGCUCAAAGUCUUACGCGACCAAAUUUUGCGCGAUGAAAAAUAAUUCGUCGCACAAAGUCACUUCGCGCGACAAACUUUUGCGCGACGACAAUACAUCGUCGCUCAAAGUCUUGCGCGACCAAAUUUUGAGCGACGAAAAAACAUUCGUCGCGCAAAGUAACUUUGCGCGACAAACUUUUGCACGACAACAAUACAUCGUCACUCAAAGUGACUUUGCGCGACGAAACAAUAAACUUCGUCGCGCAAAGUCCUUAUAAAAAUAAAAAAUAUAUAUUUUUAAAUCUUUGCGUGACGUAAUCCAAACAUUUCGUCGCCUAAACCAAUUUAUUUUUGUUUUUUAUUUUGUAUGCAUAACACUUAAGAAAUUAAACAGUAUAUAUAUUUAUUAAGUAGCUUUAAAUUUAUUAUUUUAGAUCGAAUCGGAUUUUUGUUAGAAAAAUAUAUUAUUGUUGUUCAGAUUGAGUUUUUGUUAGAAAAUAUAUAUUUUAAAUUGACAAUCGAAUUAGUUCAUUGUAUUCAUAUAAGGUCAAGGAGUGUAGCUGUAAAAAAUCAUCAAAAUCGGAGUUAAAAUAACCGUUAAAUCGUGAUUUUUUAUUAUAACCAUCGAAAAGUUUUGUCCCAUUACUUGAUCUCUGAAUGUUUAUUUUUUUCGAUUUUUGGCGUAUAUGAUCUCGAAGUAUAAACAAACAAGUUUGACAGUUGGAUCGUUGAAACUAGUUUUGGUGAAUGUAUAUGCCAUCAAAACAAUAUAUUCACUAACAAUUAAGAGUUUAUUUAUACGUUCGUUAAAUAUAACAUAAGAUUUUGUGGUAUCCACUAGUGUAAAUAUUUUAUAUUGAAGAUCAAAUUAGUUAUUGUAUUCAUAUAGGGUCAAGGAGUGUAGCUGUAAAAAAAUCAUCAAAAUCGGAGUUAAAAUAACCAUUAAAUCAUGAUUUUUCAUUUAUAACCGUAAAAAAGUUUUGUCCCGUUACUUGAUCUCUGAAUGUUUAUUUUUUCCGAUUUUUGGCGUAUAUGAUCUCGAAGUAUAAACAAACAAAUUUGACGGUUGGAUCGUUGAAACUAGUUUCGUAGAAUGUGUAUGCCAUCAAAAUAAUAUAUUCACUAACAAUUAAGAGUUUUUUUUUAUACUUUCGUUAAAUAUAACAUAAGAUUUUGUGGUAUCCACUAGUGUAAAUAUUUUAAAUUGAAGAUCAAAUUUUGUCAUUGUAUUCAUAUAUGGUCAAUGAAUGUAGCUGUAAAAAAAAUCAUCAAAAUCGGAGUUAAAAUAACCGUUAAAUCGUAAUUUUUCAUUUAUAACCAUCGAAAAGUUUUGUCCCGUUACUAGAUCUCUGAAUGUUUGUUUUUUGCGAUUUUUGGAGUAUACGAUCUUGAAGUAUAUACAAACAUGUCUGAUGGUUGGAUCGUUGAAUGGUGUGUGUAUAUAUAUUUAUUUAUUAAGUAGCUUUAAAUUUAUUUAUUUUGUACGUAUAACACUUAAGAAAUUGAAUAGUAUAUAUAUUUAUUAAGCAGCUUUAACCUUAUUUAUAUUUUAAAUUGUAAAAUAAAAUUAUUUUAUUUUUAUUAUUCAUAACAAUUAUUUUUAUAAAUAUUGUGCUACGAACCAAUUUUUCGUCUCUCAAAACUUUGCGCGACCAACAGUUUGUCGCGCAAAACUCUAAAAAUUUGGACGGGUACCAAAAAUGGGACGCGGGAUUUAAAAAAAAAAAAAAAUUUAGACUUUGCGCGACCAAUAUUUUCUGUCGCUAAAAACUUUGCGCGACCAAUAUAUAUUUUUUGUCUCGCAAAAAUUUGGGCGGGUACCAAAAAUCGAACGCGGGAAUUUUUUUAGACUUUGCGCGACCAAUAUGUAUUUUUCGUCGCGCAAAAAUUUAAAAAUUUAGGGUACCAAAAAUGGGACGCGGGAUUUUUUUAAAAAAAAAAAAUUUAGACUUUGCGCGACCAAUAUUUUUUGUCGCUCAAAACUUUGCGCGACCAAUAUAUUUUUUUCGUCUCGCAAAAAUUUGGGCGGGUACCAAAAAUCGGACGCGGGAAUUUUUUUAGACUUUGCGCGACCAAUAUGUAUUUUUCGUCGCGCAAAAAUAUAAAAAUUUUGGGGGGUACCAAAAAUGGGACGCGGGGAUUUUUAUUUUUUUAAAAUAAUUUUUUUUAGACUUUGCGCGACCAAUAUUCAUAUAUUCGUCGCGCAAAAGUUUGCGCUACCAAUAUUCAUUUUUCGUCGCGCAAAGUGAUACGGUUUUUAAAACCGAAAUAACUCCACCAUUUUCUCAAUGUCUUUCUCUACUCUUACCUCUCCUUUCUCUUUCCCUCUCCCCAAAUCCCACCAUUUCUCUCACUCACUCCUCUCACUUAAUCUCUCAUCUCUCUCUUCACUAUCUCUCACUCUCUCUCACCCACUCUCUCAUCUCUCUCACUCACUCUCUCAUCUCUCUAUCACUAUCUUCUCUAAUUCUCUCACACUCACUUCUCCCUCUCAUUCUCACUCACUCUCAAUCUUGCCAAAAGGUAUAUUCUCUCCAAAUUUUAAAUUUUUUUCAUUAAUAUGUGUUUUUGGAGUUAAUUUUGAGUUUGUGUGGGUUUUGGGGUUGAGUAAAGGGGAGGGAUUGGAGUUUGGGUUGGAUUUGUGGUAUAACAAUUUUAGGGGAGAUUAUGCCUUUUUUUUGUUUUUUUUUUUUGGUUAUUUGACCAUAUUUGUUUUUUUUUUGUAGGGAAUCAUCGAGACUUUGACGGCUAAAGUUGAGGAUUAGGAAGCUAUCAAAACAUAUCCUCCGCCACUACCACCACAAUACGCUUGUAUUAGGAUUUUAUUAUUGUACUUUGUUAAUUUAUGUGUAUAUUUUGAAUAUUAUAUAUAUAUAUUUAUUGGAUAAUUUGAUCACUAUUUUUCAUAUGUAAUUUUAUUUUGAAUAUGUCAAUUUAAAUUAAAGUAAUUAAAAAAAUCAUACAAUUAAAUUAAAUUUAAAAAGUAAAAACUUGAAAAAAUUAAUAUCAAUUUAAAUUAAAGUAAUUUUAAAAAGAAAUCAUACAAUUAAAUUAAAUUUAAAAAAUAAAAUUUUGAAUAAAUUAAUAUAAAUUAAUUAAUAUUAAAGAAAUAAUAAAACAAAAAGUCAAAAACCUUGCGUGACAAAAUAUUUCGUAGCGCAAACUAUUAAAUUAGUUUAUUUUAAAUUAAAAAAAUUUAAAACAAAAAAUAUUUCGUCGCGCAAAUAUUUGCGCGACGUUAGUAUUCGUCGCGCAAAACUCAAAAAAUUUGGGCGGGUACCAAAAAUUGUACGCGGGAAUUUGUUUUUUUUUUAAAUUUUUUUGAAGACUUUGCGCGACCAAUGGUUUUCGUCGCGCAAACCUUUGCGCGACCAAUGUAUUUCGUCGAGCACAACUUUGCGCUACCAAUAUUUUUCGUCGCGCAAAGUCACUUUGCGCGACCAAUAUUUUUUCGUCGCGCAAAGUCACUUUGCGCGACCAAUGAAAAAACUUCGUCGCGCAAAGUCUUUCUUUACGAUCUUUGCACGACGGAUUCUGCGCGACGAAAUUUCUGUCGCGCUGAAAUUUGUGCGACUACAAUGUAUUUUGCGCGACGAAAUUCUCUUCGUCGCGCAAAGUGUAAAAUGUAGUAGUGUAGACAAUGGGAGUUGCAAGAAUUUUGUGUCAAAAAAAUUGGUGGAGCGUUUGCAGCUUCCAACACAGCCAUAUAUCAGCCCUUAUUCACUGAGUUAGGUUAUAAAAGGAUCUUCAGUUCGUGUUACUGAGACUUAUCGUGCGCCACUCUCCAUUGGUAAGCAUUACAGAGAUGAAGUCGUAUGUGAUGUUAUUGAUGUGGAUGCUUGUCAUAUCUUGUUAAAGCGACCUUGGCAAUAUGAUGUGGCUGCAACCUUUAAGGGUCGAGAUAAUGUGAUUUUGUUUUCCUGGAACAACCACAAGAUUGCAAUGGCUACUACAGUGUCCUCAAACAAAUCAAUUGAGCCCAAAACUAAGAGUUUUGGUUUUCUAACUCUGAUCAGCAGCGAGUAAGAGUUAAAUGAGGCAAAAAAGAAGCAUAUUAUUUUUGUCCCAUGGUGUUGAAAGGGCUAUUGAAGGCCAGCAAAGAAGAAAAUGUAAUUCCUAUUGAAGUGCAACAGAUUUUGACAAAAUUUCAGGAACUGAUUUAUGACAAGCUGUCAAACGAGCCAUCGCAUUUGAGAGAUAUACAACACCACAUUGAUUUGGUACCGAGGGCUAGUCUACCGAAUCUGCCACAUUGUCGCAUAAGCCGUAAGGAGAAUUUAAUUCUAAGAGAGCGAAUUGAAGAUUUGUUACAAAAGGGUUUUAUCAGGGAGAGCUUGAGUCCCUGUGCGGUUCCAAUCCUUCUUGUUCCAAAGAAAGAUCAGUCUUGGCGUAUGUGUGUUGAUAGUUAACCAAUCAACAAGAUUACAAUAAAAUACAUAUUUCCCAUCCCAUGGUUGGAAGAUAUGUUGGAUGUGCUUGAAGGCUCUAAGAUGUUUUUCCAAAAUAGAUUUGCGCAGCGGAUACCACCAGAUUCGCAUCAGGCUAGACGAUGAGUGGAAAAUAGCGUUUAAGAGCAAGGAAGGGUUAUACGAAUGGCUGGUGAUGCCGUUCAAAUUGUCAUGGUUUAUUUUGAAAGAAAAUAAGCUAUAUGUGAAUCUGAAAAAAUGUACUUUUUGCACAAAUAAGCUACUGUUUUUGGGUUUUGUGGUUGAUGAGAAUGGUAUCCAGGGGGAUGACGAGAAGAUCAAGCAAUUCUUGACUGGCCAACUCCAAAAACAAUCUUUGAAGUUCGAAGUUUCCAUGGUUUAUCCACUUUUUUUACAGGAGGUUUGUGAGGCAUUUCAGUUCCAUUGUCGUGCCUGUUACUAAAUGUUUGAAGAAGGGUAGGUUCAAUUGGGGAGAAGAGCAAGAAAAAAGUUUUGCUCUUGUAAAAGAAAAACUUUGCACCGCCUCGAUUCUAGCUCUUCCAAAUUUUGAGAAGGUGUUCGAAGUUAAAUGUGAUGCCAGUGGCGUGGGAGUGGUAGCCGUGCUCUCUCAAGAUAAGAGACCAAUUGCUUUCUUUUCUGAAAAGUUGAGCGACGCUCGUCAAAAGUGGAGUACUUAUGACAAAGAAUUUUAUGCAGUUGUUUGGGCUUUGAAACAAUGGAAGCACUAUCUUAUUCAUAAGGAAUUUAUUUUGUUUAUAGAUCCUCAAGCUUUGAAGUAUAUUAACAGCCAGAAACAUAUUGAUAAAAUGCAUGCCAAAUGGGUGACUUUUUUUGCAGAAAUUUUCAUUUGUUAUCAAGCAUACUUUUGGCACCUCAAAUCGUGUGGCUGACGCACUGAGUAGAAGGGCUUCUCUGUUAGUUACUCUUACUCAAGAAAUUGUGGGGUUCAAGUGUCUAAAGGAUUUAUAUGAAGAUGAUGAUGAUUUCAAGGAAAUAUGGGCUAAAUGUGCUAAUCAUGAGCCAAUGGCAGAUUUCUUUCUUAAUGAAGGGUAUUUGUUCAAGGCCAACUUGUUAUGCAUUCCUGUUUCCCCCUUAAGGGAGAAACUCAGUCGGGAUUUACACGGAGGAGGGUUGAGUGGCUACUUAGGCCGCUAUACAACAAUAGUAGGAUUGGAGGAGAGAUUUUAUUGGCCACAGUUGAAGCGUUAUGUUGGAACAAUUGUGCGCAAAUGUUAUAUUUGUCAAGUUUUGAAGGGACAGGUACAAAACACUGUAUUAUACAUGCCUUUACCAGUUCCUAAUGAUAUAUGGCAGGAUCUUGCUAUGGAUUUUGUCCUUCGUUUUGCCUCGAACUCAGAGAGGUGUGGAUUCAGUUUUUAUGGUGGUUGAUCGAUUCUUAAAAAUGGCACAUUUCAUAGUCUGCAAGAAGACUGCUGAUGCAUCUAAUAUAGCCAAACUGUUUUUCAAGGAGGUUGUUCGUUUGCAUGGAGUACCUACAUCUAUAACUUCUGACCGUGAUACAAAAUUUUUGAGCCAUUUUUGGAUCACUUUGUGGGGAAUGUUUGGGACUACUUUGAACAGUAGUAGCACAACCCAUCCUCAAACUAAUGGCCAGACUGAGGUAACCAAUCGAACAUUGGGAAAUAUGGUGCGAAGCAUUUGCAAAGAGAAGCCGAAACAACGGGAUUAUGCGCUGUCACAGGUGGAGUUUGCAUAUAACAAUGCAAUUCAUAGUGCAACCGAGAAGUCACCGUUUUCCAUUGUUUAUACUAUUGUGCCUAAUCAUGUUGUAGAUUUGGUGAAGUUGCCUAGAGGCCAAAAAACCAGUGUUGCAGAGGGAAAUUUGGCUAAAGAAGUGGUGGCUGUUCGUGAUGAAGUGAAGCAAAAACUCGAGCAAACUAAUGCUAAGUACAAAGCCGCUGCAGACAAGCAUAGGCGAGUUAGGGUGUUCCAAGAAGGUGAUUUUGUUAUGGUGUUUCUGAGGAUGGAGAGGUUCCGUGCUGGUACAUAUAGCAAGCUGAAGCCUAAGAAAUAUGGUCCUUACAAGGUGCUGAAAAGAAUCAAUGACAAUGCCCAUGUUAUUGAAUUACCAAAUUCCGUGGGAAUUUCUAAUACUUUUAAUGUUGCUGAUUUGUAUGAGUUUCAUGAAGAUAGAACCCUUUAUCCUAAACAUAACUCGGGGUCGAGUUCUUUAAAGGUGGAGGGGACUGAUGUAGAACAAAUGGCUGAAUGGAUUGAAGAAGAAUUGGAGCGAAGAAGGGAAAAAGGACGCAGGAGGAAUUUACAGAUUUGUCGUCUGAGCUCCAAUUGGGUUGCAUAAUACCUUCUUAGAAAGAGAACGACGCCACGAGUCCAACUCACCACUUUGUUGUGACAUAUGGUAGAUGUUGGGCUUCUGAGGAUGUUUGGCCUUCUAAAAGUGCAUUUAAAGAUUGCAUUCAAUUUAUAGACUUUCCGUUCAUUUUCUGUUACGUUUUCAAUAACUCCCUAGGACAGUCCAAUGGGUGAGAACAUGGUAUUUAGUCAGCCGUCAUGCUUGGUUGAACUUAUCUUGAAUUUUAUCAAAUAAUUCAAAGAGAAUUUCUCUCUACCUUCCUGGUUGAUUUCAUAUUAUUAUUCUUUAGGAUUUUCGCUUGAAAACCUAUUUACUUGUGUUGCGUCAUCCUCCCACCACCAAACGGAAUAAGCUCAAUGCUUUUGCCUAUAACAUCAAUAUCCAUUCCCAAGAACCUCUCCGGCAUAAAUGAGGUAGGGUUGUCCCAAAUGGGGUCUUUGCCAAUGGCCCAUGCAUUCACCAACACCUGCGCACCCUUUGGUACAAUGUAGGCACAAAUUGCUACGUCUGCUUCGGCUCUGCGAGGGACAAAUAGAGCUGGUGGGUGUAGCUGGAAGGUUUCUUUGAUUAUUGCUUGUAAAUAAGGAAGUCGAGCAAUGUCCGAUUCCUCUUAUGGUUUUCCUUUGCCAAUGACUUGCUCUAACUCCUCUUGAGCUUUUGACAGUUUUUUCAAGGUUACGUACUAGCUCAGCCACUGCCCAUUCCAAUGUGGCUAAAGUUGUAUCUUUGCCCGCCACAAGUAGAUCCUAAAUAAAGAAGUGCACAAGGCAUUUACCCCACAUGAGUAUUACUAUUAUGGGCUUCAGCAACACUUACAUUUUUUAAAGCCUUGUGAGGCUAUAUGGGCCCGCCACUUUUCCGAAAAAGGAUACCAAGGUCAGCAUCUACAAAUUCUAUUAAAAAAAACACAAACACACACACAUUUAUAUUUCUCUCCUUCGGCACCUUGCCAAGUUUUAUGCCCUUUGGGAAUUUUCUUUCGACACACAAGUUUCAUGCAAAGUUCCUUCGGUAAUUUCCUUGCUGCACCCAAGUUUCAUGCAAGUGCCUUUGGCACCUUACCAACUUUCAUGCCUUUCGGCAAUUUCUUUGUGACAAGCAAAUUUCAUGCAAGCUUUGUGCCUUCGACAGCUUGUCUUGCGACUUGCAAGCCUCUUUGCCUUCGGCACCCCCGUGCUCUUCAGAACCUUGCCUUGCAACAUGCAAGCCUUGUGCCACAAAGCAAUAGUGCGCGAGUCCCACAACAGCUUUCUUGCACAUGGGAUGUGUUAGCUUCAGUGGGAUCUACCGAAAUUUUUUUGGCCCAAGAAAUAGCUGGACUGCUAUUUGACCCCAAGUUUGGGUUUUCCCAAAUUUUGGCCUCUUCAUUUUAUUUGGUUGGGAGAGGAGUUGGGCUAAAAUUUGAGAUUUUUUGGUUUGUCCUCAUGGGUUGGAGAUGGCCUUACCCCUCUUGACCGUGGUUUGGUGACCCACUUUGUCCUUUGUCAUCAACUUUGUCCAAAAAUUUGUUAAUUAUGAUGACAUGGUAGGGGUAUUUUUGUAAUCUCAUACACAUGGAUCAUUAUCCACCAAUUAAGAGUGUGACGUGAUAAGUAGCCCAUCUCCACAUAGAUAAGAAUAUAAUUAAAUAUUAUAAUUAUUAAAUCUAAUUUUUUAAAAAGAAUUAGACCCCAGCCGCCUCAAUCCUCAACCUCCAUCCACACCCCCCCUCCUCUCCUACAAAUACCCUUGGAAGAAACUGUUAGAAGUGUGCCCUAAGAGCCAAUACAUUUGAUACAAUCUCCUUAGAAUUUCAUAUAUGAUAUAUAAAGGGCAAACUUAUUUUGUUAUCUUUUACAUCAUGUAAAGAAACAAAUGUCCAGGGUAUGCUAAAUAAGAGAUAAGGUAAUCUAAAGAAGAUUAAAUUCGGGAGACCUUUAAUCUCUAACUGUAGUAUUCCAAAAUGUUCCUAAUCAUAGGGUUAUCAAAUGGGCAUUGAUAAACCGUCAAGAUUAGCACAAAUUAUGUAUGCUCAAUUAGGAGGAUGGUUACUUUCAAACCCUUUGCGUAAUUGACACUACUACAAGUAUGUGGGUGCUCAUUACUGAACGUGAUUAACCUUAGUUUUCGUAUGGAGUAUUUAUCUAUAUGUCAAACGAGAACUCAUAGUUGCAAUAAUGCAAAUUAGUUCUUAGACCUGAGGCAUCAUAAUUGUCAUGUGAUGCGUUAUUGAUCUUUAAUAGCUCUCAAAGGCAUGUGUAAAAGAUUUGUCUUAAGUGUUGUUGGGAUCUCUUAAUUCAUCAUAGGGGUAUGUGAAUGUAUAAUAAGGAAUCUCUACCUUCGAUAAAGAAGGAGAAUGUUUCAAGAUGUGAUUCAGCAAAUCUUUGGCUAAAGUUUUUUUAGCUUGAUUUAGAAAGUUAUUCUUAAUUAUGUUCUUUUGAAUCACAUGAGGUUAUAAAUCAUAUUAGGGUUUAACAUAAUCAAUCUGUACCUUAAUAAUAUGAUUUGAAACAUUGUAUAAGAGAAGGACCGUAUUGCAUUGCAGUUCCAACUGAAUGGGUUCUUCAUCUAUUUUGGUUAGCUUGGGUAGCCUUAAUAUAUUGCCAGAUGUCACUCUUGGCUCAUGGAAGUCCUAGGAUUGAUUGUGAUCAAUCCAUAUAAAGGAAGAAUUAAAUGGGGGUUUUAAUUCCAGUUGAUUAGAAAGAGUUUUAAUGUUUUCCCACUCCCUCGCUAAUUAGAAUCUAUACUACUACAAAAAGGGCAAUAGACGACGGGAAUUGAUCGUCGUGUAGCAAGUUUUCUAACCGUCAUGAAAUUGACCGAUAUUUUUUUAAAAACAAAACCAAGACGGCAAAAAGGAGACGUUGUUCAUCGAGAAACAAUGUCAGAAUUAAUAAAAGCCGAAGUAAGUAAAGAAAAUGACCGCCAAAAUAACUAAUGGUGAACGUGUAAACGACUCAAUUUGGGAAACAACCGUCGUCUAAAUCAUAAAACAUGACGUUGUUUAGUAAAAUAUCGCUAGAAAAAAAAAAGCCACCAUGUCAUAAACAAUUAACUGAACGACGUUAAUUAAGACAUUCCACGACACAUUAUAAUAUAUUACGCCACUUUUAUUUCCAGAUAUGAUGUUGUAAAUAGUGUACACCGUCAGUCUUUACUCAGAAGUUGACGUAUUAAAAGAUAUACACGUCUAUUAGUAUAUCAGAGACGACGUUAGGAAAACAUACCACGACACAUCUGUUUCCACAUGGGACGUUUUUAUACAAUAUUUCACGACACAUGGUCACCAAGGAGACGUGAAAACUAUUAAUGACGUCAGUAAAUAUGGGAAUAAACAGGUUCUACGUCUCCUUUACUUUAAACUCUGACAGUGAAAUUAGAUUUACAACCUCGGUUAUUAUAAACACCGUGUUGUAUGUCGUAAUACAAACGUCGCAUAACCUUCGAAGACGACGUGGUUACGCUGUACUACGUCAUCUUUGUUUUUAAAGACGACAUUUGCAUGUAAUAUUUUACGACACAUAGUCACCAAGGAGACGUGAAAACAAUUAAUGACGACAGUAAAUAUGGGAAGAAAGAGGUUUUUACGCCUCCUUUAUUUUAAAUGCUGAUGGUGAAAAAGAACUUACAACGUCGGUUACUGUAAAAAGGUGUCGUAUGUAGUGAUAUAAACGUCGCUAAGCAUAUCAAAGGCGACAUGGUUACUUUGUUCUACAUCAUUGUUAUUUCUAAAGACGAUGUAAUUCAAAUAUUCACCAAGUCCUUAAAGACAUAAAUUGACGUGGUAUGUUGUUAAGACGUUUCUUAAUAAGAGUGUAUCGUCGUGUUUGUGAAGUAAAACGACGGUAUAUGUGUUAUGAGGUCGUGUUAUCCGCUUUUAAAUGUCGUCUUUUUGGGCCUUCUCGUCGUGAUAUCCUGUAACAACGGCUUGUCAUUACCGUUGUUGUUCUAUUAUUAGUGCAGUCUUUUGAGUUAUGUUUUAGACGGCGGUAAGUACAUCGUGGCUAUCUCAUUGGAUACAUACGACCUUUUUAAUAUCCAUUUUUUUAAACAGACGUCUUCUGCAGUUUUUUUCUUUGUUUUUUUUAUAGGUUUUAAGGUCUUCCAUUGCAUGACGUAUGAUAAAAAAACGACAUCUUAUAUUAUUAUGACGUCUGUUUUCGCAAUUUUGUUAACAGGACCGUCGUAUUUUGGUACUUGAACUAGAUGUUUUUGUACUAAAAGCUUUGAGCCCAAACCCUGUAUAAUGAAAGUGAAAACAAUGCAAUACAAUUUCUUACAAAAUUAAUGUCAUACACAGCCAUUUGGGGCGUAAGUAAUGUCAUAAAUUACAAGCAUCAUUCAAUCCAUAUAUCUUCAAACCCAUCUCGAAUAUUUUGACUCCCAGACUCACCGGCUAGUUCAUCAAAUAUUUUGAUUCACAUCACCUAAGACAUCAUCACCAAUAACAUCAUUAUAUUCUCUAUUAGGCAUUGAUAACACUACUGACCAACCAUAACAAAUUUGUCAUUCCCAUGUCCAAUUUUAUUCAGAUCUACAAGGGUAAAUCCAAGUUCGUCGACUACAAGGCCAGAAGUGUUAUCUAUCCAAUCACACCUAAAGACUGUGAUUGUAAACUUUUGGUAAUAAGGUCCCAAAUAUCUUGAAUGACACCAUAAAAAUCCAUAUUUGAGACAAUUGGGUUCUUAUCCUUGGCACUAGCAACUUGCAUAGUAUGUGCAAGUAAAUAAACUCCACUUUUUGAACUGCACGCACAUCAUCUUGUGCCUUGGUGUUAAAUUUAAUACCUUUGAUAAGAUAGCUCCUAUAUGAUGGCACUGCCAUGCUUGGACCAGCUGCUAGCCACCUUAAAUUUUCUGAUACACCAUUAUUGUCUUGCUUAUUAAGUUGACUUUGAACCUGCAAAUAAAUCAUAUCUUAAUUCAAUCUAAUAUAAAAAGAAGAAAAUUAAAAGUGCAGCCAUUGAAUGAAAGAGGUAUUGUGCUUAUCUUGCAGCCACUUUGUUCUCUUUCUAAAUUUUGGAUAAGUGGUCUUGAUGUGGAUCAUAUGUUCUCUACAUAACACGAAAAAUUCAAGCAUUACAAUCCCAAACAUAUAAGAUAAACAUAAGGAAUAUAAUUUAAAAUGACUACUUAAGAAUAAAACUCAUACUCGAUAUAUGGUAACACUUCCUCUGUAUUCUCCAAGACAUAUAGAUGUGCCUGAUUCAACAAGUCCCAAUCAACUAAACUCACUGUGCAACCUGAUAAGGGCUUUGAAAGUCCCAUCUUCUGGCUUGAUGGUGCUCCAACUGUAUUAACAUCAGAUAAAUGCUCGGUGCAAAACUCUACAGCAUCUUCAGCUAUAUACUGCUCAGCAAUGCAACCUUCAAGAUGAUUACGGUUCUGAACAUACCCCUUUAGCACUUUCAUAUAUCUUUCAAACGGAUAAAUCCAUCUAAAAUAAACUGGCCCACAUAGACGAACUUCUCUGACAAGAUGUACUACUAGAUGAACCAUGACAUCGAAGAAUGAAGGGGGAAAGUACUUCUCAAGCAAACAUGAAGUUACUACUACAUCUUCUUUCAACUUAUCUAGCUUGGAAACAUCUACCAUCUUUGCACAUAUAGCCUUGAAGAAGAAGCACAAUCGAGUUAUUGCAUACCUUGCAGGCUUCUCCAAGACAGAACAAAUUGCCACAGGGAGCAUUUGUUCCAUCAAGGUAUGACAAUCAUGUGAUUUAAGCCUAAGAAGUCUUGAAUCUUGUAAAGAUAUAGGAUUUUAAUAUUUGAAGAAUAACCUUCAGGGACCUUCAUACAAUAGAAAGAAUUGCAAACCUCUCUCUUCUCUGCUCUUUACAAAUUCCAAGGCCCUAGAGGCAAGGGAGUACGUCUUUCUCCAUACUCAGGUUGCAAAUCAGUCUUGAUCCCCAUGUUCAAUAAAUCCAAAUGAGCAGCAAUCUCAUCUUUAUUUUUUCCAGGGAUCUCCAACAACGUACCAAUGAUACUAUCGCAAACAUUUUUCUCGAUGUGCAUAACAUCAAGGGCAUGCCUCACAGAAAGGUAUUUCCAGUACUCUAGAUCAAAGAAUUUUGACUUCUUCUUCCAACAGACUCUAUCACCAUCAUUUGCACUUCCACCUCCCCCUUUUUUCGAGCCCCAUUUAUAAUUAAUACCUUCAACCAUUUGUAAUACUUCUUCUCCGAUUAAUGGCUUUGGAGGCGUGUCAUUUUCAGGUUUCCCAUUAAAAGCUGUACGUUGCCUACCAAUAUAUAUGCCUGAUGUAACAUAUUUUGUGCCCAUUUUUCAACCUGUGACUAGGUAUAUCAUCACCGCAUAUUGGACAAGCUUUAUAUCCUUUUACGACACAAUCUGAUAAGGAAAAAUCAUUAAUUGUCCACAGUAAUGCAGCUCUGAGUGUAAAGUAUUCUCCUAUAUGAACAUCAUACACUCCUUUAAUCCAUCAACUAUAUCUGGUACCUAGAGAAUUGUGGGGACUGAAUCCAUCAGAUGAGAGAGCCAAUCUCAAGUUUCUUGGCUCAUUACCAAACUCGGGCCAUUUAUCAUCAACCAGUUUUCAAGAGGGAGAAUCCGUCAGAUGAGACAUCAGACCUUCAAUUGCUUUUCUAUUAGCAUGCCAAGUCAAACUCUUAGCUAUCUAGUGUGAUUGAAACAUCCUUUUAAAUCUUGAAAUUGGUGGAAAAUACCACACUACCUUUGCCGGGACACCUUCUUUCAAGAUUGAAUCUUUGCCUUUCUUCCAUCUUGAGAUUCCACAAGUAGGACAAUGAGUUGAAUGUUCAUACUCCUUCCUAUACAAGAUGCAAUCAUUGGGGCAUGCGUGGAUUUUCUCAUAACUCAGCCCCAAUGCACACAAAGUCUUUUUUACGUCAUACAUAGAGGAAGGUAUUGUAUUUCCUUCUAAAAACAAAUCUCCUUGAAGUAUCAACAAUUCUGUAAAACAGACAUUACUCAUCCCAUAUUUUGCCUUCAAAUUAUAUAACUUCACUAAUGCCAACAACUUAGUGUACUUUCUACAACCAGGGUACAAGAGUUGAUCUCCAUUGCCAAUCACAUUGGCAAACUCAUAAGGAUCGGAUCCAAAAUCACCUAAAUCAUUAUCAUCCAUCUCUAUUUCUUCAUACACAAAAUUGUACCUACUAUGUUCAUCAUCUUCUUCCACAUUUCUACUAGCAUUAGUAGUUGCUUGCCAAGGUUCUCCGUGAAAUGUCCAAUUCUUAUAACUUUGGUCAACUCCAUUAAAGUAUAAGUGGUCCCUUAUAAUUCCAACCCCAAACAAUCGAACAUUUGCACAUUUAACACAUGGACAGUGAAUAUGUGUUGUGGUUAGAAGAUUUUCUAUUGAAAUUUUCAAAAAUGCUUCCACCCCUAACUCAUAUGCCUUCGAUCUUCUAUCCGCAUGCAUCCAUGACUUAUCCAUCUCCAACAAUAUACACUAUUAUUUAUAAUAAAGUGAAAAGACAAGCCAUGACCAUCACUAUAGCAUAUUAUAAUUACUUUGAUAGAAAGUAAUUUAACAUAAAGACAACGGCUUUUUUAAAACAUCCGACAUUUUAUACUUAUACAGACGACGGUUUUCUUCAAAAACCGACGUUUUAAGCAAGUAAACAGUGAUUCUGAAAACAACAAUACAAUUACAUACGACGGUAGUUAAAUAAACAUCGCCUUGUAAAGAAAAUAAAGACGACAGUUUUUACGAAAAACAGUCUUCAAAAUCUUAAAGAAAAGAAGGCUAAUGUUGAGCCUAUUCUUAACAACUAAAAUGAGUUAUUAAAAACAGCAACUUUAAUUCUCGCAAGUGCACGAAUCGUUUAUAGUAUAGCUUAUGUAAAUACGAGGUCGAUCCCACGGAGAAUGGUAACUUGGUUCCAAGUUAAAUUACUUAGAAUGCUAGAAAAACAUAGAACAAAGAAACUGACUAACUAGCUAAAGGCAAGGUCGAAUUCAACAAUGCCUCUUGCUAAUUACUCAAGGUCUAGGACAGAAUCCUAGCACCACACACGCACUCGAAAUGGGGGAUUUUGUUGUUGAAAUGAAAACAAGAAAGUGAAAUGAAAGUGCUCGAAAGUAAACACUGGCAGCAAUCAACAAGUUGUGAAACAAUGAUUGAGAGAUGUUAGAGCCUUGGAAUCCACCACUAGUUUUCCUAACCAAGUUAUGAAUGCAUAGAAAUUGACUCAAGCUUCAUUAACAAUAGAUUAUCGCAUACAAGCCUAUGGUAUCUAGGUGCAGGAUGCAUGAUUCUCCUAAGGCAUGUGAUUAUGCAUGGUAUCUACACAACACGUGAUCUCUAAUAUGCAACCUAAGUAUGGUAUCUACUUAGAAUAAAGCAUACAAGAGUCAUUAAGCUCCUUGAGAAUAUGAUAUGAUAAUCACACAAGUCCUAGAACAUGGUAUCUGUCCUAGUCAACCUAUGGUUAUUAACCCCUUGAAUGAUUCUUAGGCCAUUCAUGUGUUGCUUGUGAAAGGAGAGUAGAAUUGGUGAAUCUAAACCCAUUCCCAACCUGUGAUAGAUGCAUAAAAUCCUAGUUAGCUACUCCAAGAAAACAUACAUCAGGCACCUAAUAAACUGGAGAUUAACAACUUGAUAAUAAAAGCAAGGAAAUCAAUUAACUAUAAAAUCAUCCAUAACAUUGAAUAUUCAUGACUAGGGCUUCAUCCUAAGCCCUAACUAAAUGGAUUAGUUAGACAUUACUAUGAAUACAGAAAAUAAGAAAUACAUAGAUAGGAUAAAGAGAGGAGAAGAACUAGAUGAUGGCAGCAAGGAAGUUCCCAGGACAGCUCCAAGCUCCCUUGACAGCUCUAAGCUCCCUUCUCUCUUUGUGGUGAAUCUGAAUGUGUGUAUGAGAGUAAUGGAUGAAGUGAAUGUGUGUGUCUGCCCUCUCUCUUGAAUGAGUGUGCAACUCUUUAUUUAUAGAGUGCAAUUUCGUGCUCCCCUUUGGCUGGUGAAGCACACCUCUCUUAGCUGCUCCCAACUGCUCCAGCUACCCAUACUUGCCAACUGCUCCAGCUGACAAAUACAUGCUUUGGUAUGGUUUCUUUAUGGAAAACUUGACUUUUGUUUAUCUUUCUGAGCUUCUGAGCUGAUUUGACUCCCAUGUAUGGCGGCCCAUGUGUAGCACAUGGCUCUAGGGAUGUAGCCACAUUAAAUGUGAUGGCAGCCAACAUGACAUUUCUGUGAACUUGGUUCAGUCUUUGACGUGUUGAGGGCUCUAGAUUUAUCCAAUUGGGCUGAAAUGUGGAUAUGUUAUAAUAGACACCCAUUGGAACAACUUCUAUGAAGGAUGUCUCCUCAUCCGACCUGUGUAAGUUACUGAAAUGAGGCCUGCAAGAUGACCUACGAAACUGGACUGACAAGGAGUGUGGCACAAAUUGGUUUUGUCUUUAAGCUCAUAUUCCUCUUGUGCCACUCAGCCCUUAACAUGCAUGAAUUGUAUCAAAUGUCAUCCCCUUGCUGUCUUAACCUACAAAGCACACAAACAUAGGUAAGAGACUCAAAAUAAAGAGAAGCUAAGAAAAAUUACUAAGGAAAGAAGGCAUGCAAAUGUGUGAAAUUAUGAGCUUAUCAGCUAAAUCUUCUUUUAUUCAGACCAUUUCUAAGAACCCAAUAUAUGUUAACAACCUAUAACAUUGAAUUUUAUGAAAAGCACGCAAAUAUUAAAGUCAUUCCUUAUUCAUAACAACAGAGAUUGAUGAAGAACAUAUAUCCAAAACCCAACAAUGCAGUCUAUGAUUUCAGAAUAAUCUUCUAAACCCUAAACAUAUAUCUAAAGCCAUUCCCUAAAUCCUAUAUGUUUGUACUUCAGAACCUAGAAUUGAAUAUCAAUCAAUGAAUUACGAAGCAUGAUAUUAGGGUUUGUACUUACAGGCAGGCAGAGCUCACAGAUUAUGCUCUCUUUGGAUUCGACGGAGGCUGGAGAGCGCAAUUUAGAAUUAGAGUUUAAGUGAGAGAGCGAAAUGUAGAGUUAUAGCGAAAUCUGAAAAUUUUAGGUCGCGGCCAAAUUUUUAGAAAGCGUGCUUCUUCAAACAUCAACAGAAAUAAUACAAAACCGUCGUUAAAAACACAUCGGUUAAUAUAAGACAGACAACGUGGUAAAGUAGUAACACGGCGGUAAAACAUAAAACCGACGUCAAAAGAACUAAAUAAUAUUUCUGGGAUUUGGUUUUCCUGGAACAGAAAAUAAAAUACAACACUGGCAUCAUAUACUAAACCCUAAACCCUAAACCCUAAACCCUAAACAUUAAAUUAUAAUUUUGUAAAAAAAGGUUUAGGGUGGUUAAACACUGAAUACCUACACCCCUAAAUACCUAAACCUCUAAAUCCCUAAACCCUAACCCUAAACCCUAAAUAAUAAUAUUUUUAAAAAAAAAUUGUACAAAAAUACAAAUGUUUGAGAAAAAUAAAACAAAAAUUGCUACGGACUCCUUACGACAAUGCCAUCUUAAUUAGAUUGCUAAAACCAGUAUUUUAAAAUUUUAAAAAAAAUUAUCCCCACCAAUGAAUGACACAAGCCAUAUGAUUGUUUAUAACUCAAAUUACAUUUUUGAAAGCUUUAGGAUAAAGACAAUAUCUCAAUGGCUGCAUAGGAGUUAUGGUGUAUUUCUUUUUGGAAAUUUUACAAAUUUAUUAUGAAUAUUAUGAAUUAAGGUCAAUAAUUUUUUUUUAUAAAUACAACAAACCACGUCGGUUUUAAAUCCGCAUAUGACGUUGUAUGCAGUUUAAACUUCGUUAUUUAUUCAGAUAACACAUUUACGACGUCAUACCUUUGGACGUUGGUUUGGUACUCCUACGUCGUCUAUGGUAGUAACCGACAUGGUAAGGAGAAUAGACAGCACAAAGCCUAUUCUUAUAAAUAAACCGACAUUGUGGUUUAGUACAGAAGGCAGAAAAUAAGUCAAAACUGCCACUAAAGAUUGUUUAAGACGUCAGGAAUAUAGACGUCAGUUAAAUAAAAUAACGUCAUUGUAAGUAUUUCAAAAUUCAUUUGAAAUAUCAUAAAGUUGACCAAACGAUGGUUUUAAAAAGGGAUGGUCGUUGAAAUUGCAUAAGACGUCAUUUGUUAUAUAGUUAUCAACGUGGUAUUUGCUUACAGGCUCUUUGUUUUUUGUGUUACGUUAAAAGGAAAAACGUCAUUUAUUGACUUUUAAAAUAUACCGUCGUGUUACGGAAGUUUACAUGUCAUUUUAUGAAUUUACUGUCGUUUCUUUAUUUUCAAGUUUCAUAAGACGACGGUUGUUGAAACAAUCUUGUCGUUGGAAGGGACUUCAGACGACGGUUUAAAGAAUUACUUUAGUUUUAAAAACUGAAAAAUAAUUUUAUUGACAGCCAAAAAAAACAUAUACAUUAUACCCUAAACCCUGUACAAAAAAUUGUCUAUUCAAAAAAAAAAAAAUAUGUACAUUUUUCAUAACUAUUUAUAAAAAUCCUCUACUCCAUAUGAAGGCAUAAAAAUCUGCCCAUUCUUUCCUCACUUCUUGGGGGUAUGGUGCUUGAUCUUUGCCCUUUUCAAACUGCAAUCAAUAAAAAUGAUUAUUUAGACUUCAUCAAUGGUUUUGUAGAAUCUGUGAUAGAGAGCCUAAAAACCAUGGCGGUACAUCCAUUCAAACGACGGUAAUUCUAUUUACCGUCGUCCACUUACAAAAACCACAAAAAUCAAAAUCAUAAAGUUUUCCAUUUACGUUCUUCUCAAACUCCAAAGAAUGAUAUGUGAUUAUGUCUCUCAUAAAGCGCAUGACAUAAUAGCCACACUCUACCCUGCUGGGUUGCUUUGGUGUGCCUUGUAGAUUUUUUCAAAUCGGUGCUUUACAGCCUUGUCUGCCUAUGUGUGAAUUAUACAUCUUGAUAGCACUGUUUCAUGACAACAAAGUGUUAUUGAAAAAAAAAAAAAUUAGGCUACAAACACACAUUACACUUUAGUAUAUCAACUUACGUGUUCACUAUGUUUUUUGCAUUCGUCAUCAACCACUCGAUUUCCGGGUAGUGGAUCUAGAAAAUACACAGUCUCCCUCUUUGGUCUCACAAUGACCAAGACCCAAUGACGACUACACAAAAUAAACAUAGAGGUUAAACAAUUUUAUAUACACUGCAUCAUACAAAGAAAAUCGUGUUGACUAACGUACCCUGGAUUGUAAGGCAUAAAGAAAAUAUGUUCCCCAUCUAUCUUUUGAAGUCGAUUGGCUAACAAACGUGAUCUUUGAGUUAAUGAUCCAGAGUUAGCACUAACUUGAGUGGGGUCAACAAAGCCAACCAUGUUCACCAUAUUUGCUGUUUUCAAAACAUCAAAUAGGCACCUACAUAUAUGAAAUGAUGUCAUGAGUUUUUUAAUCUUUUUAAAGAAAGGAGAGUGUGAAAUGACAAUGAGUUGAUAAGGACAAACCUCAUGUAUACAGCAACCACAGUAGCCCCAAUUUCAUUCAUGGUUGCAAACUGUGUAAUAUCUUCAAUCAAGACGAAGGUUUGAUGAUCAAAACCAAACACCUCUUUCUCAGUUGUAAAUAUCAUAUCCUUCUCAUGAACCUUUAAUGUCGUCUUCAUAUAACGACAAAGGGCUUGUAAAGAAGAUGGCAAGACUAGGUUUGAGUAAUCUGGUACUUGUUGUUCCUUGUCAGAAACGUCCAAGCACUUGUCUUUCUGCUUGAAGAAAUAAGGAAAGAUAUAUAAUACAUAAGUGAAAAAACCAGAGUAAACUACACAAACUUAAACGUCAUGGUAAUUGGGAUAAACACGACGGGUAAGAGACAAAAAUGACGUGUAAAUUGAAUAACCACGACGGUAUGUAAAAACCGUCGUCGUAUGUAUUAAUUACGUCUGUAUAAAACAGAGCCCUAGAAAAGUAACAAUUGCCAAUAUCAACUUAAAAGCAUGCUUUAGCAGAAAUACAGAUACCGUGAAAUGCAGAUAAAGAGAGAAAGAAAGAGAGAGUGGAACAGAGUGAGUGAAGAAAAAUUGAAAAAUAAAUGAAAAUACGACACUAUCUGAAUCCCCAAUACCGUCGUGGUAGUUAAAUUCCGACGAUGGGUUAUUUAAAAAACAGACGUGGUAUGAAAUUAAAACGAUGGUAAGUAAAAACCGUCGUCUUAUGUUUUUAUUACUUCGGUAUGAAACAGAGCGCUCCAAAAUUAACAAUUGAAAUUAUCAACUUAAAAGCAAUGCAGAUAACAUCAAUUGCAGAGAGAGAGAGAGAGAGAGAGAGAGAGAGAGAGAGAGAGAGAGAGAGAGAGAGGGACAGAGAGAGUGAAGAAAGAUUGAAAAAAAAAAUUAAGACACUAUCUAAAUACCCCAUACCGUCGUGGUAUUUAAAUGACGACGUCUUAUUAAAAAAACAGACUUGGUAGGAUAUUUAAUACGUCGUUAACCAAAAAACGACGUCUUAUGGCAUAUCUAACGACUAUAUUGAACCCCAGUGACGCAUAUGUAUUUCCAAAUAAGAAAGAAUUUCAAAUUUCAGAGAAUUUACCCUUUCAUCUUGCUUUUCUGCAUCCUUGGAUUUCUGUUUUAAGAAAUAAAGAAAGAUAGAUAAGACAGCUUGUAUAAGAAUGAAAAAUUUCACAAACGUACUGUCGUAGUAAGGAAUACACACGAUGGUUAAUAAUAGAAGAUGACGUCUAAUUUAAAUUGAGAUGACGGUAAAUAAAAGACGUCGUUGUGGGUUGUUUCUAACGUCUGUAAUUAAGGUAACGACAUCUAAUUGGUUUUCAAAAGCAGUAUGCAGAGUUCAUAGAAGUUACCAUUUCUUGUUGUUGGCCUCCAUCUUUGGCAUUAUCAUCCUCAAAAUUGAGGGCUCUAACAUCAAGAGCCCCAGAGCAGCUUGCUUUAUUUGACAUUGGAGUUUUGGGACUUUGCUCAGGACCUUGGAUAGUUGUUAGUUUCAGCAUGCUUGGAUCAAAAUUUGGAAUUAGUUGGCGCAGUUGAUUCAGCAAAUUCUCCCUCUUAGCUUUUACCAAUUGCUUGGUUCUAGCCUCCAUCUUCGAGGUCUCUUCUUUAAGGACAUCUCUUACACUUUCCUUUAAUUGAUCAGCAAACUUUACCCUUUGUUGUCUAGCUAAAUUGAAGUAUUUCCUAGUGGAAAUCCCAACCCCAACACCUCUAACUCUCCCUGCUUGCUCAGGACCCAAAGCCAUAGUCAACACAUCAUUACUUACAGAGACAGUAAGAGUGUCUUCACUGACUUGUUUUUUGCAAUUCAUCCUAAUUAACACAAAGACACAUUAAAGUCAAUAAAAACAUAAAGUUUGUUUCAUAUGCAAGUCUAAUUAAAAUUCCAAUGCAGUUUAAUACAAAUUUAAAACAGAGUGAAAUGAAUUUAGGCUUACAAUUAAUUUUGUUUCUUCGCAACCUUUGGAUCGGGGAUGUUAUCGUGUUUGUCUUCUCUAGCUUUCUUCCACAAGGUAGAUCGACCAAUUUCUACGCUUGGCAUGGUUUCUUCCAAAUCAUUCUCCAAACCAACAUAUCCUUUUCGAGACAAUCGAUGAUUGUACUCGCAUUUCUCUCUCCUCUAUGCUUGUUUAGCAUGGACAGACUCAAAUUGUUCUGAUAACCUUGAAGCUACAAACACAUCCCAGUGUGCUUUCUCUAUGAAUUUAUAUAAUUCAGGGGUUGUCUUAACUUCUCCUUCUCAUUGAUGAAUGGAAGGAUAUGAUGCCUCGUUAGUGUAGACUUGAAAUCCUUCCAUUUCUUGCCAGCAGAUGAUAACACCAUUUUUUUACCCCCUUGCCCUACCACAUAAGCCAUGUCAACGGCUUCCCAAAUAUGCUCUUUUAUAACCUUGGGGAUUUCAGUCCAUUUCUUGUCCAUAAUUGGGACUCUGGACCUUGCCAACACACCAAUAUAGGAUUGCAUCUCAGCAUGUGCAGGGCCAUAUGGUUUCCCCCUUUGGUUGUACUCAAUAACUGGCUUGAUUUUCUUCAAUUUUCUCUUCACAACACGGGGCAUUGUGUUUAUACCACGACUAGACUUUGGCUCCUCAUAAAAUGUUGUCGUGCUGCCUGGUUCUAUCUUAGCAGGUGAAACAAAUUUCAUCUUCUUCGAGGGCUUGGUUUGAGGUUUAGAUACUUUAAGCUCCUUACAUUCAUUUUCGUUCAAGCUAGAAUCCUUACUUGGCGCUUGAGAAACCAUGGUUAUAGAGAAAUGAGACCUGCAAGUACAGAAAAAAUAACAUAAAAGUCAAUAAGAAACGACGCUUAUUUAAAAAAACGAUGUACUAUAAAAUUUCAUACAAAGGAAUAUAAAAACAACCGACGCAAUAAGAAUUAUAUAACGACGGUAGUUAACUACCAACGUGGUUUGAAAGUAACACGAUGUAAAUUUUGAAUUUUUCACGAUGGUAGUAAGAAAACGUCGUGGUUUUACAUUACAACGACGUGAAAUAUAAAAUACCGUCGUCUUAUUAAAAUGAAAUACAAAAUACAGAGUACUGUUUUCAGACCAUUUGGUUCUUGUCUUUAUAUUUGGAAAAACUUAAAUUGAUUUUCACCAGAAAAAAAGUAAAAAUAUAUUUCAACAAACGUCGUGGUAUUCAAUUACAACAACGUUAGUAAUAAAAUAUAGUUGUCUUCUUAAUAUGAAAUUAAAAAACUGUUCCAAGACCAUUUGGUUUACUACUUCAAACACAAAAAGACAGUAGAUUUUAUCAUCGUGGUCAAUGACACUUUGUUCUUUGUCAGUAGAUUUUAUCUAAAAAGUAAAAUGAUUUUCGCAUGAACAGGAACAAAGAUGAGAAAUGCUUACCUUUUGCUUGCAAUGAAAUUUAUCGCUUGCAAAACAAGAACAAAAAUGAUUUUUCAAAGACAAAGACGAAGAGGAGAGGAAGCCGAUGAGAUUCAGACACGGUACUUUGGGAACAAAAAUGAGGACAGCGUGAAAUUUUUUCUCGGGUUUGGAAACAAUAUAAAUGUAGGUCAGGAAAGGCGAAAAGUUUAAAAUAUUAACGAACCGUUUCAUAACACGAUGCUAUUAAUGACAACCGCCCUAGUAAAUGGUUCUACACGGUUGUAAAUAUGUAGUUCACGCCCUGGUAAAGAAUAUUAAACGACACACACUUUUCCGACGUGGUUAGUUUAACUUAUAAUUCAAUAGUGUUAUAGAUGUCGUCGUAGUAUUUUUUUAAUAAUAAGUCGGUAAGUUUACCUGUACUGACGUCUUUACUUUCUACGUCAGUUACUUAAUAGAUUCUGUCAUUGGUUUUUCGCUCUAAGUACAAGACAACGCAUUUUAGUUAUGCGUGUCGUGGUUUCUCUGCAAAAACCGCCCUAGUAAGUCUUUAUUACGUCGUUAAACUAACAGAAACGGAUGUCGUUAGUAUUUUAUGCGCAGGGGCGGAGCUACAGCCAAGCCUGCCAUGGCCCUUGCCCCCCCCCCCACUUAAUUAUUAAUCUCUUGUAAUAUAUUAUAAAAUAUAUGAUAUAGCAAUAUAAUUACUGCAAUUAGAUUAGUAAUGGCCCUCCCAGUUGAAUAUGAAAAACCUAGUAGAAGUGAUUUUGAAAUUUUGGCCCCUCCAUACGAAGAAUCCUAGCUCCGCCACUGUUUAUGCGACUAGAGGGUUGGUACGAACCGACGUAGAUUACUUUUGUUAGACGGCGGUAAGUGUAAUGUAACCGACAUGGAUGUGAAGAAUUUUUUUUUUAAAUUGGGUUUUUUUCACGCGUUCUUUCAGUUUCAGUUUUCAAUUAGGGUUACAACUUCUUCUUGCCCUUGGCUUUGUCUCCCCUCUUUGGAGGCAAUAGUUUGGAUGUUGAUGUGUGUGUGCGUUUGUAUAUCUGAAAGAUACAAAUACACACACAUCAUCAACUUCUAAAAAAUUGUCUUUCUGAAUGCAAAUAUGUGGUUGCCGUCGUCAAUUUUUAGAGGCAAAUUUUUUGGAUGUUGAUGUGUGUGUGCCUUUGUGUAUCUCAAAGACACAAAGACACACACAUCAUCAACAUCUAAAAUAUUGUCUUUCUCGCACAUUGGUGGUCCGAUUAUGAUGAGGAACAGAGUUCCCUCUGGUAAGAUUUCAUAUCUCUUGGGAUCUCAGACUAAUCUGAUUAUGUUGGCGGUUUUCUAUAUAAACCGUCAUGGUUAUUCUCAAUUCUUGUCAUUAUGUUGAUCUACCAUCGUAAGCUACCAAAAUCCAAGAAAUAAAUCGUAAAAAAAAUUAAUAAAUAUUAAGACGACGGUUUAGAUAUAAGGUGAGCCGUAUAAAGUGAAUAAAUACGAUGGUAAUUUUAACUUCACGACGUGGUAAAUUUUAUUAUACGGCAUUAAUUGAACAAACCGACGUGGUAAAGUUAUAGAUACCGUCGUAGUACAAUACAAAAUAAUAAGUCGAUAAAUUUAUCUUUACCAUCGUUGUACAUUGAUUUAAUACGGCGAUAUUUUGUAAUAUACCGACGUAGAUUUUUUUUGAAAUUAUAUGGCUCCAAAUACAAAAACUUGGUCGUGUUUAUUACGGAGUAAAAAUGGCUACUGUUGUUGCACACCGUCGUCUUUACUUUCUGCGUUGGUGGAUUCAUACCUUCUGCCAUUGUUUUUGAGCUCAGAGUUUACCUAUGAGGAAAACCUUUUCAAUAAGACGACACUUUUUUAAUUUGGUGCGUCGUUUUUUAAAAACACCCAUUGGAAUCUCCAUUUUUUAGGUGUUUAAAUUACUCAUACACGGCGGUUUUAUAACACUGUCGUCUUUUUGAGCACAACGAUGGUUUUUUGUUAAACCAUCGUUUUUUUCUGGUCGUUUUUUUCACUUUUUGUAGUAGUGCUAAUGGAUCACACACCUUAAAUGGUUAACUUUGAGUAAUACAAAUGAGAACGAGGAAAUCAAUUUGAUUGAUUUGAUGUAGAUGAUUUACUACGAGUAAAAACGUAUUUGGGCCUCGAUAAUAGUUAACAGGAAGCCCAAAUGGUUGAGUAUCAAGCCCAAGGGCUUAAGACACCUAAAUAUUAUGAUUUAAGUGUCACAAUGCCCAAUUUUGGAAGCUCAAUGGGGUUUGGCCGAAAAUGCAUAAGUAAAUGUGUUUGGGAAUUGUUUCCAUAAGCUCAUUAACACACAAACACAAUCCAAUAUCAACCAAAUAGGUUUAGGAGAUCGAAGAGAGAUAAAAUAGAGUUUUCAAGAGUGAAACACUUUCAUCUUUCAAGGGGUUUAGAUUGAAACCAAUCUUGAGAAUCUUGCACUAGCAUCCUUGUAUUCUCAAGAUACUUCCUCUCAUCUCAAGGUUCCAUUGGUGUAGAGACUUAGAGGCCAUAUACUUUUGUGGCUCACAUGGAGGAGAAAGAUCAAGGAGCAAAAAUCAAGAUCAAAGAGGAGGUCAACAAAGAGGAAUUCAUCAAGAGAAGACCAAACACAAAUUGGUUCAUAUAAUUGCUUCAAGGGUAAUUAGAUCUUAUCAUUUCUCUUGAAUUUUUCAUUUAUGAAAUACAUAUCAAUGUUCAUGGCUUAAGAUACUUGGAAAAAGUUUGUUUUUGAAUGUAAACAAUCACCAUAGACUUCCGCUGCGAUUAAUUUGAUUAAAUGCAUGUUUAAUAUUCAAAUGAACUUUGUAUAAAUGUUUUAAAUCCUACCCAAAAAAAAAAAACCCAUGCCACCCUCAUCUCAACCUCCCCAACCAUCGUCCCUCCUCCUCCCUUGACCAGCCACAACAACAACCACCCCUAGGGCUCGUCAAUGGGCCGGGUCGGGCUAGUCCAAUUCAAAUUUAAUGGACUUGGGUUGGGUCGGGCUGAGCUAGACCGAGCUUUAAAGAUGAGAGAGAAAAUACCGGACCGGUUAUUUUUAAAAAAUUCAAAGCCCAAGCCCAACCCAUGGGCCGGGCUAAGCCUAACGGGCAAGGCUGAAAUGAGCCUACUUCAUUAAAAAAAAAAAAUUCAUAAACUUAAUCAUAAGGGCAUUUUAGUCCAAAUUUGAGAUUAAACUCACUUAAUUCCAAUAAUUUCACAUCAAACCAAAUUCAUAAAACACCAAAUAAAGUCACACAACUUAAUAAGAUUUUUCACAAAAAUAAUAAAACCAAGUAUUAUGUUUGAGGUUAUUACAUAAUUAGACCGUAAUACGUUUUAAAAAAUAAUAAGUAUCAAAUUUUUUUUUUUAAAGGAUGGUAUGAAUAAAUAUGCAAAUAUUUGGUGAUGUGUUCAAAAAAAGCAUGAUUAUAUUUGGUGGUACGAUUAUGUUUCGUGAUAUGAUUAUAUUUGGUGAUGUGAUAUGUUGUUCAUCUUAUAUAUAUAAUUAUUGAAUUAGUAAUUGACACAAAUUAAUGUGCUAAUCAUCCAAUUAUAAACUAGGAAUGAGUAAAGAAAAGUAAAUGAAAUGAAACAAAUUAUAUAUGUGAUUUAAGUGAUAUAAUCCUAAACCUAAACUCUUAUUUAUACAUAAUUAUAUAUGUAUGCGGGUCUAAUAGGCCGGGCUUUUAUAGGCAGGCCGGGCCAGGCUUUCUUGGGCUUAAUCGGGCCAGGCUUAUGGCCUGGGCCGGGCUUCAGACACCUAAGCCCAAGCCUAGCCCAGUCGAAAGCAAGCCGGGCCAUCUCAAAGCCCAUAACGGGUCGGGCCGGGCUUUUUUUCAACGGGUCGGGCGGGCUCCCAUCAGCCCAUGAGCCCGUGGGCCAAAUGAUGAAGCCUAGCCACCCCCACCCCAUCCUCAACCCCAGCCCACCCCAUCACCACCCCUUCCUCAACAUCUAUUGAACAGACCCCAAACCCACUCGAAGUAAAUGAAUAAAUUGAAUUGAUACAAUAAUUAUAAUAAAUAGAUAAUUGAAAAUCCAAAAACCCCCAAUUAUGUACUCUACAUAACCAACACCGUAGCAAAAACCCCCAAUGGCCACAGCUUCGGCAGUGGAGAAACUAUUCAAAUGGCACUGUUAUUGGCGAGUGCGGGAGCCUAUGAGGGAGAUCCAUCAUAACAUCUCGUCCCAAAAAUCACUGUUCAAUUGAUUAUUUAUUAUGAAAUUACAUUUUUGCCCUUAGGUGUAGGGCACUUUAGUCACUUUUUAUUUGGAAAGGAAUUUGGGGAAUUGAGUGGCACCGUUGAGUUGAGAUCAACGAUACGAGUUCGUAGACAGGCGUCAUGUUCAAUUCAGAGUUAAAACGAAGAAGUUAUGAUUUACGGAAAUGUAGUUGAACAACCGCAAUUUUUGCAAAGUUAAAAUUUAAAUAUCCCAGCUUCUCUCUCUCUCUCUCUCUCUCUCUCUCUCCUUCACUAAAACAAACCGGCCACUUUGGCUUGCAUUUUCUCCUCCUUCUGACCACGGCGACCUAUUAAACGUUCAUCUCUUCUUCCUCUUCACGUUCAUACCCAUUUCCACUUUCGAAACUCCAAGAUUGAUCGCGAUUUUGGACUAGAACUGAGCGAAACCCUAAUUUGUGGCCCGGCAAAGUUCGUACGAUUUCUAGCGAUUCCGGCAGCCAUAUGAAACUUCAUUCCCUCAUCAUGCUCUACUUGUUUAUGUACUUAGUUUGGAUCGAUUUUGAGGUUUUACAAAUCAAUUCUUAAACCCAUUUUUGGUCGUGGUCCAAGAACAAAAGUUUAUCCCUUUGUUAGUUUGAUCGUAUUGGUAUAGGUGUUUGUCAGGAGUUUCCGAGAAAUUCCCGUUGCAGGAAAUUUCUCAAAACAACCACGCACUAGCAGCGCCGGGUGACGGCGUGUCGGCCACUGUGUGGCACCCUAUUGAGUUCUAAAUUGUUUCCCUUGUCAUCAUGAGCACGACGGUAUGCUCGGAUUUGGAUUUGGUUAUCGUUUGACAUUUGAACAGAUAUUGCACCUAUUUUGGUUGGGAGGUGUUUGUGGUUUGGUUGUUUGAUUUUAAAACGGUAUUUUCCUAUGAGAGUUUUGUUAACUGUUUAUGAAUUAUUGUUCUAUCACUUUUACUUUCUGAGAAUGAUAUAUCCAUGUUUAUUUUUAUAUGUGUGCUAAAAUGGAUUAAAAAUUGGAUUGUGUUGUUUUCGGAAAUAUGGUUGUCUUUGGAGAUAUUGAUAUCUUCUUCUGACAUCCCGGUUGCCUUCUGAAAUAUUGAUGUCUUCAAACAUCCUGGUUGUCUUCAAAAAUACUGUUGCCUUCGGAAAUAUUGAUAUCUUCGGACAUCCUGGAUGCCUUCGGACAUCCUUGAUGCCUUCGGACAUACAGUUACCUUCGGAAUAUCUUCGGAUAUACAGUUGCCUUCGGAAUGUCUUCGAACAUAAGGUUGUCUUAGGAAUAUCUUCGGACACCUCAGUUGCCUUCGAAUUUGUCUACACACGUAUGACAGUGUGCCCACGAGUUUCGAGGACUCUUGUGUUGGAAAAUUUAAUAUUAACUAAUAUUGAUUUUCCUAUUUGAAUGGAAAUUAAUAAAAUUCAUUGGGUUAAAGGCAUCUUCACAUGGGGGGUGACAACUCUUCAAACCAAGGGAUGCAUUGUUUGGGGUGACAACUCUUCAGACCAAGGAAUGCAUUGUUUGCCUUUUCAGAUUGAGAUACCUUUUUAGAAAGGGUAUUUCAUCAUCUAUAAAUAGAGCAAUCCUCCUACAGUUUUAUUCAUUCAGUUUAAUUCUCUACAUAUAGACUUUCACAUAUAGAAAGCAUUAGAGUUUUCAUAAAGGGAGGUUCCUGCAUAAUUUGGUUCAAAGUUCCUUGUGAAUUGCAGUGCUUCUUUCAUAAGGAGGGGAGUCGUUGUAUCCUGGGAGGCGAACGCUAGUGAACCAUAAGCACCAGUGUGGGGCGUAAUUCGUCUUAAGGUCAGAGUGUCCAACACUUGCCUCGACUCAAUUAAGGUUCUUUUAAUUACAUACUACUGUUGUAAAAAUUUGUUUUGUUUGUAGUGUUUAUUUGAUUAUUUUAUAGCAAUUUAGCACUCAUAUUUCCUACAUCUUGAACCGUGUAAUGCAAGGAUUUGCAUUCUCAAGUGGAGUAUAUCUCCCUGAGUUAUGCGAGGAUUUGCAUUCUCAAGUGGGGUAUAUUUUCUUGAGUUAUGAGAUGAAUGCGGUCUCAGGCCGACCUCGUUUCCUCCAAGUUCUAUGAUGAUAUAUCACAGACGUGGCCACAUGUGUGGUGCAAGGGGAAUUGACAAAUUAUUUGUGUUCUUAGGUUGAGUAUAUCUCCAUGAGUCCUAUGAGAGGAAUUGAUAGUAUAUUAUUGAAAUUGAUGGAUUAUAUUUGAGGUACAGUUAAAAGGAUAUUCUUCACCACCCUCCCUGCUCACAUUAUCUGCACAGGGUUGGCCAAGAUCCCUAGUCACCUACCCGACUUGUCUAUACAGGGGGGUGGUUAGCUAGUUUUCCCUUCCCCUGUUGCCUUCGGAUUUGAUGGUAUUCCCAUAUCCCCUCCCCCCCUUUUAGGGUCAAGCCUCACAUAUCCCUUGAUGGGUGAUUACAGGAUAUAUGCAAUAUGUGGAUAAUUGCAAGUAUGGCUUUCUGGUAAAAGGUUUGGUUAUGUAAGUGUUUGGAUGUACAGCGAUAAACUAAUUGAAUAGUUAGAUACAUAAUUACAUGGUAUGACAUUCAGUUAUAAAGCCCCUCAUUGUGAGAGAAAUACCUUUAUAGUCCGCAAUAUUUCAACGGAGCUCUAAAUAAUGCUCUAUCCACCAUAUUUAGAGCAUCAACCAGGAUGGCCUUAGAUAACCUGAUAAGAUAAACAACGCCAUCCGCCAUACGAAGUGGUGGCGUUAGAUGAGGUUUGUAAAUUAAAUCACCAUUUUUUCCAAUCCACAACGUAAAGAAAGAGUUGAAGGCAUAUAGAAACAAACAACGCCGUCCAAAUAACAAAAUGCAUCACACUCAAACAGGGACAGUGGGACAUUUUUGGUAGGUGCUUUCAGGAAAAAUGGUUAAAAAGAGGUUGAGUAGGUGCUUUCAGGAAAAAUGGUUAAAAAGAGGUUGAGUGGGGAUGGGGAUGGGGCUCUAUAUUUUAUGUAUUUUUUAUUUUUUGUCUCUCCUAAGAGCUGGUUCCCCUCAUGAAAUGAGCAGAAAAAUUCUCCACCACUUCUUAUUUUAGCUGCAUGUAGGCUUCCCAAGAGAUAGAAGAGAAGUUCACUUGGGGUCUGCAGGCUCUUAGAGCAACUCCACCCAUUUGCCUUUUGCUAUGGUAAGGGAGGGGAUAAGGCAGCUACUAUUCACAUGAAUAGUGAUUGCCCUUGUAAAAAGCCAUUUCUGUUUCCACCCGUUGCCAUGACAAAGGGCAAUUACUAUUCUUUUUUUUUUUUCACAAUUUUUUUUACCUCAAUAAUUAAUUUGGAUAAUAUUUUCGGAUAAGAUUUUCGGGUUUCUAUGUGUCAAUACUAUUCAUAGCUCAUAAUCGGAUAAAAUUUUCAGUUUCAAAUUUCAUAUAAAUUUCAAAAACAAAUUGGCAGGUAUUUAUAGAAAAAAAUUCACUAAUUUUUGGGUAUUUUUAAAAAAAAAUUCAGAAUUUUUUUUAGUAUUUUAUGGUAAAAAAAUUGGCUGUCAUUAGAUUGGAAGAAAAAAUCCGAUCGGAGAGCCCAGACGACAUCACAUGGCAACAGAAAAAAAAAAAUUCAAAUGAGUGGGCUGACGCCAGCCUGGCGUCAGCGAUGACAUCAACCCAAAACUCGAGCUCGUGCUUGGGCUGAACUCCCCCUCGAGCCAGCCCAAGGUCGUGGCCCCCACCUCCUGCCCAGGCAAACCUUCGCUGCUGGAAACAUGAUUUGAACUGCUCUUAUACCCAAGCAAGUUGAAGUAUUCCUCCCUUUAUUUAUUUAUUUAUUUUUUUAAGAAAAGAGAAAUAUAUUAGUACUGUCUAUUUUGCCACAUGGUAGGAAAGUCCCCACCUAAGUUUUUCUCUUUCGUGUUUAUCUCCUAGCAUGUUGGAUAUAUAUAUAUAUAUAUCAGUAGUGAAAAAAAUGCUCAUGUCCUCUAAACAAUUGUGCCAAAAAUUAACGGCUGGAAGAAGAAAGAGAGAGAUGGAUUUCUUGAGUUGUGUACUAUUAUGUCUAAUGGUUGCCUGGAUCGUAAUCCAAGCCCUCCAAAAUUCAUUUGCAAGAAGAAUUCCCACAAACCUUCCACCUGGACCAAAGCCAUUUCCUUUGAUUGGAAAUCUCCUAGAGCUUGGAAACAAACCCCACAUCUCACUAACCAAGCUUUCAAAACGCUAUGGCCCCAUUAUGACUUUACAACUCGGCCAACUAACAACAGUUGUAGUUUCUUCAUCCAUCGUCGCCAAACAAGUCCUCCGAACCUAUGACCGAUUCUUUUGCAACCGAACGAACGCAGAUGCACUCCAAGCCUGCAGCCAUGCCAAGCACGGCAUGCCCUUCAUACCUGUUUCAGCUAAAUGGAGAAACCUUCGCAGAAUAUGCAACUCCCAAUUGUUCGCCACCAAAGUUCUCAACGCCAACCAAGCCAACCGUCAACUAAAAGUGCAAGAGCUCAUAGCUGAUGUCAGCGAAAGCGUGGUAAAAGGUAAGGCAGUUGAAGUUGGAAGGGCUGCUUUCUUAACUACCCUCAAUUUGCUGUCACGUACUGUCUUCUCUGUGGAUCUAGCGGACCCGAAAAGUGAGACGGCUAGAGAGUUCAAGGAGUUGGUGUGGGGUAUCAUGGAAGAGGUCGGGAAACCAAACUUGGCUGACUAUUUUCCUGUGCUUAAGAAGAUUGAUCCCAUGGGGAUACGGCGCCGUUUGACCAAGCACUUCCGGAAGAUGAUUGACCUCUUUGACCGCUUGAUCUUCCAAAGGUUGGAAACAAGAAAAUCACAUGAUUAUGUCACAGCCAAUGAUAUGUUGGAUACUCUUAUAAACAUGAGUGAAGAGAAAAAUGAGGAUAUGGACAUUCCUGAAACUCAUCAUUUGUUUCUGGUUAGUUAUGGAUAUAGCUUUCCUACAUAUACUAAUUGCUAAUUAGAGUGUAUCUUUUUGUGAUUAUUAAGGUUGUUUUUGGUUUUGUUUAUACCAUCUAAACUGACUUAAAGACGGUUGAGAUAGUACACGUAGUUUUAUUAGUUCAUUAUUAUACAUAUAUGCUAGCUCCGAUUAAUUUUCUGACUAAGUAAUCAGCCAUUUGGUGAAUAAUAUAGGAUUUAUUUGUUGCGGCCACAGAAACAACCUCAGCCACAUUGGAAUGGGCAAUGGCUGAGCUACUAUGCAACCCUGAAAAACUGUCAAAAGCUCAAGAGGAGCUAGAACAAGUAAUUGGGAAAGGGAAACCAGUUGAGGAAACAGACACUGCUCGACUUCCUUACUUACAAGCAAUAAUCAAAGAGACCUUUCGGUUGCACCCAGCUCUUCCGUUUCUUCUCCCCCGCAAAGCCGAAGCAGACCUGGAAAUCUGCGGGUAUUUUGUACCCAAGGGUGCACAAGUGUUGGUCAAUGCAUGGGCCAUAGGCAGAGACCCUGGCUUUUGGGACAACCCGGCCUCAUUUAUCCCAGAGAGGUUCUUGGGAUUGGAUAUGGAUGUCGCUGGCGGAAGCUUUGAGCUUAUCCCGUUUGGUGGUGGGAGGAGAAUAUGUCCUGGCUUGCCCUUGGCAAUGAGAAUGUUGAACUUGAUGUUGGGUUCACUUCUUAACUCGUUCCAUAAUUGGAAGCUUGAAGAUGGAGUUGUACCAGAAAACAUGAACAUGGAAGAGAAGUUUGGCAUCACUUUGCAAAUGGCUCAGCCUCUGAGAGCUGCUGCCAUGGCCGUGCCAUAAAAUAUCCUACUAGCUAUUUGUUUUUACCUAAGUUAAUAUGUUGUGAAAUUGAAUAAAAACUAUUCAUGCCAUGGAAUAAAAACUAUUCAUGCCAUGGAUACUCUCACAAGUUCCUCCAAAUAGGUUGUGUCCAUUUUCUUGCCAUGGAAUAAAAAUUGCAUAUUUAACUUUCAGUUGUCCAUUUUUUCUUAUGCUCAUCUGGAAUGGAUUUUGUUUACUCAACGUUGUUUUAACUUCUAGUUUCAGGUUUUCUUCUUCGUGUAGAGCAUUCAUUUUAUUAUAAUAGAUUACAAAACCCAAUCUGAUUUUAAACAAUAAAAUUAUUGCCAAUAAUGAACCAUUUGUUUGAAAGAAGAAAAUUAUUGGCAAUAAUUAAUAGUUUUAGGUGGGUCGAGAUGACAUAUGGGAGAAGAAAAUAAUGGAAGGAAACAACAAAGUAAGAUCCAUUUGUUAAUCAAAGAGUUUUUGCUGUUCACAGUCGCUUAAGGCAACUGCGAAAUCAAACUCUCUCUUUAUUUGAAAAACUUCAAAUUUUUCGCUUUCGUACCAACUAGAGAUUAUAACGACCUUUCGAACAAUAAAUCGAGCGAAGAACAAUUCCAACCAUUGCAUUUCUUGCUAAAAUAUGAAACCUAACUUGAGAAUAUUUGUUUGUAGGAAUUUUUUAUGUAUUCUUCUCCUUGUAGGAGAUCAUAUUUAUAAUACAACGAAACUUUAAUGGGCAAGUAAAUAAUAAAUUCAUAUUUCUAUUUACAGUAGGAAAUCAGGAAUUAAAGUAAAUCAAUUACAAUUAUAAUAAGAAUUCUUGGUAUGAAAAGAAAGUAAGUCAGUGGUCCACAAGACACGCCAACACUCUCUCUCACGUUGGUACAUAGAUGUCGUCAAUGCCCAACUGAUCCAGUGAAUUGUGGAAUGCUUUACUGGAAAUUGCCAAUUUGGCGUCAGCAUUGACAUCAGCCCAAAACUCGGGUUCGCGCUCGGGCUGAACUCCCUCCUGGGCCUACCCAGGUUCGUGGCCCCCACCUCCUACCCGGGCAAGCCUUUGCUGCUAGAAACGUAAUUUGGGCUCAAAACGCUCCCAGCCCGCCCCCUAACUUCUCCACUGAAACUGCUCUUAUACCCAAGCAAGUUCAAGUAUUCCUCCCUUUAUUUAUUUAUUUUUUUAAGAAAAGAGAUAUAUAUUAUUACUGUCUAUUUUGCCACAUGGUAGGAAAGUCCCCACCUAAGUUUUUCUCUUUCGUGUUUAUCUCCUAGCAUGUAGGAUAUAUAUAUAUAUAUAUAUAUAUAUUAUUGAAAAAAUAUGCUCAUGUCCUCUAAACAAUUGUGCCAAAAAUUAACGCCUGGAAGAAGAAAGAGAAAGAUGGAUUUCUUGAGUUGUGUACUAUUAUGUCUAAUGGUUGCCUGGAUCGUAAUCCAAGCCCUCCAAAAUUCAUUUGCAAGAAGAAUUCCCACAAACCUUCCACCUGGACCAAAGCCAUUUCCUUUGAUUGGAAAUCUCCUAGAGCUUGGAAACAAACCCCACAUCUCUCUAACCAAGCUUUCAAAACGCUAUGGCCCCACUAUGACUUUACAACUCGGCCAAAUAACAACAGUUAUAGUUUCUUCAUCCGCCGUAGCCAAACAAGUCCUCCGCACCCACGACCAAUUCUUCUGCAACCGAACUAUCCCGGAUGCAGUCCAAGCCUGCAAGCAUGCCAAGUAUGGCAUGCCGUGGCUGACGGUUUCCUCCACGUGGAGAAACCUCCGCAAAAUAUGCAACUCCCAGCUUUUCGCGGCUAAAGUUCUCGACGCCAAUCAGGCCAACCGUCACCUAAAAGUGCAGGAGCUCAUAGCUGACGUUAAGGAAAGCGUUGUGAAAGGUAAGGCGGCUGAAGUUGGAAGGGCUGCUUUCAAAACUACGCUCAAUUUGAUGUCACGGACUGUGUUCUCUGUGGAUUUAGCGGACCCGAACAGUGAGAGGGCUAGAGAGUUCAAGGAGUUGGUGUGGAGUAUUAUGGAGGAGGCUGGGAAGCCAAACUUGGCUGACUAUUUUCCUGUGCUUAAGAAGAUUGAUCCCAUGGGGAUACGGCGCCGUUUGGGCAAGCACUUCCAGAAGAUGAUUGAUCUUUUUGACCGCAUGAUCGUCCAAAGGUUAGAAUCAAGGAAGUCACGUGAUUAUGUCACAGGGAAUGAAUGUUGGAUACUCUUAUAAACAUGAGCGAAGAGAAAAAUGAGGAUAUGGACAUGGCUGAAACUCAACAUUUGUUUCUGGUUAGUUAUUGCUACUCUAGCUCUAUUAAUUAAUUGAUAAUUAAAUUGCUUAGAUAUUAUAAUUAUAACUUAUUGCUAGAUUGUGUACCAUCUUAAUUGAUCAUUUUAAAAGAGUGCUGCUAAAUGAAUCUUAAAAUUAACUGAGUACACUCUAUGAUCUAAGUACAUCUUAAUAUUUAAAUCAAAAUAUAAAAUUAACUAAGUACACCUUAUUUAACUACCAAAAAUACUCAUUGUACACCCUAAUACACUCUAUCUCGUCCAAAAAAAAAAAAAAAACCAACAACAUUCAUCGAUCUCCCUAUGAUCCCCUUUUCUCCAUACUUUGAUUCUCAAAAAUUUUAACUGUAAAAUCUGGACAGUAUUGUUCUUUUUGAUAUAUCCUAAAUCUAACUAUAAUGAUACAAAAACGUUCAACAUAAUUCUUUGAUUUCAUUCCUCUUGAUGCUAAAACGUUCAAAUUAUGAUUUUGCCUGCGAAAACUUCAAAAUCUUCCUUAGUUCUUUAAUGUUUUAGUCUUUAACUCCAAAUGGUAGAGCAAAUAAACAAAGACUCAAACAAAUAAUUAAUUAGGAUUGCAGAUAAGGACUUCACUGUAAAGAUCAAUCAGCCUUGUAUUUAUAUAUGCCUUCAAUUUUCUUCGAAGAAUGCUAGCCAUUGAUUGAUGUGUGUCUCACAGCGAGUCCAUCCAUCAAUGGCUAACACAAACAAGCACUGCACUGUAUUGAAUCAGCCCCUGCAUAUUUCUUUUAAUAGCUUCAAGUUUAUUCUUGGCAAAACGAAAAUUUCAGCAACUGUAUUGCUGAAAUACACUUUGCUUUGCAAACAUAAGAGCAGUUUUUAAUAUGUCUUCAUGUAAAAUUGCAUUUUCAAGAUCUCAUGUUCAGAGACUGUACAUUCAUCAUGAAAAUUUGCAGAGAGCUAAGAAGAAACAACUACAUUGUGUGGUUUAUUAUAGCAAUCAGUCAAGUCUUUGCAGUUAUUUUUUUUUUCUCUUUUUUUUUUUUCUUUUUUUGAAACUGCUACUCGGUAUUGGCCAAAAGAAAACUGCUCUUUAUUCUUCCAGUUUGGUAUUUUGUAUGUUUUAUACUGAGCAGAAGAGUGAUUGAAAGAAGAAGAGGUUCUACUGAGCUUGGUUUUGAGAGAUAAAAGAGUUCGGCUGUCCAAAUGCUAAGAUGGAGAAGAAGAGAAGUGUAGGGAAAAAUAUGCCGUGUCAUAUUUUAGAUGGUUUUUAAAGAGUGUUGCUAAACGAAUCCUAAAAUUAACUGAGUACACUCUUAAAAUAUGUGGUGUUAUGUUUUACAAUUGAAUAUAUCUUUUUUAGUCAUUUUAUAUUAGGGUAAAUUAGUAAUUCAAUAAAUACUUUGAUAGUAGGGUGUACUUAGUUAAUUUUAGAGUUCGUUUAGCAGCACUCUUUUAAAAUUAUGACUAUGGUCACUUUAUUUUUGUUGAGAUGGUAUAAGUACGUUAAUCCUACACUGAUCAAGGUCUUGUGUUCAAAUCCCCUUAUAUCGCUUUUAUAAAAAUAAAAAUAAAAACUAUAUAUAUAUAUAUAUAUUUGGUGCCCAUAUUAAUUUGACUAAUUAACUUUUUGGUGAAUUAGGAUUUAUUUGGUGCGGGCACAGAUACAACUUCAGCCACAUUAGAAUGGGCAAUGGCUGAGCUAUUACGCAACCCUGAAAAGCUAUCAAAAGCUCAAGAGGAGUUGAAGCAGGUUGUUGGCAAAGGAAAACCAGUGGAGGAAUCAGACAUCACUCGGCUCCCUUACUUACAAGCCAUAAUCAAAGAGACCUUCCGGCUGCACCCAGUUGUCCCACUUCUUCUCCCUCGCAAAGCCCAAGCAGACAUAGAAAUCUGCGGUUACAUUGUACCAAAGGGUGUACAAGUGUUGGUCAACGCAUGGGCCAUCGGCAGAGACCCCAGCAUUUGGGACAACCCUACCUCAUUUAUCCCUGAAAGGUUUUCAGGAUUGGAUAUCGACGUUACUGGCCAGAACUUUGAGCUUAUUCCAUUUGGUGGUGGGAGGAGAAUAUGUCCUGGGUUGCCUUUGGCGAUGAGAAUGUUGAAUUUGAUGUUGGGUUCGCUUAUUAACUCGUUUGAUAAUUGGAAGCUUGAAGAUGGAGUUGUGCCAGAAAAAAUGAACAUGGAUGAGAAGUUUGGCCUCACUUUACAGAUGGCUCAUCCUGUGAUAGCUGUGCCCAUCAAGUAUUAGGAGAACGAAACCUAGCUAGCUAUGGUUUCUAUAAUAAAUAGAUUUAUGUUUUUAUUAGGGAGUUACAAUAAUUAAUCCUACUAAUGAUAGGAAAUGGUCAGUUGUCAAUUACGUUGUUAUUAGGCCAUAACUCCAUAUUUAUGUGUAUGAUAAUGGCUUGUUCUAAUUGUAGAUUAUUCUCUACAUAUUUAUAUAUUUUAUAAUGAUCAUAUGAAUGACUAAGGAAAAAAUAGUUUCUAUAUGGAAUAUGGUAUCAGAGCUAAUGGCUAACGCCGAUUAGCGAUUCUCCCGUUGCCAACAUUGAGAGUCGUUGGUGCUCCGCACUCCUCACCCGUAAGGAGGGUGUUUGUUUAUGUUUAGUGCUUUUUCCUCUCCUCUUCUCAAAGAUGAAUAUAUUUUUUUCUUCCAUGUUAGCGAUUUUUUUUGUAUUGUUUCAUCCUUAGUUAUAUUAACUGCGGGCAUCGGCGGCUUCUUUCUUUUUGUUGUGCCUGAUAAAAUUGACCUUAGAUGGCUUCAUUUUCUUCAAAUCACCCCAGUUGCCUUUCCCAAUCUGAUGAGAUUGGACAAAUAACUUUAAUGGACCAAUAUGCGCAACCCAUGUAGAAAACCAUAUCUAUUAUAGGGUGGACUCCUAUCCUGGUGUAUGAUUUUUGUUUUGUAAAAUCACCCCAGUUUCCCUUCAUUAUGAUGGUAGAUUGACCUUGCGAAGGCUAUAUCUAAAGGAAAAGCAAACAGAGCCAUGCCACUAGAACACAGAUUUUUGUUUUGUAAAUUUUUUAUAAAGUUAUUCGGUGUUGAUUUUUCAAUUUAAAAAAUGUAUUUGGAAGUCUUGUUGGCUCAAUCACUUUUCUUUCUUUGUUCUACUCUUCUAGAUUUGGGAGGGGCUACUUCGGCAACGGGUGAGAACUGGUGUUAGAAGGGGAUGGAAAAGUCGUUGAAAAAUUAGGUUGGUUUUAUUGAUAUAUUUUAUAUUUAUAGUGAAUUGAUGGAAAUGGAAGCAUGUGAUUUGAUUUAACGGAAAUUUUUAAAGGAGUUUGACGUAGGUGGUAAAUAUUGCAACACUUUAAAUAGUUCAAGUGGUUGCUAGAAAAAAUUAAAAAUUCAUGUAGUAAUCCCGCACGUACUAAAAAGUUCGGAUGAUAUUUAUGUAAAUUCCCCUUUAGGGUAAAUAGAGAUAGCUUGUAAAAGCUUCCACUUCUAAAAAAUAAGUCCGGAUCCAAAUUGUUCUUGAAUGUCUUUACCUAAGUUUGUCUCUUAGCUUAGAGGAUGUAUAUAAAAGACUUAAAAGAGUUAGUCUUGAAAAGAUAUUUUCAUGCUUUCUCAAUAAGUCUCAACAAUCGUGCCAAAAAUUAAUUAAGAGUUAGGCGAGAGAUCAAUUUCUUGUGUUGCAUGCAAAUGUGUCUUAUGGUUGCCUGAAUUUCUUGUGGGGGAGCUGGGAGGAGAAGGGGAUGGAGAGAAAGAGAAGGAGGGGGGGGGGGGGGGGUUGUUAUUUAUUAUAAAGAUUUUUUUAAUGUUAAUUUAUUUUAUUAUAUAAUUAAUUUAUUAUUUUUUUAAAGAAACAGCGGGUCCUACAGUAGACACGUUAUCAAUUAAAUCAAAUAGUCAACUUAAUAGAAAGUUUAAAUUGGUCAAAUUUGAAAAUCAUCAAGUGUAAAUUGAUGAAAUUGGAAUUCGAGAGCCUAUGUUCAGAAUGAUCCUAAAUCUUCAGGAAGUCUUUUGACGUUAGUCCUAAUAUAUAUUUGUAAUUCCAUGAGUGUUUCAUGUUGCAUGUUCUGCGGGUCCUUUUCAAAUAAAUCAGCCAUGUGCACAAGAGUGAAUUUAGCUGAAGACAUGUCAUGUCUUCUGUUCAUAAAAAAACAACAAAGAAGGUUACUAGCAUUCCUUAUAUAUAUAUGUGUGUACUUUUUGUUUUUGGGUGAGAAAAGUCCCUUCGAGUGGACAGGAAAUUGUACUUUUUUUGUCUUUUCGCAUUUUUUUUUUCAUGUUAGAGUAGUUUGGGACCAUCCUCGUUCAAAGGAGACAUGUGCAGUUGCAAAAGACCAUCGUGCAUGUUUAUGGGAAAAAACAAAACCUCUAGCCCACUUGGCUAUAAAUUAUUGUAUGUAUGUUGUUUACACCAUAAUGAACCGAGCAGACCCAGCAUCAAAGCGACUAGCACCAAGGCAGCCACGCCUUCUCCCAUGCCGAAGGAAGACACACUUCCGAGGUGCCUGACACCUGCCGAAGCUCUCAGCUGCCAAACCUAAUCUCCAGGACACGUGUCGCC